rnacentral:lncRNA from 1 species
AAAAAAAAAAGUGUAUGAAAUACUAAUUAUUUUUAGAUAAUUAUUUGAAAUUUGUAUUUUAUAAAUUUGAGUUUUUAUUUUGUGGUUUUUUUUUCAUAUAAGUACAUGGAAAAACAUGUUUAUUCUUCAAGUCAUGUCAAACCUUUCACUUUUUUCCUAUAGAAUGUGAUGACCAGCUCCUAACCAUGUAAAUAUAUAAACAAGAUAAGGAGAUCACUUGUUUCUUUUGCAAGAAGGUUGGUCAUAUGAAGAAUACAUGCACCAAAUACGCUGCUUGACGUGAAAAGAAAGGUACACUUCUCAACUUUGUUUGUUCAUAAAUUAAUUUAGCUAUAGUGCCUACUGACACUUGGUGGAUAGAUACGGGUGCAACUACUCACAUAAGUGUCACGAUGCAGAGUUGCCUAAGAAGUCGAAUGCCAAUUGAUGGUGAAAGAUACAUCUAUGUGGGAAAUGGCAACAAGGUUGCAGUCAAGGCAAUUGGUCUUUUUAGAUUGCAGUUAGACUUUGGAUGUACUUUGGAUUUGGAAAAGACUUUUGUAGUAUCGUCACUUAGAGGGAAUUUAAUUUAUGUUUCAUGUCUGGACAAAUGUGGAUAUUAUUGUUCAUUUAGAAAUGGAAUGGUUAGUCUUUAUCUAAAUUAAAAUGUUAUUAGUACAAGUAGUCUAACAAAUAAAUUAUACAAAUUGAACAUAAAGGCCUCGAAUGGAAUUGAAACCUUGCAUUCAAGUAAUUAUGGCAUUAAGCGAAAAUUAACAAAUGAGAAUUCAUCAAUGUUAUGGCAUAGGCAUUUAGGUCAUAUUUCAAAUCAACGUAUUCAAAGGCUUGUGUCAGAAGGAAUUCUUGAUCCACUUGAUUUCUCAGACUUUCAAGUCUGUAUAAAGUGUAUUAAGGGUAAACAAACAAAUAUGAGGAAAAAUUAUGCUAACAAGUGCGAUGACGUCUUGGAAUUGAUACAUACGGACAUUUGUGGUCCAUUUCCUACCCCUUCUUGGAAUGGACAAUAAUAUUUUAUCACUUUCAUUGAUGAUUACUCACGUUAUGGCUAUCUUUAUUUGAUUCAUGAGAAGUCUCGGCCAUUGGAUGUGUUCAAGAAUUUUAAAGCUGAAGUUGAAAACCAACUAAGCAAGAAAAUAAAGGUCGUCAGAUCUGACCGUGGAGGUGAAUAUUAUGGUAGAUAUGAUGGAUUCGGUGAACAACAUCCAAGGCCAUUCGCCAAAUAUUUGAUAGAGUGUGGUAUCAUUUCUCAAUACACCAUGCCAGGGACUCCAAGCCAAAAUGGUGUAGCAAAGAGGCGAAACCGUACUCUUAAGGAUAUGAUAAGAAGUAUGAUCAGUCAUUCCACCUUACCAGAAUCACUUUGGGGCGAAGCUAUCAAAACUGCAAUUUACAUUUUGAAUAGAGUCCCAAGCAAAGCAGUAGCCAAAACCCCAUAUGAGUUAUGGACUAGCAAGAAACCUAGUAUUAGGCAUUUGCAUGUCUAGGGUUGUCCAACUGAGGCUAGGCCUUACAAGCCAAAUGAAAAGAAAUUGGACUCUAGAAGAGUGAGUUGCUACUUUGUAGGGUAUUCUUAAAGGUCGAGAGGUUUCAAGUUUUAUAACCCCUUAACUAGAUCCCUUUUUGAAACGGGCAAUGCUAACUUUAUUGAGGAUGUUGAGUUAAGUGGGAGAGAAUCAUGAAGAAAUGUGGUAUUUGAAGAGGAAUCUAUUAGUAUUCCUAUUAUUACAACUAGACAUAGUCAUAUUAUGUUUGAUGACACUAUCCAGAAUGUAUAGCCAAUAACAGAGAUAGAAGAUACACCUGAUAUUCUUCCUACUCAAGUUAUGGAACCAGUUCAAGUUCAUGAAGAGGUAACUCAAUGACCUCAAGAACCUCAAGUACAAGUGCCACUGAGGAGAACCACUGGAGAAAGGAGAAGUACAAUUUCAAAUGAUUAUGUUGUAUAUCUCUAGGAACAUGAGUUUGACAUGGGUCUGGAAAACGAUCCAAUUUCAAUUAGUCAAGUCAAACAAAGUUCUAACUCUGAAAAGUGGAUAGAAGUCAUGAAGGAUGAGAUGAAAUCAAUGAAAGACAAUGGUGUUUGGGACCUAGUAGAGUUGCCUAAAGGUGUAAAACCGAUUGGUUGUAAAUGGAUUUUUAAGACUAAGCGGGAUUCAAAAGGCAACAUUGUUAGGUAUAAGGCACACCUAGUAACAAAAGGUUUCACUCAAAAGGAAGGCAUUGAUUAUAAGGAGACCUUUUCACCGAUUUUGUCCAAUGACUCCUUUAGAAUCAUCAUGGCACUUAUGGCUCAUUAUGAUUUAGAGUUGCAUCAAAUGGACGUUAAAACUGCAUUUCUUAAUGGUAACAUUGAUGAGACAAUAUACAUGGUGCAACCGAAGAACUUUGAGUUUAAUGAUUCAAAGCAACUUAUAUGCAAAUAAAAAGGUCCAUAUAUGGUUUAAAGCAGGCAUCCCGACAAUGGUACCAAAAGUUUGAUCAGGUGAUUACUUCAUUUUGUUUUAAGGAGAACACCGUUGAUCAAUGCAUAUAUCUCAAGUUCAGUGGGAGCAAAUUCAUUACCUUGGUGCUAUGUGUAGAUGAUAUUCUACUUGCUAGUAGUGAUGUAAAACUCUUGCAUGAAACCAAGCGAUUUCUAUCUAGUAAAUUUGACAUGAAGGAUCCUGGUAAUGCAUCUUUUGUGCUAGGUAUACAGAUCUAUAGGGAUCGUUCAAGAGGUAUACUUAGGCUAUCACAAAAGUCCUACAUCGAUAAGGUGUUGAGUAGAUUUAACAUGAGCAAUUAUGCACCAGGGGACAAGCUUGUGGCAAAAGGCAAUAAAUUUAGUUUGCACCAAUGUCCGAAAAAUGAACUUAAGAAGAAGGAUAUGAAAAGGUUUCCCUAUGCCUCGGCAGUAGGAAGUCUCAUGUAUGCACAAGUUUGUACGCAUCCAGAUAUUGCAUACAUUAUUGGAAUGUUAGGUAGAUAUUUGAGUAACCCAGGUAUGGAUCACUGGAAAAAGGUAAAAUGGGUUAUGCGGUAUUUACAAAGAACUAAAGAUUAUAUGCUCACAUAUCGUAGAUCCAGUAAUUUAGAGAUCGUGGGAUAUUCGAACUCCGAUUUCGCGGGAUGUCUUGAUAGCAAGAGAUCCACUUCAAGCUACAUCUUCAUGAUGGUUGGAGGAGCAGUUUCAUGGAAAAGUGUUAAACAAACACUUAUUGCUUCUUUCACCAUGGAGGUAGAAUUCAUAGCCUGCUACGAGGCAUCAAACCAUGGGAUAUGGCUGUAGAAUUUUAUCACUCAGUUGCGAAUCGUUGAUGGGAUUGAGAAACCAUUGAGAAUCAAUUGUGAUAAAAAGGUCACAGAAUUAUAUUCUAAAAACAAUCAAAGUUCGUCAAAGUCCAAACACAAUGACAUCAAGUUCUUGGUUGUGAAAGAAAGAGUUCAAAGUCUUCAAGUAUCAAUUGAACACAUAAGCACAAACUCCAUGAUUGCGGAUCCGCUCACUAAGGGUUUGCCACCCAAAAUAUAUCAUGAGCAUGUCACACAUAUGGGUAUCAUACAUAUUGAUGAUGUGCUAGUAUAGUGGGAGUUUGUAUUUAGGUUUUUUAUUUGUUUUCUUGAUGUGAUAUUAUGUUUAUGUUAUCUGUACAGACCUUGAUUUUAAAGACUAUUGUAUUUGAAUACUCUAAAUUGAAAUGAUGACUUUCAGAAGUAAUUUAGCAUCAAGUGUUGAAAGUGGAAUUUGACUAUUUUUAGUCAUAAAGUAGGACCAAUUGGAAAUAGACAUAUUAAAGAUCACAUUCUAUGUAAUUUCCAUACUACACAUCCAUACUUGAUCCAUGUUGCUACUUUUGUUAAUGUUGUGAUCAUUUAUGGGUCUAGUUAUAAUUAUGAUUAACAAAGGCCGCUUUAAUCUUGUGUUAGCAUAAUUAGUAGACCGGAUUGUUUAAGGAUAUUUAGAUAGAAUAGCAAAUAUGAGCUCAAUAAAGUACUAUCAUGAACAUUGUUCUGUAAUAAAUGUGGUCCAAGUGGGAGAUUGUUAAAAUAUGGACGCACUAAUGUAACAUAGUUUAUGAUUAAGUUAUUCGCAUUUACGUAUUUGUUUUGUAUCAAGUUUCUAAAGUAUGGGCCACCUCAUGUGUAGAGCCCAUUACCAUAUGUGUCUUAGAUGAUGGGCUUGAGACACAUAUAGCCCAAUAUUUUAAAGGGAAUGGUCCCUAAGGCAUAGAGGGUAUAUAAGGCUAAGUGUCUGUUCAUUUUUCGAAUGAUUUCUUUAAUAGACAAAAAGGAAAUGUUCUCUCUCGCUUCCCAUCGCCACAGAGAUUACAGAGAUGGUGGCUUCCCCUCUACAGCCUUAGAAGUUCCAUACCUUAUUCAUCACCAGAAAAAUGGACUCAGGUAUGUUCUAAAUCCGUGGACAGUAAGGUAUAGUUUCUUCACAUGACUGAACAUACGAUUCAUGUAUGAUAUUAUUGGAUUUGCAAUGGAGUCCCCAUCAAUCCCUACUUAGCUCACUAGUAGCCCUUUAAUUCAUGUCACAAGGAACCUUAUAUACAUUGCCAAUUUUAAGUUUUUGGUUCUUUCUAGAGCUAACAUUUUGCAAGAAAAUAGAACACUAAAAGAGAUAGAAACAAAGCAAAAUUUAGUCUAGAUAAUGACAGUGGGUUGCACCAAUACUAAGCCUUUCAUGCUGGACAAACUUGUAAGAUAAUGACAAAUCUUUUUAGGCUUGAGGAUUCCAACUUGAUUCAAGGUCUUCCCAUUGUAAACCCCAACAAUGUAGCCAAUCAUUUCAAGUACUAUGAUCAUGUUGUAGAGGUGAAUUCUAGUUUGCUUUGGGUUUUCACUAGGUAUACUACCUCUUGUUUUCGUUUUUAAGACAUCAAAACACCAAAAUGAAAUUAACAUUAAUAAAUAACCCUCUCUUUCUUAGUCGUUUACUAAAAUGAUUAAUCAUUAAUAGAAAUUAAAGCUGAAAGACUUGACCUUGCUAAAUUCCACAAGGCAAAGGUUUGGUAAUCACAUGACCUUAGUAAUCUAACAACAGUUUAUCAGCACACAAAUACAUUUUCUGAUACCAGUUAUAUUAUUUUUAUCAAUAUUUUCAUAAUUGGACCGAUCAUUAAAUCGAAAAAGUUACCGGUUCAUUCGUUGAACCGACAAUCGAACAGAUGACAUCAUAAAUAUACAAUUUAUAAAUUGUUAAAAUUUAAAAUAAUUAUAAAAAAUUAAAAUAAUAAUUUAUAUAUUAUUUAAAAAUUAAAAUUUUAUUUGAAAAUCAGAAAAUUAGUUUUCAAAUUAAAAUUUUAAAUUAAAAUCAUUAUUUUAAUUUAAAAUUUAAAAUUUUAAUAUUUAUUUUUAAAUAAAAAAAAACUUAUCUUAAAAUCAUAAAUUUAUUUAAAAUGGUAAUGUUUUUAAUUUUACCAUUAAAUCAUAUCUCAUAUCAUCCAUAUAAAUCCAUAUAAAAGGCAUUUUUUACUUUAUCAGCUCCCAAUUUCCCACUCUCGCACAUCACCGUUGUUGUGAAGACCCACAAAUGACGACACCACCUGCAAUUGCAAAUUUGCAACUAUGCAAGACCCAACACUAAAGGGAGAGCAAUCUAACUAUGAGGGGGUUGUCUUGUCUACAUCGUCGUUGUAAGAUUCAGUCCACUUGACAAGUCACCACCGCCGACACCAAAGCUUCUCCCUCCAGCAAUACUCGAUUUUCAGGAAAAUCAGGUAAGUAAAUCCUAAAUUAUGCCCUCAUCCUUCGUUGGUUUCUCCUCUUAUUUCCAAACAGGUCAUAGGUUGGGUUUUUUCUUCUUCAUCUUCUCUGAUCUUCUGGGUUAAAAGUUCCAAUUUCAAAAUCCUGGGUGUUUGCUUUUGAAAGGGGAAUCUUUUAUUUUUAUUUUUUAUUUUGAAAAUGUUUUGAUAUGUUAUUAUGAUUAGGAAGAAAAAAAGGUUUGAAAAUUUUUCUGUAACCUAACUGAGUCGACUGUGGGUGGGGUAACAAUUGUGGCUAGGGGGAAAACGUUCUAGAAAAAUGAAGAAGAAAGGGAAGGCAUCAUUUUGGAAGCCAAUAAACAAAAAGGAAAAAGUUCAUUUAAACCGUUUGGUUCGUUAAAAAUCGGUCGGACCGGUCUGUCCGCCAGUUCCAAUGAUUUGAUGUCGGUUUAGAGGUUGGUCGAUUCAAAGGGGUGAACCGAACUGAAAUGAUGACCAGUCGGUGAUCAGACUGAUCGAACCAGCCGGUCCGGUCCGGUUUUUAAAACGUUGAUUUUUAUUAUUAUAUCAUUUUACCAAUACUAUUAUUAAUUAUUAUUAUAUAUAUCAUUAUAAUUCUUAUUCUUUUGAGUGAACAUAUCUAUGUGGAAGAUGAAUUAAAUAUUCAAUUGAGUUGCUAAGAAGACAGAUAUAGCUUGUUGGGGGAGAGUGGUUUUAUAGGAUUCCAAGAGAAGGACUAGAUUAAGUCUUAUAAGAAUUGUUGUAAGUGGCAUAUGGAUACUGAAAUCGACUUGAAAGAGUACAAAUUAUCAUAAAUUUUUAGAACAUUCUAGAAGAAAUAUAAGCAUUACCUAGUUAAUUUUCUUUGUAAUUAUUUGGUUGAAUUUAUAUAUAUAAUGGAUUUAAGGAUUCUUACUAGUCGAGUUAAUGAUUCUUAGAGUGUGUGUGGCAGUAAUUCUGAGAAAUUUUUAUAGUAUUUCUAAUACUUGAAAAAUAAAAGUUUUUAAGUGUUAAAAAGCUAUAAACACUUUUCAGAAUCACUAUCAAACGCACUCUUAAUGUUCUUAUCCAAUCAUAAUCCACUAUGGAAGGGCUACUAGUUUGUCAACAUUAUGGCAAGCAAAUAAACUUUACCAAGUAAACAUGUCGAGCUUUAGUUUCCUUCAUGUAUAAUACUAUAUAUAAUACAUGGAUAUCUAACAGUCUUACAAACAAGGAAUUUGAUUAAUGUAUGUACAAAACCAGCGUGUAACUUGGAAAUGAAAAUUUUCAAACUCGGUGAAAAGGAAGAAUUAUGAAAACCAAAAUUAUUAAUCUCAAAUUUUGUAAUUGAAUAGAGCUCCAAAAGUUGAUUGGUCUCCCAACCAAAAAAUAAACCAAUUUUACUAAAAUUCAGUGAAUUAGAGAAUUUCAAUGUCAGUUCUCGCAUCAUAAUCAUAAAAUUAAGAAUUUAAGAGAAAUGCACUAUAACAAAUAUAUGCUUUUACCAUAAAUUAAUUUGUGGUUAAAAAGGAGUAUUUGGUUGUAGAAGGUUUUUUUCCACAAAAAAUUAUUUAUGGCGAGCUUGUGGCCAUAUGGCAGUAAUUUUUCACCAUAAAAUAAAACUUGUGACCAUAUAUUAUUUUUCAUGAACAUAAUCAUGAUAACAGGUCAUUUUUUGCCAUGAAAAAUCACCCUUUUUAUCUUGAAAUACAAUUUUUUGUGAAAUAUAUAAUACAAUUUUUUGUGAAAUAUAUUUUACAAUAAAAAAUUAUUUUUAUGCAUCUCACAUAUUUAACUUUUAAUUCUUCUCCCUUGUUUUAACUUUAAAUAUCAUUUUUAAUAAAUUUAAUAGUAAUAUUUCAAAUGUAUUAUGUUUUACAAUAAAAAAAAAAAUUAUCCUUUAAAUUGUACAAGAGAGAUAAGUCGGGUUAGGCUAUUUGUCUUAAAGAUCACUAUUUUCUUCCUUAUAUAUAAUUCAUUAUUUGUCGAUUCUUAGGUCCAUAACAUGACGUGAAACAUGAAUAACAAUAAUGAUACAUGUACUUGUAAUUUCUAAAAUUAAAAAUUAAACCACAACAUAUACUAAUUUGGAUCACUAGUUAUAGCCAACCCAAAGCUGUGCUUCAUCCCAAGACAUGUUAGGGUGACUCCAGUACUUGAUCCUUGCAAUUCCUUCUCCUUUAGGGUCCACAUGAGGAAAGACAUUGAAGUCAUUGCCACCAACUAUUAUUUUAGGCUCUGAAUGGCAUGUAAAAUAAAAUAAAAGGAGAAAAAGAAAAGAGGAAACAACAUUUAUCAUUAGACUCUUACAACUUGUAAGAGAAAAAACAACAUUUUUCAUCAAACUAUAAUAAGAAUAACGACUCAUCUCUUAAAAUUAAAUCCAUUAGAAGACAGUUGAAAAUGAAGUUUGGGGCCAAAAACCAAUAGGAACAGCAGAACAGGAAAAUUGUGUGCAAACUAGAGAACCUACAAAUACGGUGCAUAUCACAAAGACCCUAGAAGAUCAGAUGUAGAUAGCAUUUGACAUGGUUGACAGAACUAAAAUGGUCAAAUAUUUAUUUCCAAGCCCACAAAACUGAGAAGGAGCUGGGUCAGGAUCAUGAAUACAAGCCCCAACUCUAGGACUUCAAGUUCCCAAAAUCAAAACUUUGACUUUAAGUAGCUGUCUUGUUGUAAGGAAAAGUUCUUCUGUUGAAGUCUACAUUUUGAUGAAACAUAUAUUGAAUUAUAGAACAAAUAUAUUUCUAUCAGCUUUCGAUUUUCUUAGCAAUGAAACAAACCAUUAACCAACAAACAAAAUGUAACUAAAUCUAUCACGCCCCAAAACCCACUCCAAGGGCAUGACGGUCAUUUCACACCUCAAGCCCAAAGGCUUAAAGUAGAAACAAUACAAGCAUUCAUAUUGUAACUAAAAAUUUACCAAUUACCAAAUUCAUGUUCAGAGUAGUAGGACAAAAUUCUAAAAUCUCCAAGUAUCAACUUUAAAAAAACUAAUACAUCAACCAAAGCGUUAUUGUCUAAAUAACUCCAAACUCAAAAUAAUUCAAACGAGAAUUAAGUUUUAACAUCUAAAUAAUGUCCAAAAUAAAGAGAGUUUAAACAAAUGUCCUAAUAAAGCCAAAUUUCCCUCCUAAAGGUCACUCCUUUCCCAAACUAAGGUUACAUGAAAAAUUAUCAACAAAGGGGGAUGAGCUCAAAACCUAAUAAGGAACAUUAACACAGUUUCAUGGAUCAAACAUUUUCAAUCAUGCUUGCAAAUAGAAGAUAUAACAUAUACUUAUUUUCAUAAAAACUUUUAAGUUCAAAAUACUAAUACAUUCAAACUUUUCAACAAAACUUUCUCAUAUCCAUUUCAAAACAAUUUCUCAUCAAAACCAAAUCGAAUACAUUCCAAAUAUAUUCACGUUGGUUAUCGUAUGAUAAAUGGUACCCAAUUAGGUGGGACUUCCCAAUUGAGUAACUAGUUUCAAAUUUGUUUCAUUUAAGGUGAACAAAACCAAAUGUCAACAAUUAUAACUCGUUGACUAGGGUCAUAAGGUCAACUAUUAUAAUCCGUUGACUAGGGUCAUAUAAUCCAGAGUCAAACACUUUAUUUCAUUAAUUCACUUACGAAACAAAAUCUCAUAUCUCCUCAAUUUUUCAUUUUUCAUAAACAAAGAAAAUUCUCAAAUAUACUUUCCAUACAAAACACAUAUUUGAUCCAUGCAUAAAGAUAAAAAUAAUAUUUUUACAAAUUUCAAAAUACAAUAUAAAAAGAAAAUUAUUUUCUUUUAUAAAAAUUUGCAUUAAUUUCCCUUACCUUGAAGAAGCGCUCAAAAACUUGAAGUAUUUAGCUUGACAAAUUUACUCCUCACCUAACAUAAUAUCAUACACAAUUAUCUAACUCGUAUUUCUAAAAAUAUUUUAUUUAGUAUUAGGGAUCCUAAUUAAUUUUUUAUGCUAAUAUUAUUACUACCCAAUAUUAUUUUCAACUUCUUAAACAAUCAUAAUAUAAUUUAAUGAAUUUCCAAAUUUUUGAUAAACUCGUAUUUCUUCCAAAUCUUAUUCUAGCCAAUUAUUUCUUUUGUAUACUUGAACUAAAUUAAAACUUUUAUUAAAAACAAUUACUAUUAUUAUUACUAUUUUUUUCGAUACCCCGCAACAUCCAAACGGCCCUACUAUAUGUCACUCACGAGCAUCCAAAUCACACAAUUUUUACUAUUACUAUUAUUAUUAUUAUUAUUAUUAUUAUUAUCAUUAUUCUUAUUAAUCUCAACUAUUAUUAUUAUUAUUCUUAGUCAUUAAUCUCAACUAUUAUUAUUAUUAUUAUUCUUACGUCACUUACAAGCAUCCAAAUCACACAAUUCUUACUAUUAUUAUUAUUAUUAUUAUUAUUAUUAUUAUUCUUACGUCACUUACAAGCAUCCAAAUCACACAAUUAUUAUUAUUAUUAUUAUUAUUAUUAUUAUUAUUAUUAUUAUUAUUAUUAUUCUUACGUCACUUACAAGCAUCCAAAUCAUACAAUUAUUAUUAUUAUUAUUAUUAUUAUUAUUAUUAUCAUUAUUAUUAUUAUUAUGAUGAUGAUUAUUAUUAUUAUUAUUAUUAUUAUUAUUAUUAUUAUUAUUAUCUUACUAUUAUUAUUAUUAUUAUUAUUAUUACUAUUACGUCACUUACAAGCAUCCAAAUUACACAAUUAUUAUUAUUAUUAUUAUUAUUAUUAUUAUUAUUAUUGCUAUUAUUAUUAUUAUUAUUAUUAUCAUUAUGAUUAUGAUUAUUAUUAUUAUUAUUAUUAUUAUGAUCAUCAUCAUCAUUAUUAUCAUUAUCAUUAUCAUUAUCAUUAUCAUUAUUAUUAUUAUUAUUAUUAUUAUUAUCAUUAUUAUUAUUAAUCCCAAUGUCCCCUCUUACUUAACAAAACAUGCAAUUCUUCUUCUUAUUAUUUUCCAAUCCCUUAAUCCACAUAUAAUCAUAUAUUUAUUUACUCAUUUAAUUUUUAAAAUUUCAUUAUUUAGAUAAUCUAAAAAAAAAUCGAAUUUUCCUAUUUUCAUCAAUGAAACAACCUAUAUUCAUAAUUUCAAUUUUUUGAUCUUAAAAUAAAUUAACUAAACUAACCCUAAUCUAAAUUAAAAUUUUCUAAAGAAUAUUUAAUUUGUUCAAAACUAACUAACUAAUAUAAUAUAUUAAUAUAGAGUUAGAAUCUUACUUGGAAAAAUCUGAACUUCAAAGUCUAAACCUUCAAACCUUUAGCCCUACAUUCUCCAAUUCUCUAAUUUUUUGUUAAUAGAGUUUUCUGAAUAAAGAAGACAAGAGGAAAAUCUAAUUUAUACCAAGGAUUAUUAAUUGUAAAAGGACUCUUUUACCUUUAAUGAGUUUAAUUAAUAAAUUUGUAAUUUACUGUUUUGCUCCUAAAGUUUAUUUUGGGGUGUUACAGAAUCAUUUCUUUUUAACAUGGAGAACAAUAUUGAAGAAACUCAAAGAAAGAUCCAGCCUGCAUUUUCUUUUCUCCCAAGUGCAGAAAACCCCAAGCCUUGAAUUUUCACUCUCGUUCCUUACAUCUUUUCAGCAACCAAACAGAGCACAGUAAACCUUAAUUUACUUAGUAGAUGAAUUAACAAUGCCAAACCAAACGAACACAUAAUAAUAUCAAAACAUGUAUAGAAAUUCAAAUUUUCUUCUAAACCUAUGUUAUGUUGGUGAUAAAUCAAGAGGGACCAGUAGAUGAAAUCUUGGAAGCAAAGUUAGUCCUAAGAUCAGUUUUUCCAAAGCUAACUCAAUCCUUAUCUCAGUUAUAAAAACUUCAAUAGUCCAUUUCUAUUACCACAAAUGGAAAAUUAUUAGCUAUGGGAUUGGCCGACAUCCUUCUGUUUAAUGCCUUCUACUGAUGUCUCCCACAUUAAAUUCCCUUCUGGAGAAAACCUGUCCCACUAUCAUGCUUCUUCACUUGUACCUCUAUUCACGAACCCCUCUCCAAUACUCGGACAACUCUGAAAGCCUCUGCUCCUCUGCUUCCAAUCUGAAGAAAACCCUUCUUGCAAACAAUAAAAGGAAGACCAGAGGCUACUUUCAAGAGAGAAAAUCUGAGAUAAUGUUUCAGUCAUAGAAUAGUUGCACCCUUACAUAUAGAGAUAAGACAAUACAAUAGUUCUAUCCUUGAAUUCCUGUUUGCUUUGGUGGCAUACCAAAUCAAGUCAUGCAGCUGUUAAGUAUUUUCAAGAGUACCCACAUAAAGACGGGUGAAAGAGGAGAGUGAUGCUGAAAGAGUUGUCUCAUUUCCACCGUAAUUUACCUCCGAUUGACAUAUCAGGAACCACCCUAGUAUUGUGGAAUCAACAAGAAGGCUCUGCACCAAAUCCCAGCAAUGGCCAAGGAUGCCCAACUUGACUACAACCAGGAAACCAGAUGGAAGAUGGCCAGAGCUCACUUAGAUUACAAUAAACCCAUGAAAGCUACACUUGUUUUUGUCAUUCUUUCAUAAUUAUGGCUUUUGUUUAAUCCUCAAAUCAUUCAUCUCCUAAAGUUUCUACCUUAUCAAAUUUUCUUUUGUCCUAUUCAUAAUGGGUGAAAAAGGAUGUUUUUUUUAAUGAGAAAAAGGAGAAAAGGAGAAAAAAGAGAAGUCGGUUGAUUGCAUAUUUAUGAGCCAACAUUGAGUCAUUAAAUUAAUGAGUCUAGCUUGUGCCUCAAUUGGAUCAAGUCCUGAACCAGCCCUAUGUUCCUCAAUCAUUGAUGUUCAGAACCACCACAACCAUAAUGAGAUUAGUGUUAAGAUAUGGACUCACACAUAUUUAACAAUGGUACAUGACUAAGCUAUUCGCCUUUGAUAUUUAUUUUGUAUCGGUUUUCCACAGUAUGGGCCACCUUAUGUGUAGAGUCCAAUGCCUUCACGGGCCUUAGAUGAUGGGCCUAAGACUCGUGAGGCCCAAUAGCCAAAGGGUAUGGUCCCUAAGGUAGGAGGGUAUAAAUCCAAAUACUGUGUGUCUGUUCAUAAUCAUCACAUCAGUUUUGGAAUAAGAAUAGACCCGUUUCUCUUCGACUCCCAUCGUCUGAGAGAAUUCAGAAAGAGGUGGUGCCCUCCACAGCCUUAGAAGAUCCAUACCUUGUUCAAAGGAAAAGCAUAAUGGAUUCAGGUUCGUUCAUUCCCUAUCUAGAGAUCAUGGCAUGUUAUCAGGAUUGAUAUAUAUAUUUUCAGUUUCUAUUGUUGGUGAUAAUGGAAAUCAACAUGAAUAACAAUUAGCACAUGUAUCAUAAUGAUUUGGAAGACCUCAAAUAUUUGCAUCAAGAAGGUCUUAAUGGAUUUGCUUUUGUCUAUCACAGUCUCGUUGCCUACUUCCAACUGACUAAUCUGUUUUGUGUCAAUCCCAUAUUUCUCGAGGAGGGAGGUAACAACUGUCGAACUGUUCAAUGAAGAAGCUGUUAUAAAAUGGCUAUCAUAAAAAAGAUGUUAUGGCCUAUGAGCACUCUUGCAGCCAAUUUUUUUCCAAUAUAAUGCCAAACUGCUUGAUUAAUUCAAGGUCCAAUGUCAUGUCACAACUUCAAUGUUAUAAUAUAUUUUAACAUGAAGAUGUUUAAGCUCCACUAUUUAUCUUCCUAAUAUGAAAACUGCAAGUUGUGAUAGUCAAAGAACUUCCAUAACUUCUUGAAAGAUAAUUGUCACCUUACCAAAACGUCCACAAUUUUAUUUUUUUUAUUUUUUUGAAAAGAAAAGAAUAAGUCAAGAGAGAUCUUUAAGAAAAAUGCAUAGAAGCAUUGUAAUGAUAAAGCAGCUCCUUUCGCAGUUCUAUCGAAAAAGGACUAGAGCCUCUCAAAACAUGCUGCACACAUGAUUAUCUACACCUUUCUGACCAAAUGUUACCUUAAGGAGGCUUCAGUUGCAAUCUAUAGGAACAGUGAGGAUCAAAUGGAGAGUCAUAGUCACAACCUCAUUGAGAUGACAUCUUCCACCUCCGAACAGAAUGCCUAACACUUACCCUUCUAUUUCAAAACAAAAUAAACAUCAUUCCACAUCAUUGAGAUGCACCUUUUAGUGACUGAUUCAUGAGUAAAGUAUAUUUCAAAAAAUAAAAUAGAAAUUUUUUUUAUAUAUAUUUUCCAAGACUUAGAUUUAAAUCAUGAGAAGGAUGCUAAUAAUGGUAAUACCAUAAACAAACAACCUUAGAAUAUAGUGCAAUUUAAACCAACCACGACCAGAACGAUUCACACAAAAGAAAAACACAGAAAACGCAUCAAAAUCCAAGGUUCACAAAAGAGAGAAAGAGAGCGACCAAUGAUCCAGAUUCAUUUGUCUCCAUUUCACUUCUGAGAAAAUCCAAGAAAGUUAAAACAAUUAAAAUUUUGAAUCUGAGCACACUUAGCAGACACUAUUUAAAACCAGAAUAACUCUCCUUUCUUUCUCUCAUUUUCCCUCCAUUUUCUCGGAAACAAAAUAGAGGGCAAAGUCACUGGCAAGAAAAUUAACGAUAAAAAGAGAAAGCAGAGGCUGAGACCAGUCACCUGUUGAACACAACUAGGAGGGAAGUAAAUGUCCAUGGCCAGAAUUCCCACAUUUUUCGCCAUUUUCUCUGAGCUCAGUUUCUCAAGAAAGUUGGUAAAUGAAAAAAGCUAGAAAUUUUUUCUCUCUCAAUGUAGAGAGAGAAAGAGAGCGAAAGCAGAAUCCUUGGAAAGCAGCAGAAAGGUGCGAGGAUGGGUCACAUAAUUUUAUUUGUGCCUAAAAUUAUGGUAGCAAAAUGUGAAAUUUGUGGUAGCGAGGGAAUGUUAAAUACGGCUACAAAGUAGCAGUAGAGUAAUAAAAUACAUAUAUGGUGUCUUCAACCAGGAUCCAAGAUGCUAAUUGGCAGAGGGAUACAGGGAUACGUUAUGUAAAACUCUUUACUUACACCAUUCAAAAUAGGAGAAAAAGUCUAGAGAUAGUAUCAAUAGAAUAGCAUGGAAGAACUUCAAAGUUAUAACAAACCUUUUAGCCUAAAUUUUAAACUAGAUCUCGAGCCAACUCUAGUGUGAAAUUGGUUCAGAAUUUAAAUUUCAACAUUUAAAGUUUUCUCAAUAAAACUAACUACGAUCACCCACUUCCAUAGAGAUUAUGUAAUAUUUGAAAAAGAAAAUGGGGGAAGACAAUAAAGUUUUAAGUCUCCCCCAUUUCUAUCUUCUUUUAUAAUUGUUUGUGUUCCUCCUUUAACCCUAUUACAUCAACAAAUUAAUUGAUAUCAAAGCUUUUGCAUACCCUACAAAUUGGUAUAAAAGUCAUAUGAAAGGAUGGUAAGUGGGAUGUAACCAUUUCAAGUCCCCCAACUCAACAAAGACAAUUACAACAAUUGGAGUAUUAAGAUGAAGGUUCGACUUGGUUCAUAAGAUACAUGAGAGGUUGUAAAGAAAGGCUACACAGAGUCACAAGAUGAAACCACUUUAUCCCUAAAUCAAAUGGAUUUUUUGAAAGAUAUGAGGAAGAGAGACAAAAAAGCUCUUAUCAUCAUUUAUCAAGCAAUGGAUAAAGGUAUUUUUGAGAAGAUUUAAGUGCAAUCACCUCGAAGGAAGUCUGGAAGAUACUACAAAAUAGACACAAGAGAGUUGAUAAGGUACAAAAAGUUCAUCUUCAAGCUCUUAGAGGAGAACUUGAAUGUUUGAAUAUGAAAAAAUUAGAAUCAAUCUCUAAUUAUUUUUCUAGAGUAUUAACUAUCAUGAAUUUAUUAAAAAGAAAAUGUAAGAGUUUAAAUGAUACUCAUAAUUUAUUAUAAAGAAAAUAUCAGAUUUUAAAUGAUAUUCGUGUAAUUGAAAAAAUAUUUUGAUCUUUAGAUUCGAAGUUUGAUGUUGUGGCCAUUGAAGAAUCUAAAGAUUUAGAUUCUAUGACCAUUGAUCAACUAAUGGGAUCAUUGUAACCACAUGAAGAAGAUAUUAAAAACGAAGAACUAAGAAAAAAUUAAAACAACUUCUUCAAACAAAAUUUCCAAUAAAACAGAAUUGAGAAAAUUUUGAUGAAAGAAGUCAGAAUAAUUGUAGACACGACCAUGCACAUGGUCAUGAACGUGGCCAAUGCAAUAGAGGAAUAGGUGGUUUUGAUUCAUCAAACAAUGAAGGAACAAGCCAAAAUCCAUAUUCCUCAAAAAUACGUGGAAGAUGGCAUAACUCAAGGCAAAAUGAAAUGGGAAGGUAUGAUAAAUCCCAAAUUCAAUGUUAUAAUUAUAACAAAUAUGAUCAUUACGCUUUUUACUAACAAUAUGGAAAGACAAGCCAACUAUAUUGGAAAGAAAGAUCAAGAAGAGCCUACCGUAUUAUUGGCAUAUAAAGGAGCAAGUAAAGAGAAAAACAUAUAAUAUCUUGACACCAGAGCAAGAAAUCACAUUUGUGAUUUCAAAAACAUGGUUGUAGAGCUUGAUAAAUUGGAAAGUGAUCAUGUUACUUUUGGAGAUGCAUCCAAAAUUCAAAUCAAAGGCAAAGGUAAAAUCUUAAUUCGUUUGAAAAAAGGAAAACAUCAAUUUAUCUCAAAUGUCUACUUUAUAUCUAACAUGAAAAAUGAUAUAUUAAGUUUAGGUCAACUCUUAAAAAGAGUUUAUGAUAUUCAGAUGAAAAAUCGAAGUCUUUCAAUAAGAUAUCAACAUAAUUCAGAAUGAUAUUGUAAAAUGUCUAAAGUCAAGGAUUUGUCUUGGAUUUGGGACUUAAGAUUGAACAUCUUAAUUUUAGAGGAUUGUAAUUGUUGAGCAAGAAAAAUAUGGUGAGAGGAUUGUCCUCUAUAAAUCACCUGGAUCAAUUAUGUGAAGGAUGCCUACUUGGAAAACAUGCCCAAAGUAGUUUUCCAAAAAAAGCAACUACAAGAGCAAAAAAGCUCUAAAGCUUAUUCAUGUGGAUGUAUGCAGCUCAAUUCAUCUAAACUCUUUUGGUAAGAAUAAAUAUCUUUUGCUUUUCAUUGAUGAUUUCAGUAGAAAAACUUAGAUCUAUUUUUUGAAGGAAAAAUCUAAAGUACUUAGGUUUUUAAGAAAUUUAAAGCACUUGUUGAAAAAGAAAGUGGACACAAUAUAAGAGUGAUGAGAUUCAAUAGAGGAAGUGAAUUCACAUCAAAAGAAUUUAAAGUUGUUGGCAUAUCAGAUCUAAGCAAUGGAAGCAAUACUAAUUCUUUAAAAAACAAAUGAUAUUUAGGGUUAAAAUUCUAACCUUUAGGUUUGGAUGUUCCCAAACCUUGAAUCCAAGUGUUGAAGAAUCAAAUCAAUGUCAUCGAAAGUCUCAUAAACCCACAAUCUUCCACCCAAUGACUCAACCUUGUUUCUUAGCACACAAAUGGUGGGGAGUUUGGGAGAAUAGAGGCUAGGACUAUUUUCUUUUAAGAUGGUAGACGAUAAAAAGUGGUAGAAACCCUAACCUAUAUGAGUAUUUAUAAGAUUCCUAACUAGGCUUAAGUGACUUAAGCCCACAUAGGCUUGGGUCACUUAAUCUAGCUCAAAUUGGAUCCUAAUUGAUUAAUUAAUCUAACAUGGCCUACUAAUUAAUUAAUUAACCCAAAUCCAAAUACCUUGUUCACUUACUCCUGUAUAACCUUGCAUAAUUACCAAAAUUCUCUUAUGCACAAACGCAAAUUUAGAGCUAAUCCGACCCUUAAAACCUAUGCUAACAAUGUAUGUGAGCUCAAAGUGAGGACCAAUAGGACCCAUAGGAAUACUAUCUCCCUCAGAAUCCAAUUCUGAAGUUGAUUCAACAUUCUACUACACAAAAUCAACUGAACUCUAAUAUCCUUUGUAAGCAACAAUGAGACAUUAUGUGCUCAAGUUCAUGACUUUCUACCCAUUGUAUUCAGUCUCCCCAUGAACUGGUAUCCAUAGUCUAACAAGGCGAUAAUUAUCAAUAUUUCAAUACUACCUCUACUAUCCUUGAGUUACAGAUCCUCCUAUUGUAUGUUCAACUAAAAGCCUAUGUCAAGUUCCACUUAAAGAACUACUAUGACCAUAGUUUCCAUGAACACACAUCCUUAUGAUCACCUAAGGUGACUCUCUAUCUCAAUCUCAUAAAAUAUCAUGGUGUCUCUAUUAAGAAUAUCUAUUGCUACCAACUUCCAUCAACAAUGACUCAAUCCAUAAGGAAUAUAUGAUUAACUUACGAUCUCACCCGUAGGUCAAAGCCACUACUAACUUUAGCACAAACUCAAUAUUCUCUUAAGGUUAAGAGACAACAUAAUGAAAAAGCUUUGUGAGGUCAUGACUACUUGAUAGCCUUAAGUCAUGACUCACCAUAAGUCCUGUCCAAUGUGUAAUCAUACACACUAGCACACUUACCAAGGGAAACUCAUCCCAAUAGUCAAGACUAAUCAUCCAUCUGAUUAGGAGGUGGUGCACUACAACCUCUAAUGGGUUACCCAGACCCACGAAUCGGUUGUGACCAAGUCAUCUAUUUACAAGGAACCUGUGAUUUGGUUCUUUCUUGCAACUCUUAAUGCACCCAAAUCACGUACAAUGCAAAAUAUGUUAGAUGAGAAUGCACAUAAAGUACAAUACAUGAAAUAAGGAUAGAUAAAAGUGAAAAUGGAAUAUCAUUAAAUAAUGAAUUCAAAAUUUAUUACAUCAUGCCAUGCCUUUAAGGGCUCUAUACUAACAUUCUCCCACUAACCCUCAAAGCAUAAUGCUACCAAACCAUAUCAAAUACUCAUCUAAAAUCGAUGGUAUCCCUAUGACCAACAUAGACUCUCCCUAUCAAUGUCUUGGUGAAGGGAUCCACCAGGUUCUCCAUAGAAGGUAUCUUGUCAACCAUCAUGUCAUUUGAAACACAAGCACAUAAUCCUUCAUUCUCGAAAGAAACUUGAGUAUAUGUUUGACAUAGCACAAUUUUCUAUACUUUUAGUCUCUAAGGGCUUUAAACCCACAAAUAUAUUGCUCUCCUUCUAGACUUCCAUCUAUAAUCGAAUAGACAACUAGAUCUUGACCGAUGACAAUAUCCCUACAUUAUUCUCAAUUAGUAGAUUGUCAUCUAUAUAUAAAAUCCUAAAGCACCACUAUGCUUCCUACACUUUCUAAUACACACAAAGUCUUUUGCUAUGAAAAUAUCUUGUUACAUCAUAUAGAUGUUAAUAUCAAGAUAAUCAUUUAAGAACACUACCUUGACAUCCUAUUGCAAUAUCUCAUAAAUGAGAUACACCAUAAUGGAUAGGAGUACUUCGGUUGAUUUACGUACGACUACUGGUGAAAAGGUUUCCUAUAGUCAAAACAAUGUUUCAAACUAUAACCUUUAGCUACAACAUAGGCACAUAAAUCUCAACCUUCUCAUCUACUCCUUUGUUCCUUUUAUAAACCAACUUACACCUAUGGGUUUUGAUCCUUUCAAGUACUUCUAUAGGAAUUUAGACUAUGUUAUAAUACAAAAAUUCUAACUUUCCCUUCAUAUCUCCUUAUUGAGUUAUGAGCACCAGCACACUCAUUUCUUCAUCAUAAUCUAUGGGGUAUAUGAAAGGAAAAACCAAAAUAUCUCUGUUUCCCAAGUUCGGAUCAGGUUAGGAAUAUGCAUAAUUAUCCUAGGCUUUUUCUAAAUCCUAUGCACAGCGGAAAAAUAACUUUUUUAUACUUUAAAAGGAUUCAGAAAGUGCUAAUGAAAACCAUACCUCAAAUUCGGAUUUUCCCGAAUCAAAUCCACAUGGUGAAGAUGAAGAUCAAAAUCGCAAAAGUCACAUAAACCCAAAGUUUUCCGCCCGAUGACUGGAACCUUGAUCUUAGCACACUUCUAGUAGGGAGGAAAAGUGGGUGGAUGUUAUGGUUGUCUAUCUCUCUGGAUGAUGGAAGACAAAAUCUAUGGAAACCCUAACCCCUAGGGGUAUUUAUAGGGGCUCCUAAGUGGGUCUAAGUGACUUAAGCCCACAUGGGUUUAGGUCACUUAAUUUAGCCCAAAAUGGGUUCUAAUUGAUUAAUUAACCCAAUAGGGUCUAUUAAUUAAUCAAUUAGCCCAAUCUAGAGACCUUGUUUAAUUACCCCUAUGCAACCUUGCGUAAUUACUAAAACACCCUUAUGCACAAAAGUGAGUCUAGAGCCAAUCCGACCCUCAUAACCCAUGCCAAUAAUGUAUAUGAGCUCAGAGCGGGGACCACUAGGACCUAUAGGAAUACUAGCUCCUUCAAGAUCCAAAUCUAAAGUUGAUUCAACAUCUCACUACAGAGAAUCAACUGAACUCUAAUAUCCUAUGUAAAUAAUAACGAGACACCAAGUGCUCAAGUCCAUGACCUGCUAUCCAUUGUGUUCAAUCUCCCCACAAACUAGUGUUCAUAGUCUAACAAGGUGAUAGCUAUCAGCCUUUCAAGACUACCUUUACCAUCCUUGAGUUACAAAUCCUUUUAUUGUGUGUUCAAUCAACAUAUCUUAGCUUUCAAAGAGUCUAUGUCAAGUUUUGCUUAAGAAACUACUAUGGUCAUAGUUUCCAUGAACACACCUCCUUAGGAUCACCAAAUGGGACACACUAUCUCAAUCCCAAGAGAUAUCAUGGUGUCUUUAUUGAGAAUACAUAUUGUUACCAAUUUCCAUCAAUAGUGACCCAAUCCAAAGGGAAUAUAUAAUCAACUUAUGAUCUCACCCGUUGGUCAAAGUCAUUGUUAACUUUAGCACAAGUUCAAUAUUCUCUCAAGGUUGAGAAACAACACAAUGAAGCAACUUGGUGAGGUCAUGACUACUUAAUAGCCUUAAGUCAUGACUCACCAUAGGUCCUGUCCAAUGUGUAACCAUACACACUAGUGCACUCACCAUGGGAAAUCCAUCUCGAUAGCUAAGACCAUUAGGAGGUGGUGCACUACAACCUCUAAUAAGUUGCCUAGACCCAUGAAUCGGUUGUGAACACGUCAUUUAUUUGCAAGGAACCCAUGACUUAGAUCUUUUUUGCAACUCCUAAUGGACCUAAGUCACAUACAAUGCAAAAGAUGUGGGCAAGAAUGCUCAUAAAGUAUAAUACAUGGAAUAAUGAUAGAUAAAAAUGAAACUGGAGCAUCAUUAAAUAAAUAAUGAAUUCCAAAUUUAUUACAGCAUGUCAUGCUUUUAAAGGCUCUAUCCUAACAAUAUAAACCUCACAUUAUGAUGAGGUACUCAUCUACUAGAAAUAAUAGGAAUGGUGUGUCUCUCCUCUGGAUCCAUAGUAUCGUAUGCAAUGUGCAUGGGACUCCCAAAUGAACAUGAAAAGUGAUAAGAAACCAAUCAUCAAUCCCACUAUGUCCAUAAAAGUUCAUUUUCUUCUUUCCAUUACUCCAUUAUGCAAUAAAGUCCAUGGUACACACAACUAGGAUAUUGUCUCAUGCUCCUUGUGGAAAGAAUCGAACCUACUAGAUACACCACCUUGAUGUAAUCAAAAUGCGUUGAUAUGUUUACUCAAUAUUUUAUCUGAUUCUACCUUAAAUUCAAUGAAUGUAUCUAAGGCAUCAAAUUUCCUAUCUACAUAUUCAAACCUAGAGUAUUUAUUAGUAAAAUAAUCAAAUACUCAUACUUCCCAUGCAUAAACACAAAAAGGUCCAUACACGUCGUAUGCACUAACUCCAAAUAUUCCUUGGUUCCAUGUCCUUUAGAAAUAAAGGGGUCUCCUAGUCAUUUUACCAUUUAUAUAGGAUUUGCAGACUAAAAGAUCCUCUGGAAUAAAAAGGUUCAAAUUUAAUCAGUCUUUGGAUCUUGUUUAGAUUAACAUCCUAGGCUUUGAAAACCAAAUGUUUGAUUAGUGCUAUGUUCAUACUUGAGAUAUGAUUAUUCUUAGUACUUGGCAAAAAGAUGAUGGAUUCAACGUAAAAGAGGUAAUACUUCCCACUAGCCUGCACAGCUAACCUUGAAACUAAAGUUAAGGUAAGUACAAUCCCAUCAUUUAACUUUCUCACUUGUUGAAAACCUUGUAGAGAACUACAAAUAGUGGUCUUAGAAUCAAUCCACCACUAUUUUUUCAACAAUGAGAAUAUGAUGUGUACUUGUCUAUCUUCAUGCAAUUCACACAUUCAUUUUCUUGUUUCCUAAAAGGUUUACAAAGAAAUCAUUGCCCAUGAGUUUGUUCUUUCAUUCCAUUUUUUGAACUUUCCUUAUUUGGUGUUAUUCUUCUUCUUCUUGAUGGAAGAGCCUAAAAAACAUUGACUUCUAUAUGAACAUACUUCUACUCUUUGAGAAUCUUCUUGCCCAUCCCAAAGGAAUCUGGUGAGAUCUUAAAGAUAACAUGAAUCCCAAUUUUCAUAAUAGUCAUAAGAGUAACUUGUCUAAUUGACUUGCCCUUAUCACCAAAUAAUCCUUGCAACUUUAAAAAGAAUACCAUAGACCAUGACAAUAGACAUAUGUUGCUUUUGCAACAUACUAUCCAAAGACCCAAGUAUAAGACACUUGGUCUUUUGAUUCAUCUUAUGCCACCUUUAAUAUGCUUCUCUUUUUUUUAUGUUAGGUUUGUUUAAAAUAAAUAACAAACUCUAUCUAAAUUAGUUUAUAAGCAAUUAAUAAUAUAUUUACAUUAUUUUCAUUCUAUAACUAGGUCCAAUUUAAACAUGAAAUAAGAGUGACAGGCUCAAGACAUGAUAUUUGUAACAAAUAUUAUAAUUUCAUGCAUUAAUAAAAUGAACUGAGCAUUCAAGGUAAGUUGGUAAUUAGUGCUCCCAAACUACAUGUCCUUUUGCAAGGUAUCCUGGUAUUAUAAGAAUCAAGUCUUUUUGACUCCUAUUACUAGGGUAUAAUUGAUCAACUUUCCUUAAACUUUAAAAGUUAUCUUAAGGCAUUGAUCAACAUACCCUUUUGUUUAGCCCUUAACCCAUGCAGGUGGGACUGCUUAGUUAAUUCUACCACUUCAUGUCUAAAUUAAGUGAGUAAUUAAGAUUCUUAACAUCAAUGUUACAAAGUGAAAAGCUCCAUUUUUAGGAUGGGUCACUCCCACUACAAACAUAUAUGGUCUCAUCUACAAAGGAUAGUCCAUAUCCCUUGAUUCCUUAGGUUAUCUCAUCUUUAGGAUGGUGAUGCACCCAAAAUCAAGAUGAGCUCAAUCUUGGAAGUUAUGGGUUUGCCUAUGGCCCUCUUCUACUUAAUCUCUUGAAACUAAAUAAGAGCUUUUAAAACUUUAGUAAUUAUUUUGGUGAAUAAAUUAUCUUUUUUGAGAAUUUUUAAAAAUAUUUAUCGCUUAAUUAGAAAACCUAGUGUUAUAAGAAAAUGUCUAUAUGAAAAUUUUAAAAUUUUGAUGAGAGUAUUUUAUCCAAAAAUUAAUUUUAAUAAAAUGUCCACUCUCAAAUUUUAAAAUCUAUUUUCACAAAUAUUCUCUUUUUUCACACAAUUCCAAUUAAUAAAUAUUUUGUAUAGGAAAUAUUUUCAAAUUAAUUUAUUUCCAUCAAAUUACUAAAUAUACUUUUGGUAAUAACCUUUAAUGAUAAAUUAUUUCUAAUGAAAAUUUCCAUAAGAUAUUUAUUAUCUAAAUUGGAAACUCUAGUGUAAUAAGGAAACUUCUAAUUUAUAAAAUUUUGAAAACUUGAGAGCACCUUAUCCAAUUAGGAAAGAUUUAAUUCUUCAAGGAUUCUUAAAAAUAAGUUUAAUAAAGAUAUUUUAGAUCCUUAAGAAUAAAUUUAAAAAGAAACUUUAGCUCUCAUAUUCAAAAUAAAGUUGUCUCUAUUGAACAUAUUGAAAAUACACUUAUGUUGGCAAAUCCAUUGACUAAAGGCUAUCCACUUAAGCUUUUUAAGAAUUAUGUUACGCGCAUGAGCUUGUGACAAGUUUGUCAAAUUUUGAUUAAUUGAGAGUGUAAUGUAUGUAAUCACAUUAUAAUAAAAAUAAAAGUUUUUUAUUAUGAUAUAUUGAUGAUUAAUAUUCUGUUACUUUUAUAUAUCAAUUUUGUGCACAAUCUAGAUGUUUAAAAGUUAAUGGGACCAUUAUGUGAAUGAAUUAGCAUUAUCACCUUAAUGUUGGUAAAAGUCAUUUAUUCAUGUUAAUGGAGGUGUUGGUACUAUUAUCUUUGAAGAAUAUUGUAUCGUUGUGUGAUCCAAUCAUUUCAAUGAUUUGGUGUUGGUGAUUCCAUGAAACAAAAUUUUUAACUUAAGGAAUGCCAAUUUUUGGGAAAUUGUUAUAGUCAUAUUAUGUUUUAAUCUAUUAAAAAUAUUAUUAUGUAGGCCAAGUGAGAAAUUGUUAGCAUAAUGUGUUGUCAUUCAUAAUUAUAUUUGUGUAAUGAAUUGAUAUAUAUUAUUUAAGACUAUCAAUUGAUUGGUAGGUGAAUCAAUUGAUUGAACAUCUAAGAGUCUUGUGUAUAGAAGACUAAAAUUAUAAAUAGGGAGUUAAAAUUUUUCAUUUAUCUAAGUGUGGUCACUACAAGAAAAAAAGCCUUCAUUGACAGUUUUUCACUAUCAAUGUAAGGUAUAUCUGUGAAGGUAGGUUGUUGUUCAUAUAUGUUAUUAUGCCAGUGUCAAGAAAAGUUUAAAGGUAACUUAACAUAUACAUAUGUUAAGAUUUUCUCCAUUUUUACAAAUGAUGAAAUCUUAUUAGUAUGUGAUAUGUCAAUGUUUCUUUCAUUUAUGUUAAGGUUGGAUUCAACUUAUAUCAAGAUUACUUAAUCUUAUGUCAAGGUUAACUCACUUUUUUGUUAAGAUUAGUCCUACAAAUGUCAAGGUUAGGUAUCAUAUAUGUCAUGAUUAACCCCACAUUUAUCAAGGCUUUUAGAUACAUAUGUCAAGGUUGGAUUUUAUAUAUAUCAUAAUUGACUUAUAUAUGUCAAUGUUUGGUAUCACAUGUCUUGGUGGGCACCAUAUAUGUUAAGGAUAGGUACCACAUGUGUCAUGAUUGCUCCCAUAUAUCUCAAAUUUGAGUAUAAUGUAUGUCAAUGUAAGGAAUAAGUACUAUCAAGGUUCCCUCAAAAAAUUUUAAAAUUAUUUUUUAAUAUGAAAAAUUAUACCUGUUUCCAUGUAUAAUCAAUUUGAUAUUAUUUAAGAAUGAUAAUGACAAUCAAAUUAUCAUGAUUUUAUAUAUAAUCAAAACAUAUUUAAUAUACAUUUGAUUAUUAAUUAAAGCACAAAUCAAAGAACUUGUUUAAAGUUGUCCCCAAUUUCUCUAUAUAGAAGAAACUCAUAUAAUAUACAACGAAAUUAAAAACACACUAUAAGACAAUAUACAUAAACUUAAAUUAAGUUGCUCAUGUAUAUAUCUACAACCAAGUCUCUUGCCUCCAUCUUGAAGCAUUACUUUAUAGGAAAGCCUUAAAUUUCCAACACCCAGACUUCGAAUCUGUAGAAAAAAAUAUAGAGCAUAUUAACAAAUUAAAAAGAAAAAUGUAUAAUGAGAAGCAAUCAAAUAUCAAGCUUUAUGAAGAAUUUUAAUAGCAAGCUAGCCACUACACCUUUAUUAGACAAUAAUAGAUUAUUUCUUAAUAACACAAGUAAACAAACCAACUCUCAAAUAUUAAAAUAUUGAUAUAGCAAAAACAUAUGGAGACUAAAACUAGGAGCAAAACCUAAAACAAAAAUCAUUUUAACCUAAUGAAGUUAUUGUUUUGGUCCAACCUCAACCAAGAUAUUUAACAAUUUAGAUCAUUAUUAUGAUUUUUUAACCUAACACUUUCCCUGAAAUGUCUAAGGUUUCCAUCAAACUAUACAAGUCAAAGAUAGCCCUAAGUUAUUCAUAGUAUAUAAAUUAGUAUGAAAGCCUCAAAACAAUGAUUUAAUAUCAUGAUAUAUAGACAUGCAAUUUCACAUUCAGUUCCCUACAGGGUUGGUUAAUAUUCGUAGCCUAGACUUCGCCGUAAUAUCAAAUACAAUGAUAUUUCAUUUAAACUUGUUUUGAAAAUGAAUGCAAUGAUAAAAUGACACUUGAAACCUAUUUUAAACUUGAGUGCAUGCCUACAUUGAAUGUUAAGACAAGUUAGAGUGGGGAUCUCUAGCUUAAUUUGACACCAAAGAAAAGACCGAAAAUAAGAAUCACUGAGUAUAUUGAAAUCACAUCUAUAGACAACAAUUAAAAUAAAUAAAAUGAUAUUUCAUUUACAGAAUUGUUUGUUUGGUAUAUGUUUAUCCUGACACUAUGAAAACAUAUGGACAUGUAUUUUCCUAUCCAACAUAUGCCAUGUGCACAGUCAUGUCAGCUCAUAUAUAUGUCUAGCUAAUGAAGUCAUCCGUGAUUUGUGAAGACAAACAUAUAGGCAACAAGAACAGUUAAAUUUUCCAUCUGACCUUUGAACCACUAAAUGUUGUAUGAUGCAACUGGGGGUAAGGGACACUAAAGAUACUUUUAAGUUCUGCAUCAGUACUAUAGCAAUAAUAUACCUUUUUCCCCCUCUCAAGCUGUUCAUUUCAGCAAAGAGAGCCCUGACAAGAUGCUUAUGAGUUAUGUCGCUAUCCAAGUAAAUGAUUUCUAAACCUAUCAAAGCUGAAGGUUAUUCUUUGCCUGCAUCAACAUAUUUCUAUGAUCAAAUUUCUACAGCGGUCUUGAAUAACUUUACAUUUGUUCAUAGUCAAGCGCACUUGAUGAUAAAGGGAAAAAGCAUCACUGGAACAACCAGAAAUUUCUCUAUAACAUAGGAUCUGGUGGGUAGUUUAAUAAAUAAAUAUGGUGGCAGCAACUUUGUUAUGCGAGUGAGCAAGUCGAUAUGCCAACAUGAAAACAUAGACUAUAUUCUACAAGCCUACAACAUGCAUGGGUUGGAAGUCAACCUAGACUUUUCGCUGCUGCUUGUGGAUCAACAUAAUAUGAUUCUCAAAAUCAAAACAAAGACAAAAGACUAUAUACAACAGCUGACCUAAUGAAUGAUUAGUUUACAAAGUGUAUUGUGACAUCUAUAUGAAUAAAAAAUUCACUGCAACAUAAGGACAAAGAAAUAUCACAAGUAUCUUUAUGAUUUACCAAAAUCAAUGUAAGGGCUUUAUGCAUACUCCAAUCAGAAACUUAGCAACAUACUGCACAAGGAUAUGACUAAAAUUUUCAUGAGUCAGACCUUUCUGAAAGCAAUCACAACCAUGCCUUCCACCUCAGCUAUUUUGGAGACAAUUUUAGAUAAUUUUCAGAAGACACCAACCAAAAUAACAAGGAGCUUAGUUGUGAAACCCUUCUAUAUAUCAUUUUUAUUAAUCGUUCUGGCAUGCAGAAAAAAAAAUGAUAACAAGACAUAUCAUUUUCCUUCACUUUCUUGGGAACCAAUCAGAAAUCAAGAACACACUGUACUUCAUUCUUGUUUCAUUAAAACCAAACAAACACUGAGAAAAAGAAAGAAAACACAGUGCAUAUUAAACCUAGAUCACUUUCUUGGAAACCAAACAAAGCAGAAGAGGAAAGAUAAAAACGUACGUUUGAAAACGAGAAACCAAAGUACCAAACAAAAAUCAAGAACCUACUUUACUCCACUCCUGUUUCUUGUAAACUAAAGAUAAACCAAGAAAAAAAAAAACCCAAACAUAAACCAAGAAAAAGAAAGAAACUACUAUCCAGAGUGUUACAACUUUUGUAGCCCUGUCAUUAUGAGAUUUAAUUUGUGCAUAAAGUUUAUGAGUAAUGGAGGAAGAUGAAAAAGUAUAACCUAUACAAUUACAUGAAUGCAUUCAAGUUAAUAACCUACCAUGAUCCAUUAAUUUUUACAUAAUUCUCAUGUAAUCUUUGAUAGGAGGACUAAGAGUUAUAAAUCGAUCCCUUCUAGAAGGUUAAGGUCUCAAAUCACACUCUCAUUUUUAUGUUUUAUUUUAUUUUAUUUAUAACAAUAUACACCGAGUACAAAUGUGACUCAUCCACUAUAUAAGAGUAGUAAGUUGAAGAUCUUGAGCAAAAACAAUUUACAAGGUAACUAAGACUCACUUUAAAAGUUUUAUUGAUAUCAUGGAUCAAGGUAAGAAUAUAAUCAUUAUUUUAUCAUUUCUUUAAUGUUUAUAUCUAUUAUGUUUUAUGCAUCCAAAUUGAUUUUCCAAAAUAAUUAUUCCACAUAAAGUUUUGUUAACAUAUUAUACUCAACCCAAUUUAGUAAAAAAAAAUGUGUCAAGUUCGAGUCAUGUUGACGAAUCGUAUCAAAUUUUGUCACCCCUAACUAAGAAUUCCAUAUUUAUAGUAAUUGUUAGUAAAGUAUAGGGGUUGGGUUUGAACUUCAAUUGCCUAGUCCUGGCCUCAUAUACUUAAUGGGCCUGGAAAUCUAGCCCAACUACACUGUUGGCGGGAGUACAAGGUGAAAAGUUGGGCCAUGUUUGAUGAAAAUAACUCCAAAUAAAAAAUGAAAUUAACUUCCAUAAAUGGAUUAAAAAUGAUUCAAAUAUUUUUCAUUUAUUAAUGAGAAAGUGAAAUUUUUAUUUUCAAAAAUAUAAAAAUGAAAAUGUUAAAAAAAAAAAAAUGGUAGUUGACACAUUUUCAAGUGAAUUGAAAAUUACAUUUUAAAGAUGAAUAAUUUUUAAAAAUAAUAUUAAAUGCUAUUCUUUAUACUUAGAAAAAAAUAUAUACGCAUUUUAACACAUAAAAGUGAUUAAGAAAUUACUUUUAUUUUUAAUAUUAAAAAAUUAUUUCCAUUUUACAUGUCCUUUGAAGUAGAGUUGCAGCUUUGACUAUUCAAUCCAACUCAACCUAAUCUCUUACAAGCAAUUUAAUUUGUAAUUUUGGUUGAGUUUAGGGGAAAAAAAAAGUGCCAACUUGAGUUAAAAUUAGAUGGAUGACACAACUUAAAUCUAACCUCAACCCUAUUAUAUACUAGUAUAAAAUUUAAAUAAUUUAUAUUUAAAUAUAUAUAUCAUUUAAUAAUAUUAUAUUAACUUUUACCCAUAACUAUAGAUUUGCUUAUAAAUGUCAUAUAAUCUUAUAUGAUAGUCUUUUCUUUUGUUUUAUUUUUUAUUUUAGAUUUUUUUAUAUUCAUUUUGGUGAUGACUUGCAUAUGAUUAUAAUUAUUGAAUUGAUGCAACAAUGAAUGUUGUAAGUUUAUAAACUCACAUAUUAAUUUAUAAAUAUUCUAGUUUUACUUAAAUAAUAUUAUUAAUAUUUUAUUUAUUAAAUAUUAAGUUAUUUAGUGAAAUAUUUGGUUAUUGAAAAGUACUAUGAAAAUUUUUAAAAAAAUAUUAAAAAUAAUAAUAAUAAUUUUCUCAUAUUUGGAUAUUUUAUAAAAAAAUAUAAAAAAAAAUCAAAUAUAAUUAAAAUUAGUUUGAAAGUAUGCAUUUUUAAAUUAUUUAAUCUUUAUAUCAAAAAAUUAAAAUAAGUUAAAUGAGUUUAAAAUAAUAUACAAAAAUAAUUUAUUAAUUUUAAUUUUUUUUUAUUUUUCACUUUCUUUCCCUUUUCUUCCCUUUGCAUUUUCCUUUAAAUUUUCUUAAAAUCAAAUAUAACCUUAAUAAAAUUUACAAUAGUUAAUCUAUAAAAAAAAAAAAAAAAAUGUUGAGUUAAACUUGAGUUAUAUAAUCUGAUUCGAACCUCGGAUUGGAUCGGCUUGGAUUAACCAUCAACCUGAUCCGACGUGACAUGAGUUUCACUUGCACCUGCUCAAAUGCAUUGCACCCAUGUUGAGGUUUUACUUAUACAGAUAGGACCCAACUGCUAGGGUUUAUUCAAUAAAUGUCUAUAUGGUCAUAUGAAGCUAGGACCCAACUGCUAGGGUUUAAGCUCCUCAGCCUUCUCUUCUAGACCCCAAACUAAUUUGUCUCUUCGCCCACCACUGCAAACCGGGCUUCCAUGGCUCCUCAGCAUCUCGCUCUGUUCCCUAUACCACAAUACUAUCAAGUAAGAUCUGUCUGCUCUCUUCUUCACUCCUCAUUUCUUCAAAUACGCCUCCUCAUUUAACUCCUACUCCCUAUAUUUUCUUCCAUGUGCUUCAAUUCCCAUGUGGGUUUCUUCAACAAGGUGGGUUUCUUGUAGAAAAUUUAUCACCCACGUUCAAUUAACCCGAUUUAAUUCUGUUUGGGGUCUUGCCCAUUUGAGCCCUGCCGCGCAAUACCCAAUUGCUGAAGAACAAGCUGUUUAUACCUAUAGCAAGGACUCUGUUGGUGAUCGUUUUAUUGAUUUAAAUACAAGUAGAGUUGUUGAAAUCUUUUAUAAUUUGAAAAACGAGCCUAAUCUCGCAUGGUCGUUUUUUACCCAAUUGAAAGAAAGCGGUUUUCAGCACAAUGUUGAUACGUAUGCGGCUUUAAUCAGAGUACUGUGUCGUUGGCGCUUGGAAAGGAAGUUGCAGUCUUUGUUAUCGGAGAUUGUUGGGUCAAAAGAGAGUGUAUUGGGUUUUGAUAUUACAGCUUUGUUUGAUGUUCUGAGGGAGGGAGGGGGGGAAGUUGAGGGUGAGCAUUCGAGUGUGUUGAUUCUGGUGCUUGAUAUGUUGGUUAAGGCUUAUGUUAGGGUUGGUAUGUUUGAUGAGGCCAUUGAUGCUCUGUUUCAAACAAAAAGACGAGGGUUUGUUCCUCAUAUAAUGUCUUGCAAUUUUUUGAUGAAUCGUUUGAUUGAACAUGGGAAGAUUGAUAUGGCAGUGGCGAUUUAUCGGCAUUUGAAGAGGUUGGGUUUGAACCCAAAUGAUUAUACUUAUGGCAUUUUCAUAAAGGCACUUUGUAGGAAGGGUAAUUUUGAAGAAGCUGUUGAUGUGUUUAGGGAGAUGGAAGAAGCUGGAGUGAACCCUAAUGCUGUCACAUGCAGUACAUAUAUUGAAGGGCUUUGUUCCCAUAAGAGGUCGGAUUUGGGUUAUGAAGCCCUCCGAGCAUUAAGAGCAGCAAAUUGGCCAAUUGAUACCUUUGCUUAUACAGCAGUUAUUCGUGGGUUUUGUAGUGAGAUGAAAUUAAAAGAAGCAGAGGACGUCUUCAUUGAUAUGGUAAAUGAAGGGAUAGCCCCUGAUGGGUAUAUCUAUGGUGCCUUAAUUCAUGCUUAUUGCAAGGCUGGGAAUUUGCUACAAGCUGUGGCUCUGCACAAUGAUAUGGUGUCAAAUGGAAUUAAAACAAAUUGUGUCAUAGUUAGCUCAAUUCUUCAAUGCCUGUGUGAAAUGGGCAUGGCUUCUGAAGUGGUGGAUCAAUUUAAGGAGUUCAGGGACUCAGGGAUUUUCCUUGAUGAGGUUUUGUACAAUAUUGUGGUGGAUGCUCUUUGUAAACUGGGGAAAGUGGAAGAAGCUGUGGAAUUGCUGAAUGAAAUGAAGGGUAGGCGCAUGUCUCUGGAUGUCGUGCAUUAUACAACUUUGAUUGCUGGGUAUUGUCUCCAAGGUAAACUUGUUGAUGCUAAGAAUAUGUUUGAAGAAAUGAAGGAAAGGGGCAUUGAACCUGAUAUUGUUACCUAUAACAUACUAGUUGGUGGGUUUUCUAGAAAUGGUCUCAAAAAAGAGGCACUUGAGCUUCUCGAUUGCAUUGGGACACAAGGCCUGAAACCCAAUUCUGCCACACACAACAGGAUCAUUGAAGGUUUAUGUAUGGCAGGGAAAGUGAAGGAAGCUGAAGCAUUUUUAAAUACCUUGGAGGAUAAGUGUUUGGAAAAUUAUAGUGCCAUGGUUGAUGGGUACUGCAAAGCAAACUUUACAAGAAAGGCAUAUGAACUAUUUUCUAGGCUUUCUAAGCAGGGAAUUUUAGUUAAGAAAAAAUCAUGCUUCAAACUACUAAGUAGCCUCUGUAUGGAAGGGGAGUAUGACAAAGCUCUUAUAUUGUUAGAGAGAAUGUUGGCUUUGGAUGUGGAGCCUAACCAAAUUAUGUAUGGUAAACUCAUAGGUGCCUUUUGUCGGGAUGGAGAUAUGAAAAGGGCUCAAUUGGUGUUUGAUAUGUUGGUUGAGAGAGGAAUAACUCCUGAUGUCAUCACCUACACAAUGAUGAUAAAUGGUUAUUGCAGGGUGAACUGCUUGCGAGAAGCCCGUGAUAUUUUCAAUGAUAUGAAGGAGAGAGGAAUUAAACCUGAUGUUAUCACUUACACAGUUGUGCUUGAUGGUCAUUCGAAGGUAAAUUUGAAAAUGGCUCGUUCCCUUCAAUUUUCAAAGGGGAGCGAAGAAGAAAAAAUGGAUGCUUCACCUUUUUGGAGUGAAAUGAAGGAAAUGGGAAUAAAACCUGAUGUUGUUUGUUACACUGUUUUGAUCGAUAGUCAUUGCAAGACAAACAACCUUCAGGAUGCUAUUAACCUGUAUGAUGAAAUGAUUGCUAGAGGACUACAACCUGAUAUUGUGACAUACACAGCUCUUCUGUCCAGCUGUUGCAGUAGGGGUGAUAUGGAUAGGGCUAUAACCCUUGUUAAUGAGAUGUCAUUUAAAGGGAUAGAACCAGAUAGCCGAGCCAUGUCAGUGCUGCACCGUGGUAUUUUAAAGGCCCGGAAAGUGCAAUUUCGGUAGUAGACACUUUGAUAAUCAGUGGCUAGAAGAACCAAAAUUAUUUAUAUUAGCCCAACCACGUGGUGUAAGGUAGGUCGCAAUGAAUUGUGCUACUGAUUUCUAUUCUAAUUUGGAAAUACUCUGAAAACACCUUUUACAGUGUUUAUAUACAAGAGUGAAUUCUUGACGUUGGCACAGGCUUGAAGAAAUGGGAGCUUUGUGGCGGGAUGCUUGGAAGCCAUUUAUUUUCAGGUAUGUGAAAGGUAGAUUGUGUUGGAGCUGGAUGGUGUACAUUAGGUAUCCUUGCCUUAUACUUUAUUUGAUUAUGUAUUGCUAAAUGUUAUGGAGGCUCCUGUCCCAUACUUAUUUUGCUUUCCCCUCUAAUAUAUUCUUUAUCAAUAUUGUUUAAAAAAAAAAAAAGGAGAGUUGUGUUUUAAUGGCUUUUUAGUUAUGGACCCAUCUACUGUAACAUCCAACUUUAUUUUGUCUAUUAUCGUAAAGCACGGUGAUCACAAAAUCUAAUAAUUGACAUUUGUGUUUUACAUUCGUCUAUUAUAGAUAAUAUAAGUUGGGUGAUUUCUCUCGUUCCAAUUUGAAAUCCAAUUUGAACUUUAUGAAAAUUCCACUCAUUCCACCUUUUCUAUCAUUAUCUAUUUAUGCAGCCAAUUACCCUUUCUCACAUAAGUAGGUGGUAAAAGUGACAUGAGUUACAUCUUCCUGCACUUUAGUUGAGAAGACCUCUUAGUCUCAAAUGGCUGUAUACAUUUGAAUCUGAAACAAACAUAGUUGGAGCAGGGGAGUUGUCCUUGUGAGGUUUGAUCAUGUGGGAAGUGUCUAAACAACUUGUAAUACAUUAGCAUAGAAACUCGAAUUUUAAGUUAGGCUUAUUGUUUUGUACUGCAGGUUUGCCUCAAUAAACUUGUAAUUCUGUCACGAUUAGGCUUACAAGGUUCUGAGUUUGAGAAGCACUUAAUCAAUGUUAUGAAGCAGGCAAGUCACCUAAUAUAGGAGGCUAUUGCAAUUAAGGUUUGAUUAACUUUGAUUGGUAAUUGUGAAAUGAUCCUGCAGCAUUACAUAAUCAUAUCAUAGAAAAAGCAUUGAAAUUGAAUAUCAUGAGAUAAAAAUAAUUAAAAGCAUUGUAAUCUAUUUAUGACAUCAUAUAGCCAAAAAAAAGGCAUACUUUGAAAUAUGCUCUAGGUUACAGAUUUGUUUGAAUUGUACUAAUCAUUUUAUUUUUGGACUGAAUGUUUUUAUCCUUUUCUUAAAAUCAUUAAUGGGUAAUUGAGUGAGAUGUCUUCACCCUUUAGUAAGGAGGUUGGUUUUGAUAAUGUAUCAAGAUUAUGAUGUUGUGCUGUAUUAUUUGUAUGCUGUGCAGUUUUAUAACAACCAAUUCUCUUCUGUGUAGAUGUUGUUUGUGUUGGGUCCAGUGGACUCUUAAGACUUUAAAAAGCAUCUACACGUUAAGAGAAGUCCACUUAGGUAUAUUGUGGUAGUGUUAGGAACUUCUUUCUUUAACCAAUGUUCAGACCAUAAAAAAUCAUUCAUUUUUUGUAUGGGAUGUUAGUAAGGAUGAACAUAAUGAACUUUAAAGGAGUAGGGAAGGCUACUCUGGGAAUUCGGAUUAUGGUGGGGUCAUAGGAGAUGGCAAUGGCGCUGUUAUAUAAAAUUAUUUUGUUCUUUCCUCAUAGAAGGGGUUCACUAGCUAAGAGUUAAGAUGUUCUUGAUAUAUCAACCAACCUGACUUUUGGCCUCUGAAACUUUCAGGUUAACUCCCUUGUGAGCUUUAUACAACAAUCCUCAAGGGCUUUACAGAGUGACAAAGCAAAGAAAAAAGGUGCUAUUUCUGUAUUACAUUUAUGUGCAAUUUUAUUUCAGUCUAUGGAGUCAGAAGCUGAUAUCUGUUCUUUUGGGCCAAUAGCUUAGCAUGCGGUUAGUCAUGGGGAUGUGAACAAUAUCUGUCAUGAACUUCAAUAAAGGAGUUGAUUUAAGUAAGACAGAUGAGUUGGUUGGUUUGAACCAAACAUUCAAAAUGACUCUAGAUGUACCUAGGAUGAAGAAAGAUAAUGAUGUUGUGUUAAAUACAACAAAAGAAGUGGAAAAUGAACCUAAUUCAAAAGUUGAAUCCAUAAUGUCCAUUGCUAAAAUUUCUUAGUUUUCUAAGAAGCUAAAGAGAGACAUAGGGUUUGUUUGGAACAGUCAAGAAAACUGUUUUUCAUAUUUGAGUUUUCAAACAUAAUUUUGUUCUUAAAAGCAAUUGAGAACCGUUUUUUAAAAUUGUUCUCAAGAACUGUUUUUUGAGAAUUGUUUUGACCCCCUAAAUUUCUAAAGGAACAAAGAGUAACUAACUAGGAAAAUAAGACCUUGUUUGGGAAUGAUCUUGGUUGACACACUUUUAAUUGAGUGUUUUUGUGAGUAGUGUUUCCAUUAGGAACUCUUUUAAAGAAAAUCACCAGGUGUUUGAAUAUUAACAAUAAUACUGCUUUGGUAGUAGUGUUUUCUAUGAUGUGUUAUAUAAAAAUAAAUAAAUAAAUAAAUGAUUUUUGGAAAAAUCACCUAUCAAGUGAUAGUACAAGAAUCAUUUUUAAGUGAUUCUUUAAUUAUUAAACGUAAUUUUCAAAGUUUUAUCAAACACCUAGUUUCUAUAGGGAAGCGCUAUCAAGCAUUAGGAAGCUUUUCUAACCCUCUCAAAGUCACUUACAAUCAUGCUCUAAAUAAGAAAAGAAAUUUUUUUUUCAAAAGACAAAAAGCAUAGGGAAGAUCCAACUAAAACUAAGUGCUUUAGCCAUGGUAGGAUAGCUCAUUUUGCCUAUGAUGAUGAAUCCACCAAUUACAUAGCAUGUAUUAUGAUAUUUUGAUUGAUUUUUUUUUUCUCAUAAGUAAAUGAAAUAAAUAUGUUAAAAGCACAAUCUAACAAUAUGUAACAUCCAAUGUAAAUAGUUAGAGCCUAUUUGGUAUAACUUUUAAGAGCCCAUUUGGUAGUAAUUUUAGGAAGUGUUUAUAAUAUUUCUAACACCUGAAAAUUUUUAUCAUUCAAGUAUUAAAAAUGUUAAAAGCGUUUCCUAAAAUCACUAUCAAACAUAUUUUUAGAGUUCUUUUGGCAGUGAUUCUAGAAAGUGUUUCUACCAUGUCUAAUACUUGAAAAUUUUUAUUUUUCAAGUAUUAGAAAUAUUAAAAAUACUUCCUACAAUUAUUGUCAAACACACUCUAAGUUUUAACUUCAUUAACAUAGGAGUAUAAAUAAGAGUAAUUGUGUGAAUGAAUAUGUGUUUAAGGAUAGUAUUUUUAAAAUAUUUUUAAUUAAAAUCAGUAUAAUUUUCACAUUUUAAAAAUAUUUUCUAACUAAUUGCUUUCCUUAUUGCAUUUGUGGUCUUGUUUGGCUUGACUUUUAAGAGAUCGAUUAUUUAUUUAUUAUUUUUUAAGUUUAAAGUUUUUUGUUAUAGAUAAGUUCAAUAAAAGCUUCUAUUUAAUAAAACUUUUAUAAUACUAGUAUUACUCUUUAAAAAUUACAACUUCGGCUUCGGCCUUAGCUUCCAAAUAAAUUAGGUAUUUAUUAUGAAUUUGUGUAUCUUAGUUUAUUUAGGAUGACAUAAAUACACUUUAUACCUUGAUAUGAGUUUCUUGCAAGGCAUCGUCACCUGAUCAUGAUUGUUGAUGUUGUGGCUGUUAAAGGCGUAUACAAGUAAAUGUUACUUUUGUAACCUAUAUAAAUAAUUUUAUAAAUCAAUCUUAUCUUGAUUUUUAUUUAUUAAAAAAUAAAAAUUAAUUAAUAUGAUAUGCAGGUGCUUUGAGGAACUUAGAAUGGACAUGAAGAUGGAGAAACACAGGCAUUGGUUGAGAUGUGUGAAGGGUGUUGUUGGGGAUUCAAUCCAGAGAUGGAGAAAAUAGAGUUAUCGAUGAGAAACAGAAUGAUUUUGAGAUUUUUCCAUUCUCAUUCCCUAUUCCAAUGUUCAAAACACGGACGCAGCUCAUUGAUAAGGAAAUCAUACGUCAUUCAAUUAUUUUACUCAAUGUAACCUCUUGUGUUCUAAUGAAGAUCAGACCUCUUCAUCAUCCUGCACCAAAGGCCAUUCUUGGUAUGGAUUGUUGCUCCUGUGACCAACUCCACAGAUUCUGGACCUCCUUUCAGCUCAACAUCAAAUUUCUGCAGCAACAUGGUCAAUGCAAUGGUCGACUCCAUGAGUGCAAAUUGGUCUCCCACACAUUUUCUCGGCCCUCCACCAAAGGGUAAGAAGGCGAAGUCUGCAACAAUCUGGUAUUUGCAUCCACAAACUCGGUUACUGAUUAUAGCAAUGUGAUGAACAUGAGGGUUAAGUGGAAAAAAGAGUGGUUAGUAGUAACCUCAUUGGGGUACAACGCUCCAGGGCUCCGUGAUGGAUCAAAGCCGGACCAUCCUUCAAUGUCGCUGUUCCUUGGUACUAGGAACCUCUCUGGUUCAAAUUCAUGGGGGCGAUCCCAGAAGUAUGGGGACCGAUGGAGGUUAUAUACCUGAAAAGGAUGCGGGUUUAUGGAGAAAAUGUGUACAUGGUGGAAAGCAGAAAAGCAAGAGCACAAACAAAAGUGAUGGAAGUUGUUCUACUCACUGAAAGAAAGAUAUCAGUCCCAGCAGGAAUUGAGUGGCCGUCCUUUUUACCCUUGUAUCCACCUACACAAGCAAACAUUUCUAGGCUUAACCCGAGUAUUAAAACAAGGAAACCCAUCUCAUGCCUACAAUAAGAAAAAGAAAGCAGAACUUGUCCGUUCAUUAUCAUUGUUUUUUUCUUUUGUUCAUUCAUUAUCAUUUUUUUUUUUUUUCCUUUUUUUGAUAAUGAAGAAUCAACACUACGUUUAUCUUAACUGUCAGAGAAGUAAACCCAAGUGAUAUGGACCCAUCGCUUUACCCUACACCACUUAAAUACUGAGGAGACUCGAACUCAGAACCGCUGGAUCAUUGCCAGAAGGUGCAGUCAUUUUUUUUUUUUUUCUUCCCUUGCCAAAACUGAGGAGCUCAAUUUUCUGAAUUACUGCAAGGUGUUAUUACAAGGACUGGAAGAACAUCUAAUGAAUGUAACAGAAUAAUUCAAUAGCUGACAACCAUUUAUCAACUCAAUACUGCAAGGUCAUUUCUAAGUAAAUAACAAAAAUGAUCGAUAAAAUAUUAAUUCAAGAAUUAAAAUGUGGUUUUUGGAGAAUAGCAAAUGAGGAGAUUUACCUGGUAAUGCAUCUGACUUGAGGGAACGUCUGAUCAGUAAUGGGGGCUGAGGAUACAAACGGAGAGACUCUGCAACAAUGAGUCUUAUGUACCUAAAUGCAUGAAACAUAACAGAUCUUUAUAGUCUGAGCCAGGAAACUUGCCUAUACAACUGAAAUGUCCCAAUAGUAGAUUCCCCUAUAAGUUAGGAGUAGGAAAAAAGAAAGUUGAGUCUAUGGUACAAGUUCUUCAAUCCAGUUUACAGCUUUAGAUUUUCCAGGAAUCUCGCCCACAAAAGCCAGAAAAGGAAAAGACAUUUGAGGUUAGUUGUAAUAUGUACUCUUUUUUUUAUAAGAAAAAAAGAGGAUAUGUAUUAGAAGGUGCCAAACAAAAAAAUAACGGGACUUAAGUUCAUAGGGAGUAUACAUGAAGCAUCAAAGGGCAAAACCAAGAAACAGAAAGCAACACACGCAAAACAAUAUCCUAUUCAUUUCCUGAGUUACCAAUGAAAUCUAACAGUCAUAAUGUCACCCUUCUGAACUUCCCUCAACCAAGAGAAGCGAGAAACAAGUAUGAGCUUUUUCAAGAGCUAACUCAGAUUGCUCCAAACCUUAAGAACUCAAAAGGCUAUAUUGAUUCCCAAAAUGUACUAAGGAAAGAAGAAAAUGGUAGGAAAAAUAAUUUUCUCAUAUUUGGUUUCAUUACAUAAAUUUUGAAAAAAAAAAUCAAAUAUAAUUAAAAUUAGCUAGAAAUUUAUAAUUUUUUAAGUUAUUUAAUCUUUGAAAAAAAGUGAAAUACAUUUAAAGCAAUAUAUAAAAAUAAUUUAUUGAUUUUAAAUCUAUUUUUUAAUCUUCCUUCACUUCUCCUUUCUAUGUACUUUUCCUCUCCAUUUUCUUUUUCUUACAUUUUCCCUCAACUUUUCCAAAAACCAAACAAAGCGAAAAUGUUUGAAGGGUUCAUUCUCCAUAUUGUCUUCCUCUCCUGACCAAUAAAACUACCCAUGCCAACCAACUGGUGUGUUCCUGAUGCUAUGAGCAAGACCCAAGAAACUGGGGAGGGGCCAUAAAUAUAUUCUUUUCUGAUAAGUGAUGUAUAUCUUUACUCAAUUGCAUAUUUAUCAAUAGGUUGCAUUCCAAUACACAAUUUUUAUUAAUUACUGUCUCAACCAAUGGAAUCCAUGUUUUGUGCACAUAAUAUUGUAGGAUUGUUUUUUUUUUUUUUUUUUUUUUUUUUUUUGAUAAGUGCGUAUCGUAGUUACUGUUUCACAUAUCUACAAACAUAUCAAUCUAUUAAAUUAUAUUCAGAACUAAACUUGUUAGGGCCUAUUUUACAUUUUAUGAAUCAUUUAGAGUAAAUCUUUCAGUUUCAACAUCAAGUAUUGUGUUUUUUCUUUAGAUGCAAUUUCUUUGUUUUUGUUCCCUUUUAGUUUUCUGAAAGUUUUUUUUUUCAAUGUUUUUGUUGUAGUUUAGGUCCCAAAAGCACAAAUUUUAACCAAUAUUUUGAUGACCGAAGAAGAUUCCUAAGAUUCUUGUUACAAAUGUCACAUUAAGAUUAAUUCCAUAUAUUUGAUUCGUAACUAAAAAAAAAAAAAAAUACUGCAAAUUUGGAACAUAUUUUGUACUUUAAUAGAAACUGAUUUUAACCAAUACUUCCAACAUUGACCUGAAUUUGUAUAAAUCCUUCUACAGAAGGGAAGAUUUGAAACCGAAUUGAAUGUAACUCAUCAAGACACCUCCUGUAUGCAGAGAUGAGUUGUGAAAUUCAGAGCUCUUACCUAAAUGUUUAGACAGGUAAAAACACAAGCCUACUGAAACAUAAUUACCUUCUGUAAUAAGUAGAACAAGCACUCAAAAAGAAACUGAUUCGAUGACUUACUCCAAUUUUUUUAGUGAUUCAAAGGAUAUUCUGCCCUGACCAAGAACUGAAUCAAUCUCAGCUUGAGCUUUUUUCAUCUUGGAGGGAUUCUGCACUACAGAAAUUCAAUACACAUUAAUAUGGCUGUACAAUUUUUGGGAAAAACAAAUUAAUUCAUGCAAAGUGGCAGUAAAUUGUGCUGCAACUUGGGUGGGUUGGAAGGCUAAUUUGUGCCAAACCCGCCUAUCCACAUGUGAACCCACACCAAGCCCAUGAGCAAUGGGCGACUCGGGUUCCUAUGGGUCCUCACAGAUUGUCACAAGUUAUCAAACAAAAGGCUUAUAAUAGAGUUACCCAAUAAAUAAAAUACUUAUUUCAAAGCUAUAGAAGAUAAAUCAUACGAUAAAAUACGAUUUUAAAAGCUAAAUAGGUCUCAAGCUAUCAAAUAUAUUAUCAGUCACUAAUUUAAUAUAAAUGGCAACUCUUAAACUCAAGUUUCAACAUUUAAAAAUAUUUUACUAACUAAAUAAUAAUAAUAAACUUAUUAGUAUAAUACAAUUAUAAAAGGCAAAGGCUGGAGUUCUCUCAUUAUCCUUUUUAUAUUUUCAUGUUUUAAAUAAAAUGAUAUAUAAUUAAAAAAUAAUAAUAAUAAUAAUUCAUAAUAUAUGGGUUUGGGUUUCGAUGAAUUGGCCACACCUUCAAUUUGCAGCAAGCCUAAUAUUUUCUGGUUGGUAUUUUCAAACCUAAAUCCGACUCCAACCCCAACCCAUUCACACAUUGCUCACACAAACCUGAACCUUGGGUUGACUUGGGAUGGCCAGGUUGGACCCACCCAAGUUGCAGCCUUGUAGUAAAAGGACAUAAUUUUAGUUUUAACAAGACUACACAAGAAAGUUGAUCAUCCAGAAACAUACUUGUGCGAGUAGGAAAACAGCCCAAGUGAGAACAGCAGCAGUUGUUUCAUGGCCAGCGAUAAGCAUUGUCAUCAGGUCAUCUCUUAGCUGCAGAACCAAAAGUAAAUGCCACAUUGGACUGUAGAACAUCCCUAAUAAUUAUCAAGUGCUUGUAGGAGAAUAAUUUGCUCAAGACAAGUCCCACCAAAUGGUACACACAAACAAAUGUUCCAAUUCAAAAUCCUAAAGUUAAACAGGUCAAGCCAAAGUAUACAUGCAUAUAGCCCUUAGUAAUAGAGGAAAAAAGGGAGAAAGAAAAGAAAGCUGCUACUUGGUAAUGUUGAACAAUAUUCAAUUAUGGUAAAUCUCAAGCUAAAUUUUCUAACAAGAAAUCCUUUAUAUCCAAAGUAGGGCUAUGGAUAUUCACCUGACGGUCGUCCACAUCAGCUCCUCGCAUAUCAACUAAAAACCGCAAAAGACUUGCAUCCUGCAAGCUUCUAUAGUUUAAUGCCAAAACUAACAAGAUUGGGAUACAAAUAUUUAUAAAGCUUCUAAAUUAUAACCCAUAUUUUGCAAGUCAAUGAAAUUUAAGCAAUAUAAAGGAGAAAUAUCCACCUUAAGAUUUUGGUAGUCCCUUUGCUGCAGUUUCUCAACAUCUGUUUCCUGUCACCGAAUGUCAACAAAAUCAAAUUCCAGACACUGGAGAUGAUAUUUUGUUUAAGAACAUGCAGCAGACAAUUAAGUCAAGCACAUGUUGAUAAGAGACAACUAAAACAUGAGAGAAUGACUGUACUAUUCACUGGUGAGCUUUUUAAUUUGUUAAGAUGAAAGAGUAAUAGACAGUUUGCAUGACUUGUUACUUGUCCAAAAAGCUGUCCAUUUUCUUAUCAGGAAACACUUUUUGAGAGCAAGAUCUACUUCUAUAUCUUUUGGUCCCUUGUGUUUCAUGCAGCAUUUGAGAUUUGCUUAAUUAGUGAUGUACCGUUGAUUACAAAGCAAGUCCAAGCUGGUACAGGAUGGUUUGAAAUGCAACAGUAUAAUGGGAAUUCAGGUUUGGGGAUUGAGCUUUGCUGUAGAGAAUGUUUAAGACAAUUAGGAAAGGAUAGAGUGCAGCUUUAGGAUGAGAUUAAUGCUUUCUUCGGGCCAACUGAGGGCUCUUACACAUGGUUUAAAUUACAUACAGCAUCCACUUUUAUUCUCAACAAAAUUAAGAAUAAGAAGGAAGGAAAACCAAGGCAAUCAUAGCUAGAGUUCCCUAAGCAAUUACAUCUUUGAAGAAGACAAUUAUUACAGCCUAUAAUCAAGAAAUGUUAAUUAUCCUUGAUCUUGAUCAUUGUUCAUUGAUCAUUUCAUAAACAGAGAAUUAUGAAUUCUUUUGCACUUGUAAACCUGAAAAAAUUCAUUUUUGUUCACAAAUCAAAGCAAUCUCAAAUCAUAAUUAAGGACAAAUAAAAAAGGACAAAAAAUGUAACACUCUUAAUUCACUAUUAGAGCAGCAAGAACAGUAGUGCUACAGUAAAUUCACUUUUAUUAUUUUGAAAAUACAAAUUAUAAAUAUAUAAAGGCUACCAAUAAACAGGACAGAAAAUAAAGCAAGAGACCCCGCCCUGAAACACAUCUAAGUUGCUAGAAGAACUCCUAAACCAGUUCUUCCUCUUCUGGAAACUACCAUAUGAGAGAGUUUGGGCCUUAAGGUCCCUGGGCUCUUUUAUGCUUUUUGCUUCUGUCACUUUAAACCAUUAGAGGUAGCUAUGUUACCCAUCUGUUCUCCAGAAACAAGUGGGCUACUUCUUUGCAAACUUGUGAUCAAUUUCUGCCCCCGGCCAUACUCUUUUAUUUUUCCAAUUUAUUUUUUUAGAAGGGCAAAAGGUAGAUUUAUCAGUACAUAACAACUAUUCUGCAACUGCAUAUGUACAACCUGUUCUAAUAAUUACAGCAAAAAGAAUAAAUGAAAUAAACAAAAAGGAAACCCCAAAAAUAAACCUAUAAAGUGUUUGUAAAAAUUGAAUUGAGAAUUUCUUUUGUAAAAUUUUAAAAUUUAUAUAAGAAUUAAAGCAAAAAGAAACAGCAAAUAAAGGCCCAAUAGAUGUUUGUAUUAAGAACUAAGUGACUUUGAAUUUUCAGCUUCAAUCAUGCAGCUCAAAGAACUUCUUACCUGUCUAGUCUCUUUUGCAUUUUUGAUGAGUCCAUCAAGACAGUCAUUAAUAACCUUUAGGUCACUGUGGAACUUUCGCUGCCUUGGUACUAUCCAUCUUGCCAAAGGAACUUUCCAAUAAGGGAUGUAGAAGGUCGAUCUAUGCUCAGCUUCAAAAAGAGUACCAUAUACUGCCUGUGAUAUAUUUUUAGAGGAGCUAAUCAAAAUUUUGUGAUAGCCAAGACAGAACAAGUGAAUGCAAAUCUUUAUAUUCUAAAAGUUGGUCAGGACAAUGGUAUUUGAUAGAACUUAAAAAGAGUACAAGUUUCAACUCUCAACAUUUAGUCAGUAAAUUAUUCAGAGAAAUCAGCAGCAAUCAAUCUAAAUGUCCACUAUCUUUACAAGAGAGUUUUUUUUAUUUAUUUGUUGUUAUUAUUUGUUUUCCUUUCAAUAUGUUUGAUAGAGAGUGAAUGAUGUGUAUUUAAAGUUCUUCUGGCCCCUGCCAAAGAAACCUCCUUAAACAUGAGGUUCAAAUUAAGUUGAUAUAAAUUAUUGGAAUUAUAGUCAUCCAUGUACAAAAGAAUGUGCAAUGAUUUUCCCUGAAGAAGACUUAAAAUAACAAUGUAUGACUUACUGGAUCUUUCCUAUAAUCAUACUUCAACAUUUUUUCUUUUUGAUAGGCAGCAAAAAUAUAUUAAAAGUGCCAAAUAAAACACACAACCAAGUAUAUAGGCAAUAUACAAGACGCGUCAAGAGGCAAAGCAAAAAAAUGCAAGGGACUCUAAAAAACACAGCCCUCUAACGAAAACUCCAACCAAACGGUAAAAUCCAUCAUGGUUAGAGGAACCCCAUCUAUAUGCAACCUAGCCCAUAACACAAGGAUGCCAAGAAAAGAGGAUUUAAAGGCUUCUGUUAAAAAGCAUGAUAUACAUUAUGGGGCCAAAUUGGUAAUUCAAAAUGGUAUCAAAGUCUCAUUUGGCAGGAGGUCAUGUGUUUGAGCCUCACUGCAUAAUAUGUAUUUCCCUAAUUUAUUAAGCCAAUGCGUAAUUCUAAAAGAGGUAGAUUGUUAUUGUUUGCCUAUGAGCCUAGUGCAUCCCCACAUGCCGGUAUAAGGCCACACAUGAGGAAGAGUGUUAAAAGCAUGGUAUAUAUUGUAGACUUUUAGGAAAAUCAGUAAUUCAAUAACUUUGAUAAGAUAAUUCCUUACUUUCCAAAGCAUGUUCAUUCCUCUCUUUCCAAGAAGACUAUAAAAUACACAAAGGGAUAAUCCUCCACAUCCUCUUUUGCUUCUUUCCUACAAGAGAACCAUGACAUCCCAAGAGGAGCCUUUUUACCAAGAUUGACAUCACCCAAGCAUUCGUAAACAAAGAUAAAAAAAAACACAGUAUUCCACAACACUUGUGCUCUAGAACAAUGCAAUAGGAUGCGAUCACCUAACUCCUCAUCUUCCUUUCAAAGAAAGCAGCAAUUCACCAAAGUCCAUCCCCUCCUUUACAACGUAUCCAAUGUCAACACCUUUCCCCAAUGGGCUUCCAUGUGGAAACUUUGGAAGGUGCCAUCACAUUCCAAACAACCAUAGUAGGGAACUCUUCCACUCUUUCUUGCUUAAGAAAAUUGUAGGACCUGAUUGAAAAUUUACCCUUCUUUGCAUCCAACUAGACAUCUCAUUUUACAUAUCCCUAUUCAUUGCCACACCUUGAAGCCUUAACAAGAAGGCCUCAACCCUUCCCAUUUACCAAUCAUUUAGAUUCCUAUAAAGCAUUGGUUUCAACAUCCUCUCUCGCUUUGUUGAUUCCACACAUUAGCCACCCAGGCAUUCUUUAUCACCACUAUGCAAUACAAAGAGGGAAAAGACUCUUUUAAAGAUGAAUUACCACACCAUUUGUCCUUUUAUAAUUUCAUUCUUCUAUCGUUACCCACAAAGAAAGAGGUUCUGCAAUUAAAAUUCUCUCAGUCUCUCCUAAUGGCCCUCCACAAACUAACUUUGAAACCACCUCUACCUUCCUUGGUACACCAACCCCUUCCCCCCCCUCCCUGUACUUCCUAAUAAUGAUUCACUUCCAAAGGAAACCAUUCUUUAAGACAAAUAUUCAAUUCUAUUUUCCUAGUGAGGCCCAUUUCAGAAUUGAGAUCUUUUUAAUCUCGAGUUCCCAAUUGAAUUUUUCCCUACAAGUAAUCUCCCAUCUCACCAAGUGAGGCCCCCUCCCCCCCCCCCCAAUAAAAAGUCUCUUUGAAUCUCAAGCCUCUCGCUCACCUUCCUAGGCAUGACAAAAGAGACAUCUAGUAGAUGGGCAAGCUAAACAAAAUGCUCUUGAUGGGAGUGAAGCUCCCACCCUUAGAUAAAUAUUGUCACUUCUACAUAGCUAACUUCAUGUGGACCCUCUCUUCUACUGAAUGCCAACAAGCCCUCGACUUGAAAGGUGCUCGUAAAGAAAGACCUAGGUAAAAGGUGGGAGCUCCCCUUACCUGCAACCUAACUUAACCCCCAAAUCCUCCACAUUCGAGACACUACCCACAAGAAUCUCUGAAAAUCAUCUUGUGGAAGCUCUUAAAGAAAUCUUGUUCCUUCUUUUGCUCAGAAAUCUAACCAUAUUAAAAUCCCCACCAACACACCAAGGGUCACUCCACAAACCUCUGAUGUCCCUUAAUUCAAUCCAAAAAUUCUCCCUCUCCCUACUCAGAGUAGGGCCAUACACCCCAGUGAAGACUUGUCCAAAAUCAUGUUCACAGUAUAUAAAGUGACAAGAGACUGAAAAAGCUCCCACUUCCAUUUUGAUCAAGUCCAAUACUCUUGUAAUCCCAAAACAGCAGGAUUCCACCAGCGGAACCCUGGGCCUCCACUGUUCCCCAUUCCAACUCACCAAGUCCAGCAACAUAUCCUGAACUUUUGUUUCCUAUAAACAAACUAAAUCUGCCUUCUAAGAUUUUGUAAGGGAUUUGAUAACCUUCCUCUUCGGCAUUGACAUCCUAAAACAUCUAAAUUAGGUUCAAGAAGACUCUUUUAGACUGUAAAAUGCCUUUUUCAACCUGAAAGUGUCUUUAUAGCUAUGGUGUACUCAAACCAGCCAGGAACAUGUUCAUGUUUAUUCCUCUUCCUUUUCCCGGUGUACAAAUGCAUUUUUUUCAGCAAAAUUGGUGCAGUAACCCAUUACCAUUGCCUUCUAUGGAUAGAACAACCCAAGGAGAAUUUGUCUAGGCAAUUGGAGCAAAGAUUUACCAAUAAUCAAUUCCCAGUGUGUUAGGAAAUCGCUCAGCUAUUGUACUUCUAUUUGUCCCAUCAACAUUAUAUUUCACUUUGAAAACCCAUUAGCGACCAAGCUUCUUGCCUAGAGGCAAAUAAAACAAGUCCCCUAUAUCAUUCUUCUGGAGAGCUCUCACCUCAUUAAGCCUUGUUUAUACUUAUCCUAUUGCUUAGGGUUUCAUUUACUAUCAGGUUAGUAAAUUAGGUUGUUUCUGGUGCGGCGGAAGGUUUGUUUCAAAAAGAAACAGAAAAACGCUCAAGAACCAACACAAAGAUCACAAUAUGAUCUGAAAAUUAAAGAAUAACUCUGAAAAAAUAUAUUGAACUCCUCUCUAACAAUUACAAUGAGCCUUUAAAUAAUGUUUGUAAUGCAAAAAUAAAGGAAAUAACUGAAAUAAGAAACUAGAAAUAGGAAACCAAGGUAACUGGAAACUAGGAAAACUAGAAAAGAAAUAGGAAACUAAUGAUGAACCUACAAUAGAAACUAAUAAUGUAGAAAACAAAAACUAACCUAAAAUAGAAACUAACAAUGUAAGAAAUAGAAAUUAAUCUAAAAUAGAAACUAAGGAUGUAGGAAACUAAAAAUAGAAACUAACGAUGAUUGUGUGCUGCAUCAAUCCCCUCCACUUGAAGAAAACUCACCCUCGAGUUUUGUGGCUACAAAGAAAACUCAUCCGAAGGACGUAUGUGUGGCUCUUUUACUUGCUUAAAGAAAUCUAGGCUCGUUAUGUUGGUGAAUAAUGACUUAUCUUUCUUAGUAACCGAAUUAUUUUCUGACGAUUGAGACUGUGGCAUCAAAACAAUCUUCUUAUCAAACCACCAAAAAAUAAAAGUAUUAUCUCGACCUUUAUAAGUGGCAUCAACAUCAUAGUGUCACGGCCUCCCCAAUAAAAUAUGACAAGCGUCCAUAUCCACCAUGUCACAUACGAUCUCAUCUUUGUAAUACUUUCCGAUCGACAAAGGAACUUUGCAAACUUCCGGGCCUUUCUUAAUCCAUGCAAUCUUCUAUGGAGAAGGGUGUUUAUCAGUCUUCAAAUUAAGUGCUUUCACAAAAACCUUGGAAACAACAUUCUUGCUAUUUCCACUGUCAAUGAUCACGUUGCACACUAUAUUACGAAUAGUGCAUUGAGUCCAGAAUAUUUUAUGUCGUUGAGAGUCAUCUGACUUUUUGGGGUAAGCAAAAGUCGUUGGACAAUGCACGCCACUUCUUCUCCCAUAUCUCCUUCUGCAAACUCAGCACCCUCGUAGAUAUCUUCUUCAAGAACUUGUUCCUCUUCUCUACCACCUUCUACAAAGUUAACAAAUUGUUUAUUCGGGCAAUUAUUUGAAAGAUGGUCUGGCUGGUUGCACUGAAAACGCUUCCCUAGAUUUGGACACACAUGAGGGUCAUUAUUGAUUCGUUGUUACUGCUGGUUUCAGCCUUGAGUAUUAGAUCGAAUAGGGGUUAAAGUUCCACUUCGAUUCUGCAUCAAAUUUUGAGUUGAAGGGGCAUCUUUAUCGUUGUUAUCAUUGCUUCUUGAAGGAUUGGUCGGCGAAAGUUACUCGGAGUGAACACCGUGGACCUAUGGAUUUGACUUUCCACUUUCAUCGCCAAAUUAACUACAUCUAUCAUUGUCCAAACCCCUUGAAGAGUCAGUCACUCUUGAAUGACCAGCUUUAGGCCCCCAAUAUAACGAGCAAUUAAUUGGUCCUCCAUCUCAGACAAAUUAACUCGGGCAUUAAAUCAAUAAAAUUCCUCCGUGUAUUUGUUCACAGUCUGAUUGGCUUGCCAACAAUUUUGAUAUUGUUGGUAUAAAAAUUGUUCAUAAUACAGAGGGAGAAAUUGUCCUUGUAAUAACUGUUUCAUCUUAGGCCAAGUACGAACACGUUGUUUUCCUUGUCGUUGACGAUUAUAUUGAAGUUGUUUCCACCAUGCAGAAGUUGCGCCCUUCAACUUAUAUGCCACAAGCUUUACUUGAUUUUCUUCUUAAAUACUCAAAUAGUUGAAAAAGUUUCCGACAGUAUAGACCCAAUCGAGAAAAUCUUCAAUGUGUAGUCGACCAUCGAAACUUGGUAAAUCCAUCUUCAUCUUAAAUUCUUGGUUAUUUUGACCCCGAUUGUUAGCUCGAUAAUUGAAACAAAAAUCAUCUUCUUCUCUAGAUGAAUAAUCCAACCUCUGUUGCUACCUUUGUUGAAUAUUCCUCCGCUGUGAAAGUCGAAUAUCAUCACCAUCUCGAAAAGGUGGACAAAACUCAUCUUGGUCAUCAAAAAACCCUCGUUGGAGGUUGUCGUCUUCAUGGUGCCUAAGAGCUCCCCGAUUCCGACCCUCAUACACUCGUAAUGGAUAGGCCUCACAAAAAUCACGAUUUAUGAUUGGAUUCGUGCGAAUCACGCCUCCGCCAUUGAUUUUUGAACCGAUCUGUGGCCGACAUUGGUCAUCGUAGUCGUCCUCUUGCCAAUCACCACAUUGGUCUAGUCGUCGCUUCAUGGGUUCAUGUUUCCCUUCAAUAGUCAACGCAGACACCAUCUGCAUGAGGUUGCGAAGAGUCUUGUCGAUCCCGUUGAGUCGUUGCUCGAUUUUUUCGAACCAUCAUUCGUCAUCGAUGGUUCGUUUUCCACUAGAACCGUCAUCAACCAUCAGAUCGAGGUAAAAAUCCUUGCUCUAAUACCAAUUUUGGUGCAGCGAAAGGUUUGUUUCAAAAUGAAAUAGAAAAGCACUUAAAAACCAACACAAAGGUCACAAUAGGAUCUGAAAAUUAGAGAAUAAUUCUGAAAAAAUAUAUUGAACUCCUCUCUAACAAUUACAAUGAGCCUUUAAAUAAUGUUUGUAAUACAAAAAUAAAGGAAAUAACUGAAAUAGGAAACUAGAAAUAGGAAACCAAGGUAAUUGGAAACUAGGAAAACUAGGAAAGAAAUAGGAAACUAAUGAUGAACCUACAAUAGAAACUAAUAAUGUAGAAAAUGGAAACUAACCUAAAAUAGAAACUAAUGAUGUAGGAAAUAGAAAUAAAUCUAAAAUAGAAACUAAUGAUGCAGGAAACUAAAAAUAGAAAAUAAUGGAAAUAAAAACUAAUCUAAAAUAGAAACUAAUGAUGUAGGAAGCUAACAAUAGAAACUAAUGAUUGCAUCAGUUUCAUUAAAAAAAAUUUAGACACCAGUAUUUCCAUUGGUAUCAUACAUCUGAACAAUCAAUAAUUUGGUCAAUAUCAAUAUCUUGAGCCAGGUACACAACUAGUAGACUAGGGUGAUCUCAUAUCCCCAAGGGAUCUAGCUUCAACUUCUUUACAAGGAGAACCAAUGCAUGGCAAGAUGUGAUGUUAUGUGUUCAUCAAAAAAGAUAUGCAGUAAUCUACCUUUUCUUCCUUAACUUUUUCCUUAGUUUCUGCAUAAGUUCAUGACUCUUCCUCAUCAUUUCUUUCAUUCCUUAAAAUCAUGGAAAAAGACAACCUGCCUAACUACUUGAGGUCAACAGCACCAUGCCUGUUUUGCCAUCUAUUCCAACAACUAAAUCCAUUUUAAGCUUCGUGCAAUCCAAUUUCACACCAUUUUUCAUUCUAUUUUUACCCAAGAAUCUGAAUUGGAUCCCUACCACUGUUUGUUGAUGUUUUAUGUUCUUAAGAAUUUAAGAAAAGGUUUCAUCUUGGCAAUCUACCUAGAGCAACAAUCCCUCUAUCCAGGUUUAGAACUGGCUCUGACACAAAGAAAAACAAAAGGAGAGAGAGAGAGAAAGAGAGAGAGAAGAAGAAGAAGAAGAAGAAGAUAAAAGUUGUAAGCAUCACAUCAGUACAAAUACGAGUAUUAAUGAUGCACAUACAAAUAUACAAUGAUAACACCAAUUCAAAUUUAAAUUUUUACGUAAAUAUAGACAAGAAAAAUAAAAGGUGGCAGACCUUGGAAGAAAAACAAUGAUAUUUGGAAGAGAUGAUGAAAAGAAAGUGAGACAGUAUACAUAAUUGCAAUUUGCCACAAUUUUCGUUCAUGAGAAUAAAAAUUUCAUAGUAUAUAGCAAAUUAUAAUUAUAAAUUAACUUUGAUUGCAUCUAGUAAAUAUACUUGAGGAAAAUAAAAGUGGCAAAGCAGAUGAAAAAUCUAAGAGAGUAACUUAAACGUUAUAGAAACUGGUUUUUUUAAUGCAUAUACAAAAGGAGUAUAAAUUAUUGAAUAAGUAUAAAAAAUCUAAACGCAUUAAAAGACAAAUGCAACCCCAUGACAGAGCUUCUAGAAUGUAUAUUCAUUUCAUGAACCUUUAUCACUGGAGAUUCUUUUGUAACAGAUCCAAAAUCAUGGUUAAAGACACCAAGCCCAAUAAUGUCAAGUGCCAAAUCAGGUUUUUUUAUGCAUAUAUGAGAGGAGUAUAAAUUACUGAAUAAAUAUACAAAAUCUAAAUGCAUUGAAAGACAAAUGCAACCCCAUGACAGAAAUUCUAGAAUGUAUAUUCAUUUCAUGAACCUUUAUCACUGGAGAUUCUUUCGUGACAGAUCCAAAAUCAUAGUUAAAGACACCAAGCCCAAUAAUGUCAAGUGCCAAAUUUGAAAACUCAGCUUCAAGAUCCAACUCAAUUGUCUUUCCCCCAUGCAAGUGCUCUCCUUCUAGAAGCUUCUCAAAUUUCAAUAUUGCUCUUUCUGAACACUCAGUAAAUACUUUUGUCAUAGCUUCCAAGUAUAAAGCAUGGAACCCAGGAGCAAUAACUGCAAUUUAAUUUGGAACAAAUUAAAGAUGUCCAUUUAACGAAAAAAGAGCUCCAAAAAUCAAAGACCAUGAAAAUAUAUCUGUAGAAACCAGAACAAUAAUAGAAAAUGCAGAACCUGUGAAUAUUCAUACACCAUUGUCACAAGCACUUCUUGUUAGCAACACAAAUCAUGCCCUUUAGUUUUUGUCAACCAAAUGCAAUGAUUAUACCAACAAGAGGUUUAAAUGUAGUGUUUUCAACCUUAUACAUGGUAUUUCAUGGCUUUCUCACACUCUUUAGAACCAUCAGCCAUUCUAUUGCAAUAGUAAUGAAAGAAACUUAACAUGCUACCAAUUUAUCAGUUUAACAAGUGAAAAAUAAUCACAGAAUAAUAUUUGUAAGAAACAAAAUUUUGUUGAUCAAAAGCAAAGGCAAUUUACAAAAGAGGGAUAAGAAAUCUUCAAAAACCUAGAGGACAGUGCAAACAAGAAAAAACAGAAGAAACUAAAAAGAUAAGUAAACAAAAACCUCAAAUCCUCAUAGAGGCUAAAAAUCAUAUUAAAAUCAUCCAGAACUAAACUAUCUACCUGCCCAAGUACUUACAACCUAGAAGGCACCUUCAACCAAGAGAUGCCCAGUCCCUAUAGAAAAAGCCUCUCAAAUCUUCAGUAAGACUAAAAUCCAGCUUUCAUAGCCCAACCAAUAGCUCCUAGUACAGAGAAAGUAAAACAUAGGAGGCCAAGCCAGUUUGUUAUUUUGAAAAAUCGUUCUCAUAAAGUAGAUGAUUUUUUGGAAUUUAGACAAUGUAUGCAAAGUCCAGUAUUUGUAGAAUAUUUAGGUUAUUAGCUUCACAGAAAUGGCCCUCAAGUGAUUAGACACCUUCUAACUAGCCAUCCAGCAGCUCAUGAAUCCAUUAUCACAUGUUAGUGUUUCCUGAUACUAGAAGUUCAUUAAAUAAUAGACUACAGUUGCCAAUAAAAUCUCCAAAUCCCAAGAUGACCAGCUAGUACUUAACUGCUUCUAUUGUAAUUUCCUUGUCACUUGACAUUUUCUGCAAUGCUUACACAAUUAAUAUUGUUUAGCAUUGUGGAUUCAAAUCAACAUUUUCAUCAAACUUUAAUAGGAGAGGAUCAAGUGUCAAUAUUCAAAACAGAAAUCUAAAUAAUAAGUUAGAAUGAUUGUCAAAAGUUAAAAACCUAGAUUCAUGAUAACUAUCCAUGAAAUCUUGCUUAAAAUGUAAGGCCUCAUAAUUACUUAACAUAAUGAAGAAAAUUAUUCUUUUUUAAAGGUUGAACACAGAACUGUAAAUGAUCUAGUUACAUAACCAACUGAUGGUGCUGGUGAUUUGUUAAGUGAAUACAAGUUGCCGCAUAAAUCCACCAAAGUAGGGACUAGAAAUGGUUGAAGUAAAACCAAAGUGUAAUGGAUGCUCAGGCAAUAUGUUAUAUUACAAGAACCAUCCUGAAACCAACAAGUUCCUCCUAACUUACCAAUUUGGAUAUAGCAUGCAUGGGCGAUACAAUCCUCUCAACAGUACUGAUCAAAAACAAUACUUGCAUGCCCACAAUUUUCAAGAAUGGAUAUAAACAGUUGAAAACCUCAACAACAGAAAUUUUUUAUCAGUUAAUGAAUGUGUAUGUAGUUAAUACAUUUCAGAAUCUUAAUUCUUGGUCAUAAGCUAAGAUGCAAACCUCAGCCUAAGUGCAAAGCCCUCACCUCUUCUCCUUUGCUUCCAGGUGUCAAGGUCAGCAGGUAUGAGUCCUUUCCCCAUUAUUGGUUCUAGUAUAUCAGCAAGAACUCCCUAGUUAAAGAUAUGACAACUUGGGUACAAAGAUCAGAAUGGAUAAAUGACAUGCAACAAUUAUGACUAGAAGUAAAAUAUAUGCAUAUAUAAGUAAUAAACAUGCACAAAAUCAAAGAUGCCAACAUAACAACCUAUUUUUUGGCUUAUUUGGUCAAACAAAAAACCACAUAUAAAUGCUUGGCCCUUAUUUUCAUUAACCAUAAUCAUUUCCCCUUUUCUUUCAUCAUUAUAGACAACCAAACUCCUUUUGAGAGAAAACAGGGGGAUAAGAAAGAGGACCACAAAACAAUAUUCCUUUGACCAGUUUUUUUGUGAUGUAUUCAUAAGAAUCAUAACCUAAAUAAUUCGUUAGCUGAUAUAUAGCACUGAUGGGACUGGGAAGUAAAAGGGAUAGCCACGUUAACUUUCUAUUUCAUGAAAUUUGAGAUUUUCUGAUACACGGAACAAAAAGUUAAAGUCUACUAUGCAAUACAACAAGAAAGAAAACUCAAAAUAUUUUUGCUGUCUUGAAGGGUGGCUAAAACAUAACCAGAAUGGAAACGCCCUCCUACAAGCAAUAAGAAGAUUCAUACACGAGUCUUUCAUAGCUACUGAAACAAUAUGAGAGCAAAGUAAGUCGGGCACUAUCUCAAUCUCUUAUGAUAGGUGCUUUUCAUGCACAAUAGGUGGUUUCUACUUGGGACAAUGGUAACCUCGAAGACUGUCAAGCAUCAAGCUGCAGGUUCGAGCCUGUGUAUGGCCAUUGCAUCCAAAAAUGCAAACUUUCGGUCUGUUACUAUUCCAACUUUAGGCUGUUAUUGCUUCCUCUCCUGUAGUGCCAUUAAAGCUAACAUAUUAUAAAUUUUUUGUCACAGCAAUUACAGCUCUAACAACAAGAUUAAGAAUGUAUCCAAAAAUUGUUGUAUUCAACAUACAGAAAACAAGGUUCAAAAUGUUGUUUUUUGGGAAAACCAAUUGGGAGGAAUGCAAUAACUCAAAGAUUCUCCAAUUUGAGAAGAUUGAACUCAAUUAAAUACAAAGGAAAAGAGUUCAAGAGAUUUCUUCUUAACAUUGGUAGGUAUCAUCUGAGCAAUGUUUAAUGAAAUUAACGAGUAAUCCUAAUGUGGGUGGAUUUGGUCAGGGAGAUGUAGAAAUAGUACUUUAAGAUCCAUUACGUAUCCAAGGCCUUUUGUUCUUCUUGUCUUCUAUUAUUUUGGCACAAAUCUUUUUGGUUCUUAAAAAGAAACAGUUUGAGAAGGUUCAAUUGUCCGAAAUAAAUUUCUAGAUCUUAUUACUACAGAGUCAACUUGAACAAUUAGAACUUGAUCUAACUUUAGGUGUGGUCCGUUUUUGGCAAUCCCAAUAAGGCACAACCAUACUUGUUCAAUUUAUCUCUCUCAACUUGGAUGCCAUGAGGCGGGCCUUGGAAAGUUUUAGAAUAAGCAGGGGAGAUUCGCAAAUCCUCUAGACGUAGAGCGCACAAAGCUUUGAACCCAAACACAUUACCCACAAUGGAAGUAAACAUGUUAGUAACAACGCCUUCUUCAAUCAUUUUAUUGACAUGAGUGUUUUCUUUUUUUUUUUUUUUUGAUAAAUGAGUACAAAUAUAUUAAAGGGCGAAAAACCACAAAGCAUACAGGUAGUAUACAUAGUAGCCUAUAAACAAAAAAACACAUGAACAAAAAACCUCACCAGCCCUUAAGGAACCGCAAACCAUUCCAAAAAGCCUAAAAGCGAAGAGGACUCCUCUCCCAUAUACACCCUAACCCAACUCCACAAAUUACAUACAAAAGAAUUUUUCAGUUUCUGUAUAGCUAAAGAGCCUCCCCUAAAAGCUAAUAUAUUUCUUUCCUUCCAUACCGUCCAAAAAAUACACAACGGGAUGGAGUUCCAAAUCUUUUUCCCCACAAAGGGGCCCCUCCAACUAAAUAAUACCUCUUUGAUUGUCUCUAGGAACACCCAUUGAGCCCCAAACAAAGCAAGGACGAUCUCCUAGAGGACCCUGACCACUAUACAAUGUAAAAUAAUAUGAUUUACAUUUUCCUCUUCACAACCACACAAAAAGCAACGAUUAGGAAGGUGCCAACCUCGUCUUUGGAGCCUAUCCAAAGUUAGGAUCUUCUCCCACGUGGCCUCCCAAGCAAAAGAAGCAACUUUGGUUGGAACCUUAUCCACCCAAAUGCUUUUUUUCGGGAAGGUGAUGGGACUAGGAGCUGCCAGCAGCUUAUAAGCAUCCCUAAUCCAAAAAGAACCAUGACCCCCUCCUUUCCAUAUCACUGAGUCCUCUUCUGAAGAAAUCCUCAAGUCCCUCAACAUAUGAAACAGCUCUCCUAUAGCAUCCAGCUCUCAAUCAUUAAAAUCUCUGGAAAGUCUAAUGUUCCAAACUCCUUGACCAAGGCUUGAAUCCCACACUUCAUUGACCGUAGCGUUCCUAUGGACCGCCAAGGCAAAUAGCUGGGGAAAAGUUUGGGACAGCGCCUCAUUACCACACCACUGAUCUGUCCAGAAAUUGACCUAGUCCCCUCUCCCACCUUGAACCCUAUGUUAUCCUAACACUAGUUCGCCUCCUUCAAAAUUUCCUUCUAAACCCCCACUCCAAACGUUCCGCGAGCUUCAUUAGUUCGCCAACCAAAUCCCUCAUGGUCAUACUUCACCCCGAUCACCUUCUUCCAAAGGAUUUCCUUUUCAAAGAAAGUCCCUUCAUAAUUUUUCGAGCCUUUUUGCUACUAACUUGGGCAUUCGAAAAAGGGACAAUUGGUAAAUAGGUAUGCUGGCCAAUGUACUUUUAAUGAGGGUAAUUCUCCCACCCUUUGACAAAUAUUGUAUUUUCCAAAGUGCUAACCUUCUUCUCAUUCUUUCUUCCACCCCAUCCCAAAUAGACGAGGCCUUGUGGUUGGCUCCAAGGGGCAGCCCCAGAUAUAGAGUAGGAAGAGACCUCACUCUACACCCUAACUCCACUGCCAUUUCGUCAAUGUCUUCAACCUCCCCAACUGGAAUUAAUUCGCUUUUAGAUAGGUUUAUUCUUAGACCAGAGGCUGCCUCAAAUCAAGCCAAAAUCCAACUUAGAGAGGUUAGGUGUUCUUUCCUUGCUUCGUAGAAAAUAAUUGUGUCAUCAGCAAAGAGCAAAUGGGACACAUUCAUCUCCAUUCGCCCCCUCCCUCGAAGACUACAGCCUGAAAUGAAUCUCUCAUCAACAGCCUUUCUUAUAAGUACACUUAGCACUUCCAUACCCAAAACAAAAAGGUAAGGAGAAAGAGGAUCUCCUUGACGCAGCCCCCUGGAGUUGGAGAAAUAACCUGCUGGCACCCCAUUAACCAGAACAGAAAAUUUUGCAGUUGAAAUGCACCACCAAAUCCACUCCAUCCAACGAGAUCCAAAGUCCAUCUUGUGCAAGACCUUCAUGAGUAAAUUCCAAUUAAUCCUAUCAUAGGCUUUUUCAAUAUCCAGUUUACAAAUCAACCCUUUCUCCUUACAUUUAUGCCAAAAAUCAAUCACCUCAUUAGCUAUGAGCGAGGCAUCCAAAAUCUGUCUUCCCCUCACAAAAGCAUUUUGGUCCGCAGAGACCACCUUGUCUAAAACCUUCUUCAGCCUAUUGGCCAGCACCUUGGCCAAAAGCUUAUACAGUCCCCCUAGAAGGCUGAUGGGCCUGAAGUCCCCAAGGUCCUCAGCCCCACCUUUCUUUGGAAUGAGGACUAGGAAGGUAGUAUUGAGACUCAUAGCAAAAGAUUUCUUAUCAAAAAACUCCUUAAACAGGUCCACAAUCUCCUCCUUCACGAAGUCCCAGCAAGAUUGCCAAAAAGCCACUGUGAACCCAUCCGGGCCUGGAGCCUUAUCUCCAUUCAUUUCCAUCAAUGCAAAGUGGAUUUCUUCCUCAAUGAAGGGCAGCUCCAAGACUUCAGCUUCAUUACGGUUUAGACUUUGAAGGUGCAGCCCCUCAAUAUCAGCUCUCCAGCCUGGCUCCUCUGAAAGCAGUUGCUGAAAAGCAUUCACAAUCCUCUCUCUCACCUCCUGCUCCUCAGCCAACCACACCCCAUUGAUCUUAAUUUUAUCCAAGGAGUUAUUUCUUCGGUGGGCAUUGGCCAUCUGGUGAAAGAAGUGUGUGUUCUUGUCCCCUUCCUUAAGCCACAGCUCCCUUGACACUUGUCUCCAAUGAGUUUCUUCCAAUAACACCCACUUCUUAUAGGUUUCCUUAGCUUCUCUUUUCAGCUCCGUUUCACCUUCUGUCAGACUCCUUUCACUCUCCACCCCAUCCCAGAAUGCGACUUGUUGGAGGGCUGAGUUUUUAUUAACUUUCAGCCUUCCAAACACAUCCCUGUUCCACCCUUUGAUUUUUUCCUUCAUCACCUUCAGCUUAGUAGCCAAUCUAAAACUGGCCCUCCCUCUCCCCCCCGACCCCUGCCACCAACCCCAAAAAAGAUCCUUAAACCCAUCAACUUUGAGCCACAUGUUUUCAAACCUGAACGGGGAAGGGCCCCGUCUUAACCCACCACCCUUCAGCAAGAUGGGAAAGUGAUCAGAAGUGGGUCUAGGUAACCUACUCUGGACAACCCCACUAAAAUGAUCAAGCUAGUUCUGGGUCACUAGGAAUCGAUCCAGUCUAGCCCAAGAUUGAUUGUUCCUACCCCCGCUCCAGGAAAACACACCCCCUUGCAGAGGAAGAUCCAGGAGCUCUAACUCAUCAACAACCUGAGCAAAUCUUCUCGUCGCACCAAUCAGCCUUCCCUGAUUGCUCCUUUCCCUUUGGGAGAGGGUAACCUUGAAGUCGCCCCCUAAACACCAAGGGUCAUCCCAGAUGCCCCUUAUUACCCCGAGCUCCUCCCACAGAAUCUCCCUUUCUUCCUUAGAAAACAGCCCGUACCCUCCUGUGAAAAUUCAAACAAUCUCAUCUUCUACAUUCCUAAGCCUACAAGAAAUUGAGAACUACCCCAUCUCCAUCUCAAGCACCUCCAGGGUCGUUUUAUCCCAACAUAUCAAAAUCCCUCCCGUAGCUCCCUAAGCACCCAUGGCACCCCAAUCAAGAAACCUCCCAGAGCCCAAACUCCUCACCAUACCCUCUGACAUUGACUAAAUUUUCGUCUCCUAGAUACAAAACAAAUCCACUUCCUGGCUUUUGAUCAUGGCCUUAAAUCACCUUUCUUUUAGAGCUAUCGUUAGCUCCACGCACAUUCCAGCUCAACAACCUUAUCUUCAUUGGACUUCCAUAAUCUGGCACCCUCUUCCUUGCACAGCACACUUCUUCUUUUCCCCCCUCUCAUAAUUGAUGGAACAUUCAAGCCUUUUCAAUUCCCUUUCGAAUUUCGAUUUCUCCAGAAGAGUUUUGCUAUGAACUCUCUCCCUUCUCUUUCUAAUUUUGACCAGAAACUCCAAAAUAUCUUUCUCCAAUCCCUCUGUAGAAAAUCCCAAAAACUUGCUAAACCUAGCCAGAUCGCUUUCCUCCCAACUUAAUUCCUUCCAUCCUCUACCUUCUUGUGGCAUAGACCGAACUAAGCACAAUUCCUCUCUACUCUCUUCAAUACUGUCAGUAUUGACCUCCAUCAACUCCCAGCACGUAACUGUCUCCUGCUCUGUAGACCCAGUGACGUUACACAAUCGACCCGGUGUAACCCCCUAGGUUAAGUCCAAGCCAACCCCAGAAAAGUCGUAAUACUCCCUCAAUGGAGUCCGACCAUAAAUAGAAGAGGGAGAAAAAAGAGAACCAGAAACCAUCGGUCCAAUAGUGAUAGGGUCGUUUUCAUACCUUACAGCUUCCUCCAACAAGGCACAGUCAAUCUUCGAUCUCCCCUCGGACUGUAUCUCCUCCUCAGAAGGCCUCCGCAAGCCAUCCUUCACCCAGAAAAGAGAAAUACCAGCGUCUGGACCCCCCACUAGGCUUUGGCCAAUUACCAUGGAUGGACAGGCCUCCCCCAACUGGGCUCUAACCACAACUAAGGGCAUAGACGGGCCUCAGUUGUCCAGCCCAGGCACCACAGAAGGCUCCAAAAUCUUAGCCCGCCCAGAAUUCUUCCUAGACGACAGCCCAAGAAGAGACGGCCCAUUUUCACAAGGGAAGUCUGAGAAAUGAGCAAGCCCAAUGGGCUCUAAUUCCUUAGAACUCCAAGGAGUCUCUGCUAGGCCCAGCAAAGUAAGUCCACCUGAUCCUUGGGACCCACCCGGCGACCCAUCAAAGCUCCGAAUAGGAUCCAGAACUUGCCCCGACCCACUUGACUGGCCCUACGUCCCAUCGGUAGGCAACGGCAGGGCCUCGAUCCUCGAACUGUCCUUCGCCUCCAGCACGCGCUCACCCACGCAUGUACAAACCUCACCCCCAACCUCAUCUCCUGUUGCGACAUUCUUUCCUCUCUUUCCUAUCGUCGCCGCUCUCAUUACUGGCCUGACCUCCCACCAGAGAGUUAGCAAGUAGCAUAGCUCUUCAACCCAAACCUCCACCACAUUGGGGAGUUCCUCACCGUUACGCUUCACCAAUAUCCAGGCCCACUGCAAUUCCUCCAUCUUCUCCGCUUGGGAGUCGACUACGAGAAAACCCCCGCACUCCUCCCCUAUCCUUCUUAGAAUGUCCCGAUCCCAUAAGGAGACGGGUAAGCCUACAACCCGCACCCAAGCUUCACUCUUGUUCUCCCCUUCCCUCAGACAUCCCGUCUCAGGCCUCCAUUUCUCCGGGCGAAGAAAGAUCCCCCCAACCGAGAUGCUUCCAAGUUUAAUGGCUUGCUCUGCUUCUAUCAAAAGCUCAAAUUCCAUCAAUACCUUGCCCCUCUCCAGUUUUGCUAACCCUAGGUUGCCCUUCAAACUCCAGAUUUUUGCCAAAUGGGUCCCCCAACUUCGUAGGUCAUCCCCCCUUGCUGCGCUAGGGUUCCAUAUCCCAACCACACAGUGAGCCAAUUUGUUUAAGUUUCGGCAUAGCUCCUUCUUUGUGACCUCCACCCUGAUUGUUGCUCUAUCUUUACCCCUCGGCAUUUUAACCACUUCCGCAAAGGUUUUCACCAUACUUGGUUUCAACCGUAGCUCUUCUUCUUUUUGGCUUAUCACUCCUCCAUUAGCACAGCCCAAGCGUCGUAGCAUCUCCACCAUUGAAACCCAACCACCCUUUGCUCCUCUUCCUUUGGGGAUAAAUAUGCUAAACCUUUUGUUUUCCAGGUCCACAACAUCUAACCGGAGGAAGCACCCCCCUUUGUUUUGAUCUCGCACCAGAGAAUAAGCCCUCCCAUUUUCUUUCCACUUUCUUACUCAUUUUAUAGUUCUCACAUCCUUAAUACAAAGAACCAGACAAUCGAGGAAUAGCCCAAGGCUCGCCGGUCCCAGCCUAAUCCACGAGGAAAUCCCUCUUUUCCUCUCCACAAUUGUAGCUUGCAAUCUGCCUUUCUUCUCCUCCACCUUAACCUCAAACGACUUCGACUCCACUCCGAAGCCACCCUUCCUGAAGCUUUUCCAAGACCCCGUAAGGACAUCGCCCUCUGCAUUCUCAGUUGCACUCAGAAAUCCUCACACUCCUCCGUCGCUCUUGCUCUCUCUCUCUCUCUCUCCUCCAUUUUCACUCAGAAUUUUUUAUUGACAAGAGUGUUUGAUACCGAAAAAAAUUUCCAACUAUUCAUUUUGAAAUUACCUCCGCAUUAAUAUAGUGGUAGAAAGAAUACCAUGUUGGAUUUUCCACAUCCCUUUCUUUUGUCGAAAUAAUAAUGAUCCUUGACACCUUUGUCAAAAAUUCCUAUUCUUAGUUUAGAUUUUUUUUCUAGGUUUAUCAUAAUUUUAGAUUUGUUACAUAUAAGAAGUAGUGGACAAACAAAAAAAAAAAGGGUGAAUUAGUCAGAUCCUUUUGUACAGAAUAACAAGCAGCACAUAAAUUUCAUUGUAAAUGUGAAAUACUUAUCAAAUAAAAAUGCAGGAGAAAUUAAAAGGAUCCAGGGUCGUUUGUCUGCUUGGCUAGUUUUUUUAAAUAAAUAAAGCGAGAGAAGUCUUUGGAACGACAAUAGGUAUCUUUAUUACAUUAGCCAAAACUUAUUUGUUCUUGUUCAUUCCUAUCACAGCAAGAUGGACUUUACCUAGGCUGAGAAUGGACCAACUAUUAAAUCUUGGAUGGAAAUUUCUUUUACCUAUUUCUCUAGGUAAUCUAUUACUAACAUGGAGGAAGAAAUAUCAGCUGUUGUCUAUCACAACAGUCUCCAAAAAUUAACUGUUUUAGAAAAGUAAUUGCAUUAGUAAAGUAGUAUAUUUCAAGUUGUUUCUGUCACCAAGAUGCAUUACUUCAAAGUUUAUGCUCCCUAUUAGGUUCAAGACCCAACUAAGACAUAUGAAACAAAUUCAGUUUGCAAGCUUGAAAUGGUGAAGGUUUGCCUCCACAUAAAAUUUAAAAUGAUGCAUUCAGUAAAUUGUUCAGAAGGUAUAGAACUGCAUAAAAGGUUUCUGUGUAUAUUGCUUCUCUAUUCGAUAUGUAAUUUCAAAGAGACAAAACAGGUUAAAGCAAAACUAAUACAUUGAGAUAAUGAAUAAAUAAAUAUGUGCACAUAUACAUGCAUGAAUCCAUAUUCAUUGAAGGCAAUUUCAUAUAUGGAACAAAAUAAUAAAAUAUUGAUAUUGGCCAUCAGGUUCGCAUCUUGAAAACAUGGAGUCAUUGAGAAAGAUAUCAAGUAAAUAUUGAAUAUGGAUCCAAAAAGAAUGCAGAAAUUACUAGCAAAACAUGAAAAUUUUUGGAUAAACAUUUCAGGAGAUAUAUGUUGACAUUGUAGAAUAACACAUACAACAUCAAGCCAAGAGCAUGAUCUAUUUAACCCACAUUUUUUUUUAGAAAAAAAUGUCAAGUCCAAACAAUAAAACAUGGCAAAAACCAUGAGACAAAGCUACAUUAAGCAAUAUCUUCUGCAAGCAAGGGAGAAAUAAAAAGAACAGCAAAAAGAAGCACAUUAUUAGAUAAUACCUUGUCAUAACCAAAGAUAUUUUCUCGAAGAAUAUGCCUUGCAACAAUGGGAUCUGACACAACAACAAAUGCCUUUGGCCCAAAAGCAAGUUUAUACACUGAGCCAUGCUGCCAAAUUAAACCAAAAUAAAAGAGGAUAUGAAACGAUAUGGAAUUGGGGAGACUCAGAAUAUUAAGAGUGGCAAAAAAAUAGAACAAUGAGACUACAAUUCAUGAAUCCUCCAUCUGGUACCCAAGAAACUGGAGGAAAAGAAACCAAAAAAUGUCAAAACCCUUAUAUUUUCCAACUUUUUGGUUUUCAGGCAUGGAUUUAUACUCUAUCAAUGCUACUCAAAGGGAAUAAUUCUACGUAUUUAUAAAGACCCCAGGCAGGAUAACAGCAAAACCUAAUAGAUUUAUGGUCUUUGGGAAAAAUGCAUCCAAGAUCAUACAUUUUGAGCUGGGUUCCAUGGGAAGUUCAAACUUCCUUUUUGAUUAUCAUAUCACAUAUAAGAUAAAUUUUGAGACUCAAUAGCCAAAUACAUGGCAUUUGAAUUAUAAUCAGAGAUCAAAAUUAGCAUAAUACAAGUAGAAAGUAGAAUUAACACAGUGGAGUCUCUUAUUUAGAAGAAUUGAAACACAUUGAUAUCAUGCUACCUAUGCCUAACAACAGAACAGGGCAACAAUAUAUAAAUUAUCCUCCCUAAAAGGAUUACACCAGAUAAAUAGGUAACAAUUAGGAGAGGUGUGCCAGAGACCAGAAAGGUUAGUAGCUUCCCUCAGGAAAGCCUGGCAAGAACAACACAUGCAAGCUUCCCUGCAUGAGCCUUGUUUAUGAUAAAUUUUGUUUGAUUUAAAUGAACUUGCAGACUGAUCAUUAAGUGGGGUUGCUCCCCUCCAGCAUUAGCAAACUUUGUCGGAACUGGUUAGAAAUGGGCACUACCAUCCCAGACCUAUCCAGCCAGGUUCUAUUUUUCAUGUCCCUUUCGCUAACAGAUGAAAUCAAUGAAGUUUUCAAUGACCAAUCAGCUAAAUCAAGUCAAGAUUUGUUUUCCAAUGAGCCCUAUCACAACCAAAAAUAUAAGACUAUAGAUUUAUUAUUCUUUUGUACUUUUCCUCUUAUAUCGGCAACCAAAUAGUAACAUAGUCAUCAAAGCAUCUACCACUAAACAAGUAGGGGCCAUGUGUAAUAUACACAAAUGAAAUAUUAGGAAUACAUUCCUGAAAAGAAAUGGUACCUCUAUGAACCAAUCAUACAGUGAAAAGAAGAGAGGCCGACCAAAAAGAUCAGAAACUGCACCUUCAGCUACAGGCAUUGACCCUAUACUUCCCCCACUUAAAAAAUUGGUUAGGAGGUUGCUCGCAUUGUCCAAUAGAUUUCUUGAUUUCUGUUUAUCCGUGCUAGUGGAUUGGCAUCUAUAUGAGAAACAAAUAACAAAUUAGCCCCAAAUCCAAUUAGUAACUCUUAGGCUGCCAAGGAAAAAGUAGGAAAUAAAUUAAUUUAGAUAUUAGACUUCUCAUUAACCAAGAUGAAAACCUCCACUCUGUUGAACCUAGUUUGCAUAUGCUCUGUUUGGUUUCUGAGAGAACUCAAAAGAAGAGAAAAUUAAAGAUUUUUUUAUGCUUAGAAUUCCCACCCAAGAAAAAUUUAUACUCAGCUGAAUUUACUUUCCUCUUUCUUAGUUUUCUCAGCAACCAAACAUAAGGUAUGCCAACUUAUUUUUUGAAGUUUGGAAGCCAAGGCAAAAUAAAUAUCAGACUAAGAAAAGUCUCAAUUCUUUUCUCUGCAAUUAGAUGGAAGCAAUGAAAGAAAACUGUCCCAGCUCUAUUUGGUUGCUCAAAGAAAAAUGCAAGAAAAUAAAAGGAGGAAAUGAUUUCUCAUCUCAGAUAUUUAUCAAUUGGGACCCUAGAAUUCUUUAACCGACAUCCAAAUGUGCCUAAUAAAACUGACAAUUUUGCUUAAUUGGGUUGACAUUUUUUUUUUCGUCCCAUUAUUAAGAAACGAAACAAGAAGAACCAAGAUGAUGCCCAAAAUCCAGUGGUUAUCCUCAAUUUUCCCACCAUCCAAACCCAUUGUUACCUAGUUUAAGACCCUUUAGGCUUGAAUCUCUGGGCAUAAUAGAACUAAAUUAUUUUGCUCAAUUGGUAUCACCGAUUUUCUUCAUUUUUCUUUUAUUUUUUCCCCAUUUCUAUAACACCAUGAUAGUACUAAAAAAUCCUACUGUUUCCUCCAUUUUCUCACCACCCAAACAUAGGGUUACCUAAUUGAGGUCCCUUUGGACUUGAACGUCUAGCCCUAGGAAACUACAACAACAAGAGCCAUGAUGUUACCCAAAAGAAUCAAAUUAUUGAUUGUGUCAUAAAGACACAUAUGUCUAUGCCACAAUCAUCCCCUUCUAUUAGAUUCUACCAUCUUAGCCAUUUUCCAACCUAUGAACGCCGUCUAGACUUCAACUUCUGCACCUAGUUCAACCAACUGUUUUGCUUAAUUGGGCAUCAGUUUUGUCCUGUUUCAAGACAACAAAACAAAAAAGAUAAUAAAAACCACUAUGUUACUGAAAACAGCAUUAUUUUCCUCCAUUUUCCCACCACCCAAACACAGAGUUACCUGAUAGAAAGCCUUUCCUUCAGCUUCUGGGCCAAACACAACUAAGUGGGCCUAUAAAUUGGAAAUCAUUAAUUUUCCGCUUCUAGUAAACCAAACCAACAAAAACCAUCACGUAAGUCAAAGCCCUACUGCUCUCAUCCAUUUUUCCACUACCCAAACACAGGGUCUCCUAAUUGAGACCUUUAGACUUCGACUUCUGGGCCUAAUAGAACCUGCUCUAAUGCUUAACUGGGUAUCCUCUUCUUUCCCCCAUUUCUAGUCAACCAAAACAAAAAGAACCAUCACUGCUAAAAAAUUCGAUUGUUUUCUUCCAUUUUCCCACCAUCUAAAAAACAGAAUACCGGAUUUAAUACCCUUUAGACUUGAACUUCUUGGUCGAAUAUUACCAACUAUUCUGCUUAAUUGGGUAUCGUUUUUUCCAUUUUUAGUAGACCAAAGCACCAAGAACCAUCAUGUAAUUCAAAGAAUCCUUCUGUUUUCCUCCAUUUUCACACCAUCCAAACACAGGAUUACCUGAUUUAAUACCCCUUAAGCAUCAACUCCUGGGCCUAUUAAUAAUGGACAACCAACUAUUCUGCUUAAUUGGGAAUUUUUUUUUUUUCCAUUUUCGGUAAACCAAGGCACCAAGAACCGUCAUAUAACGCAAAAAAUCCUCCUGUUUUCUUCCAUUUUCCCACCACCCAAACACAAAGUAUUACCUGAUUGAAGACCCACCAGGCCUGAGCUUCGAAAGCUGAGAAGUUCUAGAAGACUGCAAAUAAGGGGUUCUUGAGAAACAGCUAUCACUCACAUGAAAAUGCUGCAACAACACACAUGUAGCCAUUGCCCAACUCAGAUUCCACACCCAGUAGUAGUGACCCAAAACAUAUAUGAUAUAUCCACUUGACGCAUGCUCAAAUCACAGCAGUUGUCUUUCACACCCAUCACAGGCAUACCAACACGAUUGGAUGUAAAUACAAAAGAAAAAACAUCUGGGACCCAUAGAUUGGAGGAUGACGCAGGAAUUCCACCGAGCCCUCCUCACCCAAUCAUUUCAUGGCUUGUGUGUGAGACGCACCUAACCAUUACCGAAGUGCUCUUCUUGUGGUUAUGCCUACCUUUCUUUUCUCAUUUUCUUUGAAUUUUGUAUGCAAUUCCACUAUGGGUCUUUCGAUUGAGUCUAAUAAUAAAAAUGGGUUAUUUGGUCAGCUAGGCCAAAAUAAUAGUAAAAUUGCAAGAUUGACUUCCUUCUUAAUUUUAUUGAAAAAUAAUCUAAUUUGGAGUCUUUUACCCUUUUGAUUUGUUUCCCUCCAAAAACACAUCUUUCUACUUAUUUUAUUAAUUUCAUUUUUUACCUACUCAUAUCUUUCAAACUUUUUUUUUUCUUUGCCACGAUCCGAGCAUACUCCCUCUCGCUACAUGACUUCAUCUAUAAAUGUGAGUUGAAACUUUCCUUCUUUCUCAUUUCAUGAACAUUCAUUAUAUUUUUAAUUUACUUUAUUUUGAAAAAAUUCUUUGUCAUUUCCUAAUGCUCCAUCCACUCUCUUAUCUUCCAAAUAACUUAUUUUCAUUUUUGUUCAUAUUCACCCAAACUACAUUGCCUAAAAAAACAAAAAUCAUGUUCUCAUUUUUUUUUUCAUUAUAUUCAUUUCACCUUAUAAUAUUUUUCAUUUUCACUUUUUUAUUUUUUAUUUUUCAUUAAGGGUGUUCACCUUAAUUAUACGAAAGUUAAGUUUGAUUUUUAAAAAAAUAAGGUUAAAUUGCAAACCCUAAAUUCAAAAAAAAAUAUAUAAACUAAAAAUAAUUGCAAAUAUUUCUAAUAAAAAAACAAUAGCAAAAACCCAACAAAAAAUUACGGCAAAAUUUGAGAAUGACGAUCUUGCAGAAGAAAGAAAGAUAAAAGGAUUUUUACAGUUAAUUUUAUUUCCUUAGUGAGUCUUUAUCUCUUGAGGGGGCAAACUGUGAGAGAAUGGGAGAGAGUUAGGAAUUAGAAUGGGAGUAAAAUGAAUUUGGAACGAGGGGUAAUGUUUGUUGACAUAAAGAAAGGGUAAAAUUAUAAAAUAAAAUAAAAUAAAAAAAUUGGUUUAGUUUUUAAAAAAAGAUAAAAAGAAAGGAUGUUAUUUUUCAAAUUUUAAGAAUAUUUCAAGUCUUUUAACCAAAAUCUCAAUAAAAAUUCACUGGAUAUGUUGUCUUCCACAAAGUACUUAAUAAAGAAAAAAAAUAUUUCUUCAUAUUUGAUUUACUAUCAAAAUAAUAUAUAUUUAAAAAAUAAAUAUAAUUAAAAUGAAUUAAAAUCUCAAUAAAACUCAAAUAAAAUAAUGCUAUUAGGAUUAGGAGAAAUUAUUAUCCUAAUCGGAUUAUUGGUUUAUUACAUUGCAAAAAAUUAAAGAUGAGGUUGAAUACAAUUUAGGUAUAAAAAAGCACAUAUAAUUUUAGAUGCAUAUUUUAUAUAUAUAAAAAAAAAUUGAGAAAAUUGACAUCAUAAAAAGUUACUCAAUAUUUUAUUAUAAAUUUUGUUUUCUAUUUUUUAUGCAUUUCAUUUAUGAUAAUUUAUACUUUCUUAUGUCUUUAAGGAUCUCUAAGAUAGGUUAUUAAUUUAAUACAUUGCGGAAUUAUAAAAAAAUUAUUAUUCGAGUGAGGUUAUUAAUUCAUAAAAAAAACAUACGUAUAUAUUUUAAAUUAUUUAAUUUUAAAAUGAAAAAAUAAGUGAAAUAAAUGUAAAUUUAAGUCUUUUUCUUUUUUCAUUUUCUUCUUUUUUUUUCUCCCUAUUUUUUUUCUUAAGGUUAUAUUUGAUUUCAAGAAAAUUAUAGGAAAGUAUGGAAGAAAGAAAAUAAAGAAGAAAAAUAUAGAAAAUGAAGAAAAAUAAAAAAAUGGAUUUAAAGUUAAUAAAUCAUUGUUACUAUUAUUUCAUAUUUAUUUUAUUUAUUUUAAUUAUUUUAUGUUAAGAGUUCUAUAAUGCACGAGUUUCUAACUAAUUUUAAUUAUAUUUUAUUUUCUUAUAUAUUUUUUUAAUGAUAUAUUUAAAUAUAAAAAAAUAUAUUUUUCUUAAUAUAUAUUUUUUCUUUUCUUAUCAAAUAAAAGUGCAAAACAAAUGUGUAGGCCAAAAAAGAAAGUGCAAGUUUAAUUGGUUUAUUGCUCUUAGGAUAUGUUAGAAAAAUCCAAUUUUGUAUAUUAUCCUUCCAAAAAAGGUAAUCGUGUCAUCGCUAAAUUUCAUUUUUUUGAAAUAUUAAAUUAUAAUAAGUAAAAUAAUCUCUAAAUGUGAAAAAUAACCCAAACUUUCAAUAUGGGAAUUAUACUUGAAAUUAUUUAUAUGUCAUAGUCUUCUUCAACAAUCCAUAUAUACACACACUAGGAUGAGUGGGUUAACCUCACAUAACAAAGUAGAUAAUAAAUUUAAUUAUCUAAUUUAUCUAUUUAAUCUUAGAUUAUAGAUAUCAAAAUAUACUAAAUUAAGUUAGUGUCACAUGACAAUUUUGAUAAUAAAUCCAUGAAGUACUUUUGAUUGGUAUCCUAUUUUUUAUUUUUAAAAAUAAAAAAUAAUGCUAACUUCUAUAUAAAACAUUCUAACUCUCUCUCUCUCUCUCUCUCUCUCUCUAUAUAUAUAUAUAUAUAUAUAUAUAUAUAUAUAUCUUUAAAAAUUAUUAAAAUUUGAGAUAGUAAAUAUUUUUUAAUAUUUCAAAAUUUUUUAAAUAGUUUUAAAAAUCAUGAUCUUUUUAAUAUAAAUCUUAAAGAAUUCUUACUAUCAUUAAAAUAUCAUUUUGGGAGUUAUCAUCAUAUUUUAUUUUAAGAAAUGGAAAACAAUAUUCUAAAUAAAUUCAUUUAAAUUAUUAAGGUGAAAUUUGGUUAAAAUGAAUAAUGUUCUAAAUUAAAAAUAAAAACUUCUCUUAAAGUAAGUGCUAAACUUAGAAAAUUUUAUGUCUUUUAUUGUUCAAUUGCCAUUGAAGAUAAAGAUAAAGAUAUAAAUUUAGAAAUGUAGAGAAUUGAUUAAUUGUAGAAGAAACAAAAAUUUUAAACUAUAUUUAGAAAGGGAUUAAAAGUACAUUAUGCAAAGUGGGGCUAAGUAGAGCCCAUGGGCUAGAAUAAGCCCAAAUUUUAAAUCACUUUCAAUUGGGUUUAUGCAAAAACUUCAAAAUCAUGGAAACCAUACCCAAAGUCCAAAACCCAAAUGGGCCAAGUCCCACUCUUUUGGAUUUAUCCAAAAACUUCAAAAAUAUCGUGAGUGAACCCAAUCCCAAUCCCAAUCCCAAUCCAAACCCAAAACCCAAGAGCCCAAAUCCCAUUCUCAAACGAGGAGUGAAGAUCCAUCAAAAAGUGGCUAAGGGAGUUAGGGCCCAUGAGACAGGCCCAGCCCAAAUUCAAAGUCACCUUCUUUUGGGCUUAUCCAAAAACUUCACGAACCCAAGCUCAAUCCAAACCCUAAACCCGAAACACCUAAUUAUAUUCUCAAAGGAAGUGGUGUGGCUUAGGGGGAGUCCAUGAGCAAGUCCCAACCAAGUUCAAAGUCACUCUCAUUAGGGUUUAUCCAAAAAUUCCGAACCGGGCCAGCCCAAACCCAAGUGAAAAAACUCAAAAGCCCAAGUCACAAUACCCGAAUGAAUAUGAAAAGGGGUAGCGGUUUGGAUGUCGAGGAAGACAGUCAAAACAUGCUUCCUAUCAGUUAAGCAAGAGAACAUGUGAGCUUGAGAGUGACAUUUCGGAAUAUGAGAAUGAGUCAAUAGAAACGUGGGCGGUCUUGUCCUUUGAACUUUGAACUUUGAAUUCAAUUUCACUAUUAUCAAUUCCUACUCUAAUUAUGACUUCUUCCCCAAGAUUGCAACCAUGUCUCUACAUUUCUACCAAAUGAAAAUUUUCCAUCUGGCCAUAAGUGAAUUUCAUGGAGUGGAAGGGGUUAAAGGGAUUUAUGUAGCAUUUCCUGUUUGAUUCUUGGCUUUUAAUUCUUUUUUUUUGUUUUUUAUUUCAUCAUUAUUAACAUAUAAAAAAUUCAUAGAAUAAAAAUAAUAUAUAAAAGAAGGGUCUGAUUAUACGGAAGGAUACAUUUUUGGUACUAUACAUAUCAAAAGUCUAAUAUUUUACCAAUUGGAUAGGAUAUAUAUUUUUUUUAUUAAAGAAUCUUGUAUAUUCCAUUAGUAGGUUUAGAUCUCUUUCUCUAUGACUUGGCGUGACUAAUCUACCUAAAAGUUAAUCAAUAAUGGAUUAUAGUCAAAAGAUUCUAUUUUUUUCUGAUACAACAAAUAUAUUAAAAAAAUCAGUUGUUUAAUUUAAAUCCUUUUUAUUUUUGUCUUACUUGACUAGUAAACUUAAAAGUAAUGUCUCACCUAACACAACAAACAUGUUCAAAGUUUGAUGCUUAAAUAAAGAUCUUCUAGACGAGAACUUGUGUGUUUGAGAUUUUUUUUGAAUUAAUUUUAUAUAUAUCAAUCCUACACGAUUUCAAACAUAUAUUACAAAAUUGCUUUUCAAAAUUGUUCUUAGAAAUCACUUUUUAUUGUUUUUAAGAAUAAAAUGAGAUUGAGAACCCAUGUAUAUAUGAUAGUUUUUGACAAACCAUUGUCCAAUAGGAUAACAACAAAUGAGGUGAAUAGGUGUGUGUAUAAAAAAAUAUUAAAUAGAGAGUUUAAUAUUUUAUUAAAUUUUAAGUUGUGAAAUAAACAAAUAAGCAAGGAUACGAGAUAAAAAACCAUGAGUCAUAUAAAAUUACCUGCUUGUUUUACCCAGUAAGCUUACUUUUCACAACUUACAAUUUAAUCCAUAUCUAUGAUGUAACAAUCUUUAAGAGAUAUUGGGAAUGAUAGAACAAGUUAGAGUGAGUUUCUUUCAUAUGUUCCCAAAAACCACAUUUAGGUGGGAUAUAUAUAUAGAAAAAAAAAAUAGUGGAAUUGUAAUCAAUUUAAAAAUCUUAUUUUACUAAAAAUAAUUUAUAAAUUUAAGAGUUUUAAAAGGUUUGGAAAAUUUUCAUAUUUUAAAUUUAAAAGAUUAAUUUUUUUUUUAAAUUCUUAAAUUUAAAUCCCCAAUUUAAAAUUAUUUUCCAAAAUAUUUUCAUUAUUUGGAAAUAUUUUUCUUUUUAAAUUUUCAAUUUAAUUUUUUUUAAAAAUUAAUUGAGAUAUUUUAACUUAAUUAAAACUUUCAAUUCAAUCCUACUUUACUAACUUGCAUUUACUCAACUUUUUAAAAUUUACUUGUGACUUUUCAGUCUAGUGAAUAACAAACUAAAAUCUUCAAUGAAGAAUAAGUCGUUAUAAAAAAAAUUUAUCAUAAUAGUUUUUUCAUUCAUUUUUUAUAAAUAUAUUAUAUACUUAUAUACAAUGUAAAAGUCUUUUAAAUAUUCUUUCAAACAUAUAUUUGUUUUUGAAAAUAGCUUUUUUACGGAACAAGUUUUCAAAAAAUUCUUUUCUGCACGAAUGUUUAUCAAAAGUAUUUUUUUUUUAAGUUUAAACACCAAUUAGUGGUAAAUUAGUAUUGCCAAAUAGAUAGAGAUUUUUGUAUGAAACAUGUUUAAUUAAUUUUUGUCAAUAUUAAUCAUGCUUGAGGAGAAAGAGGUUGGCGUGGACAAAGAAGUUUGGCACAUUAAUCAUGAUAAAUGAGUUGUUUCAUCUUGAACUUUGAUUUGAUUAAUGAGAGAAAAUUUUAGUGUACGUAGGAUGCUUUAGGCAGGUGAGACAAGGGAAUAGUUUCUAAAGGACUUUUUUUUUUAAAAUUAUUUUUUAUGCGUUAAUUAUUGCAAGUCAAAGAGAGAGACAUUUUAUUUCAAACCAGUUCAUCGCAAUGGAAUCAAACUAAUAUUUUUCUAACACGGUGAAAUAAUUUUUUAAUUUAGAAAACACAUUUAAUAUAAUAAACAAUAAAAAAGGAAGAAAAAUGUCAAUAAACAAUGAAAUAAAAUUAUUUGAAGAUAUAAUGAAUAACUUAAAGUGAGUCAUAUUCUUUGAAAAUAAAUUUUUGUUUAUUUUAUCAAAUAAAUUAAUUAUGAUAAAUUGUUAUUACAAAAGUGAAUUUAGAGGAUUUAAAAAUCAAAUCCAAGUCGAAAUAUUUGGUUUUUUCUAUUCACCUAAAAGUAACCUGCUGAUAUCCGUCAAUAUAAUUAAAUUGAAACUAUUAAUAACAAGUUUAUUUUAAUUAUGUUGAUUGAUAUUAAUAGAUCAAUAUAUAUAUAUAUUUUGUUAGAACAUUUUAUGUAUUGACAAUUUUAUUUAAUUCUUAUAUUAUAAUUUUUAUAAAUCAUUCAUUCGGGAUGUUACGGUGGACCUGUGUUUUCCACAUCCGUCCCCACUUGAAUGACGAGACUCGCUUUUUAUUUAUUUGUUAAAAAUUGAUUUUAAGAAAAAGACUUGGAGUCGUCACUUAUUUUAAUUUUUUUUAAGAGAGAAAACCAAAUAAGAAAGAAAACUUGUAUGACUUCUUAUUUGGAAAAGACAUGUUUGUAAAAACAGAAUUUGGAUUCGGUGGUCAAGUUACCUAUUGGGAAGGCACGGUGUUAAGCCAUAACACCCCUCUAAGCCCGUAUACGUAUGACUUUUACUAAACGAGUUAAGAGAAUUGUGAAAAUUAAUUAAUUAAUUAUGUAUAUAAAAAAAAAUUAUGCAAAUGAGUAUGUACAAGUCAUGGUGAAAAUCAAUAUACACAAAAAUAAUGAUGAAAUCUAAUUAUAAGAAUACACAAAAUAAAUAAUAAAAUAAUUAUGCAAAAUGAUUUAUUGAACUAAUUAAAAAAAAAUAUUUGAAAAAAAUUAAUUUUUUUAAAAUUUCAAAGGAUUUUAUUAAAAACAAUUUUGAAUGAGUGAUUUCAAUUUAUUUAUUACAAAAUAUUUUCUUCAAGUGAUUUGAUUCAAUUUCAUUUGUAUUUAAUUUUCAAAAAAGUUAUUUACACUUAUUAUAUUAAAAGAAUUUAUUACAAAAUUUCAAUUUGGUAACAAAAAUUAUUUUUACAUAUUUUUACAAAAAAAUUUACAAUUUGUUUUCAUUUUAAAAAAGUGAUUUAUACAAAUUAUUUAAAAAGACAUAACUUUAUUUGCAAAGAAUUUUUAAUUAAAAAGAAAAAAAAUUAAAUCCUCUAUUUCAAAAAAAUACUUUUAAUUCCAUUUAAUUAAGGAAAAAAAUUCAUUUAAAAAAAAUAUUUUUGGACAAUUUUAUUAAAAAUUAAUUUUUGGGACAACUUUAUUUACAAAACAAUUUUUGGACAAUUUUUAUUAAACAAAGAAAAUUUUGAACCAUUGUUAUUAAAAACAAUUUUUUAAAUUCUAUUAAAAACAAAAAAAACUUUGGAUUUUUCUAAAAACAUUUUUAUGAUUUUUUAUUAAUAAAAAACUUUCUUUUAUUAAGAAGAAUAUCUUAAAAUUAUUGUUUUAUUAAAAAAUAUUUAUUGAAUUAUUCCUCUUAUUUAAAUAAAAUUUUUGGUUUGUUCGAUAUCCAAUUCUGUAUACACUCAAUAAAUAUAUACAAACAAAUAUUUACAAAAAUCAAAUAAUAGUGGGAAAUAAAACAUGUAUCCAAACAAGCUUACAACAAGUUCAAUAUCUUCCUACAACUUUUCGAGUCUCACUUUCUUCCAUGAAAUUCCGUGCUACACAUGUUAUAAAUCCGUACUCAACCAACAGAAUUGCAUAAUGGGCUUAUGUAAAAACAAAAAUAACCCAAAUUUAAUGUAAUCUACCAAAGCUCAAAUUUUAUAUUAAUUCAUCAAUCAAAAUCUCAUAAACAAAUAUUAUUGAAAUAAAAAAAUAAAAAAUAAAAUAAGAUUACAUUAAAUUUUAAAUAAUAAAAAAACACAAAAUAAUCUUACAUAAUUUUCGAAUACCUCGAAAGGAGAGGCAGUGUGUUUUGGGUGGCAAUGUGUUGAGAUGGAAAAAAAUAAAAAUAAAAGAAAUAAAAUAAAAAUAUAACAGAAUGGGAGAGAGUGGUGAGGUGCGAGAUAGGUGGAAAGGGUGGUCAUUGGAAGUGGUGUCGACGACAUGUCGCCGGUAGUGGAGAUGGUGACGGCCGACGUGAAAGAUUGACGGGCUUUUGAGGAAAAAAAAUGAAAUAAAAUAAAAGAAAGAGUAAAAAAAAAAAAAAAAAUUGGAAUAAGAUGAGGGAGAGAAGGGGGGUCGUGUGGGUGUGGAGAAUGUCUCUGAAAGUGGCAGUGGUCGAUAAGAAAAAGAAGAGGAAGUGAAAAAGAAAAGGAACCAAAAAAAAAAGCAAAAGAAAAAUCAAAAGGAGAGUGGAAGAAACAUCUGGGUUCUCGGUCGUGUGUGUGGGUGUCGGGGGGCAGCCAGAAGAGGAAGAAUAGAGAGAGAAAUCCUAGGGGGGGGGGGGGGAAUGAAGAGAUGAGAGUAAAAGAAAAGAAAAAAAUCAAAAAAGGGAAGUUCAAGGGGAGUAUGAGGAGUGGUUUAGACAUGUAGAAGAAGGGAAUAGGUAAGGGGAGUAGGUCGAGUGGGUAGGAUAAGGAAAAAGAGGACGAGAGAUGGGAAAGGAAAGGGAAAAGAAAAAAAUAAAUAUAAUAUAAUAGAAUAUAAUAAUAAUAAUAAUAAAAAUAAAAAUAAUAAAAACUAAGAAUUAAAAGGUAUAAGUAGACCAAACAAUUCAGUAAUCGGGAUUUAAUUUUAAGAGUAAAAUUGGACUAAAAAUGAAUGUAAAAAUAAAAUUAGGACAAAUUUUGUGAUCUACAAAUAUGGGCAUCUUCGGUAGAGUCUAUGAGUAAAGUGAGUGUAUAUACAAGCGAAAUGAAGUGGGCUUUGCCGAAGAAAAAGAAAGACCACCAAAUUUGUCUCAGUAUGACACAGGCUCUCUUAAACCAAAACAAGAACAAACGGACUCUAAAAUCCAACAAAAAGAGUAAGAACGAAAACUCCUAAGGUGCCUUUAAAGUUACACCAUGGAUCUAGACUUCCUCCCAAAAGUCUCCAAAAGUGGCUCGAAAUCGAUGUCGAAGUCGAAUAGUGGUCGAACCACCAAGGAGCACAUGAACAAAUGCAUACAAAGGGAAAAACCAUACAUGUACUAUAUGAAGUAUGAUGAAAUAUGAAGUUGUGAGGACAAGGUGUGCAAAGACUGGAAUCACCUAAAUCUAAAGGAAUGGAUGGAAUACAAUUGUAAUGAUCAUAAUCACUAAAAUAAGGAAAAAGGAUGGGACGUGGUCGCAAUUACUGAAAUCACCUAAAACAGACGAGACACGGUUGUCAUGACCGAAAUCACCAAACUAAAGGAAAGAAUGGGACACGGUUGCAAAGACUGAAAUCAUCAAAAACAUAUGGGACGUGGUUGUCAUGAUUGAAGAAAGGAACGUGAUAUAGUUACAAUAACCGAAAUCACCUAAAACAUAUGGAAAGAAUGGGACGCGGUCGCCAUGACCGAAAUCACCUAAAACAAAUGGGACGCGGUGAUAAUGACCGAAAUCACCUAAAACAUAUGGGACAUGGUCACAAUGACUGAAAUCACCUAAAACAUACGAAGGACGGGACACAGUUGCCAUGACCGAAAUCACCUAAAACAGAUGGGAUGAGGUCACAAUGACCGAAAUCACUUGAAACAUAUGAGACGUGAUCACCAUGACCAAAAUCACCUAAACUAGAUGGGAAGGAUAGGAUGCGGUCACCAUGACUGAAAUCACUUAAAACAUACGGGAUGUGGUCACAAUGACAUAAAUCAUCUGAAACAUAUGAAUGACAGGACGUGGUCGCCAUGACCGAAAUCACCUAAAACAGAUGGGAUGCAGUAGCAAUGACCGAAAUCACCUAAAACAUACGAAGGAUGGGAUGCGGUCACCAUGACCGAAAUCACCUAAAACAGAUGAGACGUGGUCAUAAUGACCAAAAUCACCUUAAACAUAUGAAGGACGGGACACAAUUACCAUGACUGAAAUCACCUGAAACAUAUGAGAUACGGUCGCAAUGAUCGAAAUCACCUGAAACAUACGAAGGACGGGAUGCGGUUGCCAUUACCGAAAUCACCUAAAACAGAUGGGACGCGGUCGCAAUGACCGAAAUCUCCUAAAAUAGAUGGGACGUAAUCGCCAUGACCGAAAUCACCUAAAAUAGAUGGGAAUGACGGGAUGCGAUCACCAUGACUGAAAUCACCUAAAAUAAAUAGGACGUGAUCGCAAUGACAUAAAUCACCUGAAACAUAUGAAGGACGAGACGCGAUCGCCAUGACUAAAAUCACCUAAAACAGAUGGGACGUGGUCUCAAUGAUCGAAAUCACCUGAAACAUACGAAGGAUAGGACACGGUCGUAAUAACUGAAAUCACCUAAAACAUAUGGGACGAGAUCGUAAUGACCAAAAUCACCUAAAAUAGAUGAGACAUCGUCGCAAUGACCGAAAUCACAUAAAACAGAUGAGAUGUUGUCGUCGUAACCGAAAUCAUUUAAAACAGAAGGACGCGGUCGUCAUGACCGAAAUCACCUAAAACAGAUGGGACGCAGUCGUUAUUAUUGAAAUCACCUAAAACAAACUGGAUGCGGUCGUCAUGACCGAAAUCACCUAAAAUAGAGAGGACGCGGUCGUCAUGACUAAAAUCACCAAACUAAAGGAAUGAACGGGACACGGUCACCAUGAUAGAAAUCACCAGACUGAAGAAAAGAACAGGACACGGUUGUAAUGACCGAAAUCACCUAAAACAGACGGGACGCGGUAACCAUGACUGAAAUCACUUAAAACAUAUGGGAAUGAAUGAGACGCGCUCGUAAUGAUCGGAAUCACCAAACUAUAGGAAAGAACGGGAUGCGUUCACCAUGACCGAAAUCACUUAAAACAGAAGGAAAGAUGGAACGCAACCUCAAUGACUGAAAUCACCUAAAAUAGACAGGACGUGGUCACCAUGAUCGAAAUCAUCUAAAACCAAGGAAAAGACAAAAAUGUGACCAAUCAUAUAAGGUGUGGUCUAUGCUAAAGAUAAGACUGAACUGACAUGAUGAUGAUCCGACCAAAUGACUCAAAACCAAAGGAUAUUGGAGAUAGCGAUGCAAACAUACUUGACAUAGAAGAGGAUAUUCCCUAGUAUGACAACCUAUAAGAAUCGACAACUAGAUCAAAAUGCAAUAAAGUCUACUAAAGAUCUGGUGAUCUCAAAGAAGGGGGUAUGCCCCAAUAUGAGCCUCGUAAGGGUCGACAACUAUGUCUAAAGGUAAUGAAACUUGCUGAAGGUCUAAUGAACUCAAACAAGGGGGGUAUGCCCCAGUAUGUGCUGGUGAAAAGAUUGAGAUGUGGAAUGUUACAAGAACUGCUAUACUUUGGGAUAUGUUCAUCAACCAUGUAAUGAAGAUGUCCAACCUCAAAUGGGAAUGCCAAACAUGACCAUGUAUUGAGAUACCGUGCUGACAAACAAAACGGAUUGGUGGACAAAAAAAUAAUGAUGACUAAUACACAAAAUGCAAAAUGCAAGUAAGUUAAAACUCAACAUGUUAAUUGUCAAAAUGAAAGCAUCGUCACUAAAAAAAAAAUUGUAAUAUGUUAAGCCAUGUUAUCAUGGAAAAUAUUGAACUCAAAGUCCAAAAGGUACAUGAAAGCUCGACUAGGGAAGUCGAGGAUUGGUUUACAUCCUUCCCUAAUCCAGAGAGUAAGGUGUGAGGUCAUGUGUCAUCGUGAAAUGUAUGAGCCAAAAGAAGGAAAAUACCGGUCAAACUCUAAUAGGAUAGAUAUAAGCAUGAAGGCAUCGAGAGUGGAAUGUCUGGGUGUGAAAUGUAAAGGAGGUAGGUAUCCGAGAUCAUCCAAGUGUGCUGAGGAGACUAAACCCAAGGUGUCACCAAACCCAUGAUCCAUCAAAAUCCUCCAUCAAAUGAUUAUGCCUCAAGGGAAUAGUUUCUAAAGGACUUUUUUUUUAAUUAUUUUUUAUGCAUUAAUUAUUUCAAGUCAAAGAGAGAGACAUUUUAUUUCAAACCAGUUCAUUGCAAUGGAAUCAAACUAAUAUUUUUCUAAGAUAGUGAAAUAAUUUUUUAAUUUAGAAAACACAUUUAAUAUAAUAAACAAUAAAAAAAGGAGGAAAAAUGUCAAUAAACAAUAAAAUAAAAUUAUUUGAAGAUAUAAUAAAUAACUUAAAGUGAGUCAUAUUCUUUGAAAAUAAAUUUUUAUUUAUUUUAUCAAACAAAUUAAUUGUGAUAAAUUGUUAUUACAAAAGUGAAUUUAAAGGAUUUAAAAAUCAAAUCCGAGUCAAAAUAUUUGGUUUUUUCUAUUCACCUAAAAGUAACCUAUUGAUAUCUGUCAAUAUAAUUAAAUUAAAACUAUUAAUAACAAGUUUAUUUUAAUUAUGUUGAUUGAUAUCAAUAGGUCAAUAUAUAUAUUUUGUUAGAACAUUUUAUGUAUUGACAAUUUUAUUUAAUUCUUAUAUUAUAAUUUUUAAAAAUCAUUCAUUCGAGAUGUUACGUUAUUGGAUAUAAGUUUUUUCAUAUAUAUAUAUAUAUAUAAGCCCAUAAAAUAUAUAUAUAUAUAUAUAUAUAUAUAUUUAUCUUGAUUAAUUAAUUGACUCCAUUUUCAUAAGUUUUUUUUUUGUCUGCUUUUUUAGUGGCUUGGGAUUGGUUUGGUUAAUCUUGAUUUUGAUGAUAACAAAACAAGGUUUAGAACUAAUAAUCAUAUUUCAAGUGUGAUUAGGCAAGAUGAUUUCCAAAGUGGCAAUCACAAAGACAAAUUAAGCCAAGGAGAAAUCAUGAAGAAGAAGACCACCUCAAAGAGAAGAGUUUUUCAAGACCAAAGCUUUUUAAGAUCUCUUUGUAAGGUUGUUGGUGCACUAGGACUUUCAUGCAUUUCAUUAUUUAUUUAUGCACCAAAAUCAUCCAAGAGUAAUAUUGUUUUAAAUAUCUUAAAAAUUGGAUGAUUUCAUAUUUUCAACUAAAACCUUGUGUUAAAUGAUUUUCAAACUUGUGUUAAAAGGUUUUAAGUUGAAAAAGGUUGUGUUGAGCUAAAAAAAUGGCUCAACAGAUUCAACCGAUCGAGGAUCGGUUGAGGGAGGCCAAAAAGUUUCUCUCUCUCCCAGUGACCUUCUCUUCCCGGUCAAGGUUGAACCUCAACCGGUUAAGGUCCGGUCAAGGUUCGGUUGAGGUCCGGUUGAGACCCAACGGUCACUUUUCCUAACGGUUAGUCAACCGGUCGAACCCUUAACGGCUAGUUUGACUUUUUUCUUCUAUAAAAAGGCUCCAAUCUUCAUUGUUUCAUGAACUUAACCUUCCCAAAUCAUUCUUGAUUAUAUUUGAGCCUUGGAAGAGUGUUUUUGAGUGCACCAUUGUUUCAUAACUUGCAUAUCUUUAGUGUACCAUUCAAUCAUAGUUUUUCUUUUAUCUUUGAGCCUAAAAUUCUAUUACUAGGAUUUUUGUGAGAUCAUUAUUUGUAUAUCUUUGUGAGGAAAUUUCUCAAGUGAGGGGUAUCACUUGAGAGGUUAUUCAAGAGAGAGAUAUCUCUUGAAGAAGUGUAAAGAGUGCUUGGAGCCAAAAGUCCAAGAUGGUGAAUUGGAACCAUAAUCCAAUUGUAAAGAGAUUGGAAGUUUGGUUGAAGCUUCAAGAUAGUGGAACCCUUACUCAGUUAGGAGGUUGAGGAGAGUGGAUGUAGGCAAGGAAGUGUCGAACCACUAUAAAUUCUCGUGUUUGCACUCUCUCUUCCCUAACUCUUUUAAAUUAUAUGCAAUUGUGUUUAUUUUGUUUAUUAUAUAUUUGCAUAUAAUUUUCUCUUAUUUUUGCAUAAUUUAAAUUUGUGAAAAAGAGACCAUCACCCUAUUUACCCCCCCAGGGUGAUUACCAUAGUUUGGAUUUGCCUCAAAUUCCUAACAUAUAUAUAUAUAUAUAUAUUUUCUUUAGAAAACAAAAAAGAAUAAUAAUUUUUAUAUAAAAUAUUUGAUGAACUUAAAAUAAUUUUUAGAAGCCAUUAAAAAUUCUUAUAUUUUAUAAGAGUUACUAUUAUUUUUAAACAAAAUCUUAAUUAUUAAGUUCAUUUUGAAAAAUGAAUUACAUGUGAUGUGAUGAAGGUUGUUGAUAUCUCGCGCUCCUGGUGCUCCACGUAGUUGCCAAAUGGAAAGACACGCGACCUCAACACACAAAGGUUCUUGAUUCAGUCGUUAUACCUGCAAAAGGCAUCCGGACAGGGUGUCCAAACGCACCCUCCGAUGGUUUUGUUAGCCAUGGUUAGAGAGGGAGAUAUAAAUCAGUUGGCCUUUUGCUAGCUCUUAGGAGAUUACCUUCCUCUUCGUGUGAAGGUUUAUAUAUAGUGCCAGGAAUACUAUUCCUCUUAUUAAUGGUGGGGAGAUAUUUUAUGUUGUCAUGAUGACAUUAGAUGGCAGCAUGGCCAUCAUCACCCUACAGGUGGCUGAUAGGGAUCGUGGCAGGUGAUGCGGCUGUUAGAGAUCGUGGGAAGUGACCAUGCGGAAUGAUCAUAGGAAGUGACUUGUUGUCACUUCAUCUUGUCCUCUCACCCUGCAGGCGCCGGAAUGUGGGCCAUGACAGGCUGUUGUGGUAACGUGUGAGACUUGCUUACUUCAGUCAAUGAUCCGGACCACUUUAUCCGGAUGACAUAUGUUGAUCAUCCGGAUGUAUUGUGUGAGUCGUCCGGAUGAUAUAUUUAUAAGUGUCGUUUGAUCUUCCUUGAGGUAGUCCGGAAAAGCAUGCCAUGUGUGUUUUAUAGGAAGAUCCGGAUGAGGGUGACCCGAAUGACAAUGCGUGCCAUGUGUCACUGUAAGAUGCGUGCCACGUGCUGUCGGAGGGAGGGGUCCCUACAAUGCCCCCCUUUUUAACUUGCCUAUUUUGCCCGAGCAAAAAUGGGCGGGUUAAAAAAUAAUUGGUUUUUGAAACCGAAAUCGACUUUUUGUCUGGUUGGGCCACGUGGCGAGUGGGGGUGCAGGAGCCAAAAAGGCAUUUAUGAUGAGCCGCCGACUCUGGGUAUUCCCAGGCAGCAUGUCGUUUUAAUGAUGGCGUUUGUUGGGCGUUUGGCUUUCCGAGGGGCUGUCUCCUUAUAAAUAGCAUACUGUGCCCACUGUUGCUUUUUUCCUACUGCGUUUUUUCUGAGAUUGCUUUCUUCUUCAACCUUGUGCGUACCUUUGCUUCUUAUUCCUUCUGCUUUUUCUGAGUGAAACCCUAGAAUUUCCUGACGGUGAUUUGUUGCGUUUUGACGGUGUUUGCCUUGCGAUUUGCAACCCUUGCUUUUCUCUUACAUUCGGUACGUAUUCCUCGUGCCUUGUUCUUCUCUUUUCUGCACUUUGGUGUUGUUGGUUUGUUGCUGGUUUGUUUUAAGGGUUUCGAUUGCCCCCCUGCGUUUCUUGUGGGUUGGGGGUUUCUUGUUGGGGUAAAGUCAAGGAUUUUGGGAUGGGUACAUUGGUGGUGCGAGGUUUUCUGAGUGUUGGUAUUGUUUAGGGUUUGCGAGUUUUUGGAUUGCUGUGUUUGACUGUUGCACUUUUUGCAUGUAGGUUUCGAUUCAACCUCGGGCUAAAAAAUGUCUUCAAAGCAGAAAACUACUUCAUCUGUCCGCGCCGGCGACGCUCAUGAGAAAUCUACAGACAAACUGAGCGUAAAGGAGUUUCGGGAUCGAUUCUGUAUCCCAAAUGGCGUAAUCGUGGAAUUUCUGAAUGAGGGGGAGGAUGUCGUCUCUAUUGAGAAAGCUGAACAAGAUGCCAUCAUCUUCUCAAAGGAACAAUUCAACGCGGGGCUCCGGUUCCCUCUGCCGGUGUUGUUAAAGGAAUUCCUCCAUUUCACCCAGAUUCCCCCCGCCCUCAUUCAUCCCAACAUCGUGCGGGUGCUGAUGGGAUGCAGCAUCAUAAACAUGCUAUACAACCUCGACCUCACGCUGCUGGAGGUGUUUUUUGUUUAUUCUCUGAAGAAGGUAAAAAAUGACAUCUUCAGCAUGUCCGCUCACCUGCCCUCCCUUCAAUUGGUGACGGAGCUGCCGGACUCCACGAAGAGAGGGGCGAAGGGACUCGUGGUAGUCCGGGGUGCAUGGGCGGGGUCGAAGCACCCGGCGAGGCCUUUCUCUCCAAACUACUCCUCAGUGAUUCCGGGUAAGUUUGCUUUGCCAUUUUUGUCCGGCUUUUACUUUGUUGUCUUUUGUUGAUUUUUUCGGACGAUAUUCUCAUCCUUUGUUGCUGCCAAUGCAGGUCCGGAAAAAAUGGGUCACAUCGUGGAUUGGGUGGAAAAGGCGUCUUUUGCCUGUCUCAACAAAUUAUUUGAGAUAGACGCCAAGGAGAGGCACUACAAGACGCUGCUUUCUGCGCGGAAUCUAAUGGCGGUCGUCCAGGAGUCUCAGGAAUAUGUCAUCAAUAUUCUCCCCAGGAAGCUGCCAUAGGAGGUAGUGCCUGGGGAGCAUUAUACUGUGAAGGAUCUUCCUAUCUAUCAGAAGGUGAAAGAAGCCGAUGCUGAGAAACGUCGAGCCCUCCUUGAUGAUAGGGAGAAGAGAAAAAACGAGGGGACUUUUCGGAAGGCUCCCGGACAGAAGCGCAGCCUCCCCUCCACUGAAAGCUCCAACGAAAAAGAGGAAGCUGGUGAAGAAUGGGAAGGGAGUGAAAGAGCCCACUCCUCCCAAGGAAUUUGUUCCUCCGCCUAUUACUCAUGCGGCGGAGGUAAUAAUAGAGGAGCCAGUGAACCCUGCCCCCCACUCUAUUUCAAGUGGCCCCGGACACGUCGUGGGGCUGAACCAUUCGGGGCCCUCCAUGUCGGUGGAUGCUCGCCUGGCUAUUGUGGCCAAGGAAGCUGUGUCUAUAAACAUUCCCGGUUCUCCCCAUCAGGAUGCUGCUGCAACUGAGGCCGUUUGUGCGACCCCGAUGGAGGAAGCAGGGGCAGAAAGUCAGAGUCAGCCCUCUGACGAUCCGGACCGUCUGGCUCUUGUUCUGGUGAAGGGGCCACCUUCAAAGAGGCCCCGUUCGGCGCGCAAUCUGAGAUCCGGACUCAUCGGGCGGCUUCAAGAUCGUCAGCAAGAGAUUGAAGUUAGUUGUUCAUCCGCCCACGACACUCAUCCGGAGGAGGGCGAAGUAGAGAUAGCAACUGAGACGUCAGCCGCCCCGGUGAUGGUCCCGGAUGAGGUUGCACCCGGGGAGAACCAUCCGGCCGUAAAUGUUGAGGCCCCGAAUCCGGAACAAGAGUCGCCUUCUAUCGUCUCAUCAGGUGGGAAUCUUGUUAAUGACGCGACUUGUACAUCCGCUAGCCCUUUUAGCUACGCGGAGUUGGAAGAUAAGCUGAAACAGAUUCCACCCGGCUUGACUACUAUAAUACCCUCAGCCAAGAUGUUCGAGAUGGUGGAAACGAUAUACUGUUUUUGCGCUUCUAGGUUCUUUGUCAUUCUGAUAACUUUGUGGUGUGAUUUAUAACUUUGUUUUUCUUGCUUGUGUGCUUGGAUGCAGUUGGUGAGUGGUCUCCGCGGCAUGGCCCAACAACAUGAUCUUUUCACUGACCUGCUGCGGACCAUUGAUUAUAUGAAGACCUUUGCCUCUUGGCGCAAAGAUAGUGAAAACCAAUUGCGCCUUAGACUGGAGGAGGCUGAAGCCAGCUUAUCCACUGUUCGAGAGGACAAUGAAGCCCUUCGGGCGGAUUUGGCUGAGGCUACGAUCCGGGAGGAAUCAACGAUUGCCCGCCUGCAUGAGGCAGAGGAUGAGAUGGCCCGGCUGAGGGGGGAGGUGAGGCAACUCCGGACUGAGGCUUCAAUUGAAAAGAAGCAGAAAGAAGAUUUGCAGCUGCGCUUAACAGCGCAAAAAGAAGAGCUAGAGCGAGAGUUUGCUGCAGAGAGGGAGGAGCUUGAAGCGGACUAUAAAAAACAAGUGGAUGAUACGUUCAUCUUCGGCUAUUGCUGCUGUAUGAAGAAGAACGGCAUAAAACGAAUUGUCCCUUCAAUUCCUCCAGGUGAAGAGAAGAAACUUUAAACCUGCUCCCUGAUAGUUUUUUUCUUUUUGCAAUUUUUCUUGUAAUCUUCUUUCUGUAUUUCUUGUGGUCCGGAGACCUCCUUGUACAUACAUUUACAUAUAUCAAUAAAAUACUUCUUUUUUCCAUUUGUACUUGUCUUGCUUUUCAUUGGUAGUACUGUUUUAAAUUGGACACAUUCCAUGGUCUAAGUAACGGAGUUCCGUCUAACUUUUGUAAAUGAUAGGCUCCACUUUCACUUGCCUUAGAUACUAUAUAGGGUCCUUCCCAGUUAGCUUGAAACUUCCCUGCGCCCACUUCAGCAGUGUUUUCAAAAAAAUUUCUAAAGACUAGCGUACCAUUUUUGAAGCUUCUGGGCUUUACUUUGCGAUUGUAAUGGGCGGAUGCUCUUUGUUGAUAGUCUGCCAUCCGGAUGGCUGCACUUUCUCUUACUUCAUCCGUCCAAUCCAAGUUUCUUCCUAAUUCCGUGUUUGCAUCAUCCUGCUUUGCUGCGUCAGUCCGGAUAGUAGGAAGACCUAUUUCAGUAGGAAUGACUGCGUCCAUUCCAUAUGCGAGGGCGAAAUGAGUGUUUCCUGUUGGUCGUCCGGGUGUGGUUCGAUAGGCCCAUAGGACGCCGGGUAGCUCCUCUACCCACUUCCCUUUGGCUUGUUCAAGCCUUUUCUUUAGGGCAGUGAUUAGGGUUUUGUUUGUGGCUUCUGCUUGCCCAUUACUUUGAGGAUAUCGUGGUGUGGAGUAUGAAUUCCGGAUGUUCAGCUCCGAACAGAAAUUCCUGAAUGCAAUACUGUCAAAUUGUGGACCAUUGUCAGCUAUGAUGGUUUGGGGGAUUCCAAAACGACAAACAAUGUUUUUCCAUACGAACUUUGUGACAUCUUUGUCUUUGAUGCUAGCAUAUGCUUCAGCUUUCACCCACUUACUGAAAUAAUCAGUGGCGACAAGGAAGAACUUUUUCUGGGCAGGCGCUGCCGGGAGGGGUCCCACUAUGUCCAUGCCCCAUUGCGCAAAGGGUCAUGGGCCUGAGAUUGAUUUCAACGUUGCUGAUGGCAUAUGUGGAAUGAGAGCAUACCUUUGACAUUUAUCGCAUUUUUUGACAUAGGCUGCCGCGUCUUGCUUCAUUGUUGGCCAAUAGUAUCCUUGCGAAUGGGCUCUAUGUGCCAGAGAUCGUCCUCCGGAAUGAUUCCCGCAUAUUCCCUCAUGCAACUCAGCUAACACAUACUGGGCCUCUGGAUGCCCUAGGCACUGAAGGUAAGGUCCUAUGAAGGAUCGCUUGUACAUGUGCCCCCCAAUCAGGGUGAAACGGGCAGCUUGCACCCGGAUUUUGUGUGCCUGUUUGGGAUCUCCGGGUAGAGUGCCUGUCCGGAGAUAUUCUGCAAUAUUGUCCGUCCACUCUUGGUUGCUUACUUGGGUUGCCUCAAUGGUAUUGCAAGUGGAGUUCCCUGUGACAGAGGGGUUGGUUUGCACAUGUAUAGGCAACAUAAUGGCUUCUUUGAUAGGGAGGGAGGCAGCUAUGCCGGCCAAGGCGUCAGCGCGCCUAUUGUCAGCUCGCUUGAUUUUUUCGAUUGUCCAUUCGGUGAAUUGCUGCAAGGUGUUUCUUACUUUAGCUAAGUAUCGCGCCAUGCGUGCUUCCUUAGCCUCAUAUUCCUUCUGGACAUGCCCUACCACGAGUUGUGAGUCGCUGUAUAUCCGGAGUCUGGAGACGGAUAGAGCAAGGGCGAGGUCCAAUCCGGACAAGAUGACCUCAUAUUCUGCUUCAUUGUUAGAGGCAGAGAAUCCCAGCCGGAUGGCUUGCUCCAAAUGUUCCCCAGUUGGGGACUAUAGUAGGAGCCCAACUCCAGAGCCUGAUGAGCGUGAGGCUCCGUCCACUCGCAGAGUCCACCACUCUUGUUUACUUGAUUCGUGGUGUUGGCUGGGUUUUCGGGAAUAUUCUAGCACGAAGUCAGCCAUUACUUGGCCUUUCAUGGACAAUCUGGGUUGGAAUUCGAUUCCAAACUCGCUCAAUUCAAUGGCCCAUUGUAGCAUUCUCCCGGUCAAAUCUGGCUUGUGCAGAAUGUUGCGAAAGGGCUGGUCAGUUAGUACGAUCACUAGAUAAGCUUGGAAAUAAGGGCGGAGCUUCUGGGCAGCGCUUCGAAGGGCUAAGGCUGUUAGCUCCAUUUUUGAGUAUCUGGUUUCUACGUUUGCCAAUGCCCUGCUGACGUAAUAGAUAGGUUUCUGCUCCUUGGGUGAGGGGCAGCGGAAUAGAACGGCGCUGAUUGCCCAUUCUGAUACCGCCAAAUACAUGUACAAUUUCUCCUUUGGGAUGAGGCUGCUCAAGUUGGGUGGUUGCAUAAGACAAUGCUUAAUCUUUUCGAAAGUGUUUUGGCAACUGUUCGUCCAUUCGUGCGCUCCAGCUUUUUGUAUUGCCAAGAAGAAGGGUCGCAAUUCAUCAGUGAAGCGGGCUAUAAAACGCCCUAGUGCGACGAGCUUGCCUGUGAGCCGUUGUAGCUCCUUCUUGUUCCUGGGAGGGGGUGUUUCCAUGACUGCCUUGACUUGAUCUGGGCUGACUUCUAUGCCCCUUUGGUUGACCAUAAAUCCUAGAAAUUUGCCAGCACUUACGCCAAAGGCGCAUUUAGAAGGAUUUAGCUUCAUGUCAUACUUUCGUAAGAGGUGAAAAACUUCUUGUAAGUGAAGGACAUGCUGCUCUCGGGUUUCGCUUUUAACCACGAUAUCAUCAAUAUAUACCUCUACGGUGUGGCCUAUAAGAGGUUUGAAGAUUUUAGUCAUCAAUCUCUGGUAAGUGGCGCCAGCAUUUUUGAGUCCGAAUGACAUGACUUUGUAGCAAUAGAGGUCGUGUGGCGUUAUGAAUGCUGUCUUUUCUUCGUCAUCCGAGGACAUGGGAAUCUAGUGAUAUCCAGAGAAGGCAUCCAAGAAAGAGAGCAUCCCUUGCCCGGAAGUGGAAUCCACAAUUUGAUCUAUUCGCGACAAGGGAAAACUGUCUUUUGGACAUGCAUUGUUGAGAUUGGUGUAAUCUACACAAACUCACCAUUUUCCUUCUUUUUUGGGUACCACCACUACGUUUGCCAACCAAUCCGGAUAAGCCACUUCUCUGAUGAAUCCGGCUUCCAGCAAUUUGUCAAUCUCAUUCCGGAUGACUUUUUGUCUAUCGGGGUGAAAGCGUCUAAUUUUCUGUCGGACGGGUCUGGCAGUUGAAAAGACGUUAAGCCUGUGAGAUGCAAUAGAAGGAUGAAUUCCCUCUAUAUCAGAAUGUGCCCAUGCGAAGAUGUCACGGUUCUGUCUGAGAAUGUUUUGCAUGCUCUGAGUUUCUUCGAUUGUCUUGAGGGAACUGAUGUUCGUGAGGUGAGUGGUUUCCUCCGAAAUUUGGAUUGUUUGUAAGGGAUCUGCUGCCGGGGGAUCUUUGUCCGCCGGACCCAAUAAUUGCUAUUGGUCAUGUGCAUGGCUGGGUUCAGGGGGAGAUGCAUCCUCCUGGUUGGCCCCUGCUUCUUGUGCUAUCUGAUAGCACUGGCGAGCGGCCAGCUAGCUGCCAUAUAAGUCAAUUUGCCCAUUGUUGGUGAGGAAACUCACCAUUUGAUGAUAUGUAGAGGGGAUGGCUUUCAUGUAAUGUAGCCAUGUGCGCCCCAAGAUGAUAUUGAAGGGUGAUAACUCUUGUACCACUGAGAAUUGUACGUUGAGAGUGACUGGGCCUGCUUGGACCGGCAGUACAAUGUCUCCCAAGGACAUAGUUGAUGACCCGUUGAAUCCGGACAGGAUUCGUCCGGGGUUUUCAAGACCUAUGAGAGUGUGUCCCAUGUGGAUGACGACCGACGCUUGUAUAAGAUCGGCCGAGCUGCCUGGGUCAACCAAGAUGCGUCUCACCUCGAAGUCCCCUAUUUCUAGGGACAAGAUGAGGGCAUCGCGAUGUGGCUGCAGUGUCCGGGUGGGGUCAACUGGUGGGAAAAUAAUUGUCCCAUCUAUGGGGUGAGGACCCCCUCCGGUGAGCCCAGGGCGGAUGGAGUUGAUGCGUUCGCGUGUUGAUGCGGCACGCAACAACCUCUGUCUUUUUCGCCUAGAGUUAUAUUCCUUGUUAGAUGGACCCCCGUUAAUAUAGUUUAUAACGACCUUGGGGGCAGCUGGGGCCCUGGGGGCUCCAGAGUUGCGAUUUUGGGGAACGUCUCUUCCCCCAGCAUCUGAGCGGAGGUAUUGCUUUAGAUGUCCUGCCUUGAUGAGCUUCUCGACCAAGAAAUGGAGGCACCUGCAUGUCUCUGUCGUGUGACCGUGUUCCUUGUGGAAGGCACAUCUCUUGCUAUGAUCCCUUGUAGAUGGGUCUGUUCCUUGGGGUCUUGGCCACCUAAAGUCAGACAAGCCUUGGAUCAUAGGGAGAAGUUUUUCAUAUGAUAUGAAGAGAGGUGUGAGAGGCGGCCUUUUCGGGCGACUUGGCCCUUCGUGCCUUCGGUCAGACGGUUUUGGCCGAUCCGGCGGUUUAGUAUUUCUCUCCCAUCACCUCUAGAUGGCCGUCCGGCAACCAAAACUUGCUGGGUGGCUGCACGUACGUCAUCUUUGAGCAUUGAAUAUUUGUUGGCUCGUCUGAACAAGUCGUCCAUCGUCGUAAGAGGCUUUUUGGCCAGUGAUUCGAAAAAUGGAGUGCCUGGACAGAUGCUUCGCUUGAAGAUCUGCAGAACAACAUCCAUGCUGCAAGCCUCUACUUGAAGUACGGCUUGGCCAAAUCGCUUCACAAAUUCCCUCAAGGAUUCGUUAUCUUGCAUUUUUAUGUUCUGUAGGGUGCUGAUAUUUUGCUUGUGUCGAGCGGAGCACAAGUAUUGUCCCACGAAAGCUUCGGACAAGUCCCUGAAAUUGCCAACAGAAUCAGGAGGUAGGCGAUGAAACCAUGAGAGGGCCUGCCCCUGUAGGCUGGCGGGGAACACCUUGCAUAGUAGUGCAUCGUUGCCAAUAUCGAGCGUCAUGAGCUGUCGAUAAUGCAUGAUGUGAUUGAAGGGAUCGUUGGUUCCAUCGUAUGUGGAAAAUUUUGGUACGAGGAAUCCCCUUAGGGGCUCGUAAUGGAUGAUGUGAGAGUAGAAAGGCGUGGAGAGUAUGUCAUCCAACCUCUUGCUGAUGGAGCCAAUGGGUGGCUCAUUUGGGAGGUUUCUCCCAGCUUGUUGUACCGCUAGGUGCGGGUGAACGUUCCGCAUCACGGGGGUGACGAUGAGGUCACGAUGCAGGUGUACGUUCUGCACCAUGGGGGUGACUAUAGGGUCAGGGCGUGGUGCCCAGGUUGUGGCUACUGGUGGCCUUGAUCUUCCAGGCUCUUGGGGGCCUAGUCUUGCGCGCAUUGAAUUUGACAACUGAGAUCUUCUAUCGCGUUGUCUUUUCGCCGAAAAGUGAGUAGAGUCUGAGCUUUCCUCACGGGGAGCUCGGGGCAUAGGCGUGUGUGGCUCAUGAGGCCUUACGUUGCAUGCUCCUGGGAUGGCUCCUGUUGUCCCAGGAUAUAUUGACUCUGGUUCUUGUUGAGGCCUUGAGUUUGCUACUUGGCCUCUUGAACGCUGACGUCGAGGAGGCCCUGAUGUUGAAGCCUGGAUGCGUAACACAACGUUUUCUUCUCUCAAUCUUUCUGUCUCCUGGAGGAGAGCUUUUAGUUGUCGUUCGCUUGCCAACUGUCUCUUUUCGAUGGUUUGACGCCAUUCAAAAUCAUCUUCCUCUCCCCUACCAGAUGAAUGGCUUCGGGAAGGUGUGGCCAUCUUCGCUAGUGACUGAAUCAAAAUAAAAAAGUUUUCCCACAGACGGCGCCAAUGUUGAUACCUCGCACUCCUGGUGCUCCACGUAGUUGCCAAAUGGAAAGACACGCGACCUCAACACACAAAAGUUCUUGAUUCAGUCGUUAUACCUACAAAAGGCAUCCGGACAGGGUGUCCGGAUGCACCCUCCGAUGGUUUUGUUAGCCAUGGUUAGAGAGGGAGAUAUAAAUCAGUUGGCCUUUUGCUAGCUCUUAGGAGAUUACCUUCCUCUUCGUGUGAAGGUUUAUAUAUAGUGCCAGGAAUACUGUUCCUCUCAUUAAUGGUGGGGAGAUAUUUUAUGUUGUCAUGAUGACAUUAGGUGGCAGCAUGGCCAUCAUCACCCUACAGGCGGCUGACAGGGAUCGUGGCAGGUGAUGCGACUGUCAGAGAUCGUGGGAAGUGACCAUGCGGAAUGAUCAUAGGAAGUGACUUGUUGUCACUUCAUCUUGUCCUCUCACCCUGCAGACGGCGGAACGUGGGCCAUGACAGGCUGUUGUGGUAACGUGUGAGACUUGCUUACUUCAGUCAAUGAUCCGGACCACUUUAUCCGGAUGGCAUAUGUUGAUCAUUCGGAUGUAUUGUGUGAGUCGUCUGGAUGAUAUAUUUAUAAGUGUCGUUUGAUCUUCCUUGAGGUAGUCCGGAAAAGCAUGCCAUGUGUGUUUUAUAGGAAGAUCCGGAUGAGGGUGACCCGGAUGACAAUGCGUGCCAUGUGUCACUGUAAGAUGCGUGCCACGUGCUGUCGGAGGGAGGGGUCCCUACAAAGGUGGCAUUUUAGAAUAUUAGACUUUGUCAAUACAUAUGUUGGUGGUUUUUCUUGGAAUUUUUAACUCAAUGUCACUAUGUAUUAUGAACAAAUUUUCACGCCAAUUAUCACCUACUUCUAUGGCUUUUUGCUCCAAGGAACCUUGCACCAAAAUUGUAGGCUUGUUUGCCAAAGAAAAACAUGAUUUUAGGUAUGUUUCGAAAAGGUUAUUAAGAAUAGAAUUUUAUUUGAGAAUUUAAAUAUGAAAAAUAGUUUUUUCAAAUUAUUUUUUGUAAAGGCAUUAUAUAACUUUUUAUAAUAUAAAAGUCUUUAAAGUAUUUUUCAUGCUUUUUGUUAAUUACUUAAAACAUUUUAUAAAAAAAAUAAAAAUAAUUCAAUAAAAAUAACUUAUUUUAGAAUAAAUUCUCAAAACAUUCAAAUAUAUUUUUUAAAAUAGAAAAUUGGUUUUUAUACUACAAAACAAAAAAUAGUUUUCAAAAACAAUUUAUGAAUAAGCUUUAAAGAUUAGUUUGAUUUAGAAAAAAUUGAAGAAAAAAAUAUAAGGAAAUAAAAUGUGUUUCUCUUAUCUAGAUGUUUAUGAAAAAACCUAAGAAAGAAAAUUAAAGUCUUGUUUGGUAAUUAUUUUUAAAAACGGUUCUAAAAAAUAGUUUUUAAAAAUUGGUUUUUAAUGUUUUGUAAAACAAAAGUUUGUUUGAGAGUCUGAAAUAUUUUUAAUUUAUUUUUAAUAUUUUUAAAAAUAAUUUUUAUCAUGUAUAGUUAUUUUUUAAAACAACUUUAAAAAAAAUGAAAACAACUAAAAAUAAUUAAAAAUAUUAUUUAAAAAUACUAUAUUUUCUGAUUGUUAAACGUGUUUUCUAUUUUUUUUUUUUCAAAUAGAAAACUAUUUUUGAAAAUAAUUAUCAAACAUGUCCUAAAUCAUUAAAGAAUGUGUUUUCUUUAAUUUUUUUUAUUCAUUCUUAUAUAAGAAAAAUAAGGACAGAAAUCUUUUGAGUAUUUUUCUUUUUUUCUUUUUGAAAUAUUGUUUAAUCUGUUUGUUUUUUGUUUUUUUUUUUUUUUGUUUGAAUGAAACAAUCAAGUAUUAGAUUUUUUUUUUUUUUGUUACUUUUCAAGAACCAAAUAUAACACACCGUUAGAAGAGAUUUUUGUCUAUUAAAAUAAUCAGAUACUAUUGUUAGUAUGAAUACAUUUAAAUAUGUUUGAAAUCUGUAUAAAAGUUGAUCUAGAAUAAGACUAUAAUGCAAACUUUGAAUUUCAAUAUUUUUUUAAAAAAAAUUCUUAUGUAAACAUAAUAUUAAAAUAAGACUUAAUAUAAAAAAACAUCUAGCAAGACUUUAGAAAAGAAGAAGAAUGUUUGUCUAAGUAUAAAUCUACUUCUUUGGGAUAUGUAGGAAAUAAUAUACCAAAGAGUCAAUGAAUAAUAUUGUUCAUACUUCAUGCCCAAGGAGUCAAUCAAUAAUUCAUAACUCAUGGUAGUCAAAAUCUCCCCCUACCUCUCACCAGACUACUACUGAAAUGUGUGCCAUACAAAAAUGUCUAUAUCUUCAUUAUCUGAAAUUAGAUCUCUUUUCCAUUUGACAAUAAAAUCGACUCUUUCAAAAAAUCAGAAGAGGGAGAUUUUAAUUCAAAACGCAAAAACGGACAUAUUUAUGGUGUUAGGUGAAACAUUAACUUUUGAUAUUGAGAUUGGAAAUAGACAAGUUUUAAUUUCAAGAUGAAGAGUUGGGUGUAUUUUUUGUAGAAUUAGAGUGGGUAUGUUAGAGAAAUAGAGAUGAUGUGCUUCAAAUAAUAAUGAUAGGAUAUACUAGUCAAUAUGAGGACACGUUUUAAUUUAAAUUGAAAGAAAAAUAUUAUAAGUUAUAUAUAUAUAUAUAUAUAUAUAUAUAGUGUAAUUUGGACCAACAAACCUUAAAUAUUAUUAAAGAUAUGAAAAUAACAUUGAAAAAAAAAAUGAGACCCAAAUAUAAAGAAAUCAGAUUUAAAUAAUGUCCUUUUUUUUUAUUACAUUUUGAUAAUAAUACCUUCUUUUUUUUCUUAUAAAAAUAACUAUUUAUUUUAAAACUUAUAUAUAAAUAUUUGAAAUAAUUAAGGGUAUUUAUGUCAAAAAUAAGUUGUUUUUAAAAAAAUAUAUAAAAGAUGUUAAAUUCACAAAUAUGAGGAUUAUUUCAUCCAUUUUAAUCAAUUAAUUCAUUUAAAUUCAAGUAAAUAAGAUUUUGAUAUAAGUAAAUGAAACUUAAGAUAACAAUAUAUGAAUAGACGAGAUUGUUUUUAUUAUGCGACUAAUAUUGAUUUACUAUCAUUCUUUAUUAUGUAAUGACUUAAAUUGAAAACUUCUGACAUGUAGGAGAAAUAGAUGAUCUAAUACUGAGAAUUUUUUUUUUUUUUUUGUAUAUUACUUAAUUUUUUUAGCUUAUUAAUCAUGUUGGUUUGAAAAUGGAGAUUGUAAUUUGAAGGACAAUUUUGAAUAUAUUUGCUAUGUUAAUAAGAGAAUUAGAGAUAUUUUACUUCAAAUAUGAGAAAACAUUGGCCACAAGCAAUUUUUAUAAUGAAGAGAAUAGAAGUCAAAAAGAGACUUUUCCUCCAAUAUUUUUAUGUUGUUUUAAAGGAAAAAAAUGAUGAAAACAUUAUAAAUUUUAAAUUUUUUUAUUAUUUUUUUUAAUAAAGUUGAAGGACCUAAUAAAAUUUGAAUAUGAUUAUUUUAUGUUUGAUUAAGAAUACCAUAAAAGUUUUAAAAAAAGUAUGAAAUAAACUCAAAAUUGAACAAAAUUUUAAGGUUUAUUUGGUGAAAAUUUUAAGAUUUAUUCUAUCAAAUAAACCAACUCCAAAAUCCUUUGGAAUUAGAUUAUACUUACAUUGUAAAAAUAUAUUUAUUAAGGUUACGUUUGGUUGGUGGAAUAAAAUAGGAUGGUGUAUAUAUACAUAUACACUAUCUUAAAAUAUAAUAUCUUAAGAUAUACAUAUACACUAUCUUAAAAUAUUAUGUUUGAUAAGAAAUUAUAUCUUAAGAUAUGUAUUUUCUAUCUGAUAUCUUAAGAUAUAAUUUCUUAUAAAACAUAAUAUUCUAAGAUAUGUAUAUGUAUAUCUUAAGAUAUCAUAUCUUAUUAGAUAAGAAAUACUAUUUUAAGAUAUGAUUUCUUAUAAGAUAUGAUAGAUAUUUUAAGAUCAUAUAUCUAAUGAGAUAUGUUAUGUUAUAUUUAUAUUUGAUUUGUGUAAUGAAUAAAAAAUAAUAUGAAAUAUAUACAGUAAUAUUAUUUUAUGACAUAUUUUAUAAAUAUUUUUUUAGUUUUUAAUGUUUUGAGAUUAAUUAAGUCUAUUUUUUUUUCAUUUUUUAAAAUAGCAUGUGAAUGAUAGACUUCAAAUGGUCUUUUUUACUUUUAGAGAGAGAGAGAGAGAGAGAGAAAUGUGUAUACAUUAGAUAUGGAAGUCCUAAUCUACUAAGCUUAUCCUUCUACCUUAUAUUAAAAUAAAUGUCAUAGUCCACAGUGCCACCCAUGGUCAACUGUGAUGUACUUAUUUGGUGCCUACCUUUUUUUUCAGCUAACCAAUCUAAAAUUAAUAGUGUGUCAUCACCUAGCAAUUUAAUUUGGACUGUGAUCCAAGUGGGCCAUGUGGCAUGUGCCAUGGUACAUAAAGUGGGUCUUUCUUCACAUGAUGAAUUUAUUUAUGUAUUUAAUUUUUUUUUAAUGACGGAUUAGAUCAAAUGUUUGUAACUUUUUUUUUGUCUUUUAAUAUUCUUUCUAUAAUUAAAAAAUUUGAGCCAAUCAAAUAUUGUCGCAUGCCAAAUUAUGUCAUAGGCCGUUUUAGGUUAUUAUAGAAAAUUAUUGAACGGAUUUUCAUUCAUUCUUUAAUUAAUUAGGAUCACAUGCACCUGAAAUUAUUGGAUAACAUGUAUUAAUUAUAAUAGUAAACUACCUACCAAAUUCAUUAUCUAUCUAUCCCUCUUUAUGAAUUAGCUUUUUAUCUUAUGAAAUAAUUUCCUUCAUUCUCUCUAUGUUACAUUUUAUUUGGGUGGUUAAAAUGAAAAUGAAAAAAUAAAUUUUUUAGGACCUAUUUGAUCAUUGUUUUUGAAAAAUAGUUUUUGAGAACAGUUUCUGAAAAUUGUUUUUUGAUUUUUGUAGAACAAAAUUUUGUUUGGAAACCUAAAAUAUUUUUAAAUAUGUUUUAAGAAUAAUUUUUAUAUUUAGUCUUUUAUUUUUAAGUAUUCUAUAUGUUUGUAAAAAUAACUAAAAGAUAUUUUUAAAAACAUCGUGGUUUCUAUUCUUAAGAACAAAAAACAAAAAACAAUUUUAGUUAUCAAAUGUGUUUUUUGUUUUAUAGAACAAAAAAUUAUUCUAAAAAACAGUUUUCAAACAAACUGUUAGGUUCUAUUUUCAUAUUUUUAUAUAUUCAUGUUAAAUUUUCUUUUCUAGUUUUAAAGGGUAUACGUUUUUUUUUUUCACAUUUUUUACGAAAAACAAUUUACUUUUGAAUUUUAAUUUAUUUGUUUUUCUACUUUUUUAAGACUUAUUAUAAAUUUUUGGUCGAAUAAAAAAAAACCAAAAUAUUUUAUUUUUUUAAGUAGAAAAAAUAAUAUAUUGGUUUUUCUUUAUUUUUUUAAUACUUAAUAUAAAUAAAAUAUUAUAAAAACAAAAAAACUUAAUGCUUAAUAUUAUUUAGUUUUAAGUUCUAUUUAAAAUUAAAAAAAAAAAAACCAAACACCAUUUUAAUUUCAAACUCUUUGCAUUUGAUUUUUAACUUUCGCCUCAAUAUCAAUAUUUUUAUAUAAACUUACUUUUUUGAAAUAUACUUAAUAUAAUAUAUAAAUAUAUCCUUAAUUUUAGAAGUUAAGAGUAAAAAUUUAUUUUACAACUAUCACUUCAUUUCCUAUCUAAUUAAGAAUGAGUUGCUUGCUAAUAGAAUAACUUAGAUGACAUUUAUUUUUCGAACUUAAUACUAAAUGCAAUUUAUUUUCAGAUUUCAACUAAUUAUUUUUAAUUUUUUUUAUAGAUUUUUCACUUAUUUAUCUAUAUUUUAAUCAAAUAUAAAAUAUUAAAACACGUGACUUUUUACUUAAUAUAAAAAGUUAGCUGAUUCGCACUUCUAACUCAACCCUUACACCUAACUCUCAUUGUGAAAAAACAAAUAAUUUAAUAAUAUUAAAUUAUACUUAAAAUUAAGUUAAAUCAAAUUCUAUUUAGAUUUAAGUAAAAAAAACAAAUGCCAUCUUAAUUUCUUGUCAAAGAUGUUAAUUUUUCCUACAUUAUGUUGAUGUAUGAAUAUGUUUACACUUCUUUUCUAUACUUAUACACAUACUAGAUUUUUAUUAUCAUUUUAUUCAUAAUAUUGAUCACAUGAGCUAUUUCAAGAUAUAUCUUAUCUUAUUAUAAUUUGGAUAUAAUACUUAACUUUAUCCUUCUUCCAAAUUUUAAGCUUUUAAUAUAUGCUCUUUCCAAAAAAGAAAGGUUAAAAAAAAAAGAAAAGAAAAGAAAAAAACCCCUUUCAAUAUUGAAGCCCUUUUCAAAGAUGAGUUCCAAAAGGCUAGCUCAUGAGUCAAAGAGAUGGGGUUUCUUGUUUUUUUUUUUCUUCCAUUAAUGGAAUGAUGAAGUUUGCAUAUUUCAAUACGAACAUGCCUAUAGAUUAACUUAGUUUUCAUUCAUGUAGAUGCCCUUCAUUGAUGGCAAUAUGCUAGUUGACUCUAGACUCUAGAGCAAUGCAUAAAAAAUUCAAAGUUAAUACCCAUGGAAACUAGUAGGGCCACUAAACAAUAUGUAACAUAAUUUAGUUAUAAUUUAUGAAAAUGAAAAAAAAAAAAAAUUCUUUUUGUCAAACUUGGUGAAACAUAUUUGUUUAUAUUCAAUUUAAUUUUGAUUAAGGGUAUUUUUGACAUUUAUAUGAAAUUGAAUUGAAUUAAUACUUACUUUUGUUAUUUAUUGUCUUAGUACAAUACAUGUGUUGUGCAUCCAUUUUAUAUGAUUGUAUAAUGAUUAAAAAUCAAAUAUAAUUAUUAAAAUUAAUAGGAAUACUAAUAUAAUUGAAUUAAAAUGAAAAUUAGAGGAUUUGUUUUUGUAUGAGUGUAAUAAAUGUCAUAUAUGCAUUUUGUGGUGGAUUGCAAGUUGAUGGAACAUCAAGUCUAAUUAUUUAAAUUUAAUAAUUGAAAGGAGUUUUUAAAAUAGGUUGAAAAUUAAUUUUAAGAAUUAAAAAUUUAAUAAUCAAGAUUGAUUUUGAAAUGUGUUGAAUAAAUGGAGGAUUUUAAUUUUUAACCCAAAAAAAAAAAGAAAAAGGAAAAAUAAAAGAAAGCAAAAGAUGGUUGGGCUUGAUUUGGGGAGGUACAUGGUUGUUUCCUUAAGACAGAAAAAAAAAAACAUUAAAAAGAAUUGUGUGAAAAGACUUCCAAGUCAUCCAAAGUCACCACCCAACCACCACCACCAGUCCAGAUGCUGACGUGGCCCACCGGGAUGAUGGUGUCAUCGGGACAGCAAUGGGUGGUUUGCUGUUUCCAGGAACCACCCUCUGUGGUGGUCUUCCUUCCAGAAACCCACACAACAUGCCAAACAUUUCCCACGUGACAUGUCACGUGCCAUCUUACCUUUCCCCUUUGGAAUCGCUCGCUCGGAAAUCAACGGCCCUGAUCUCAUGCCAAAAGUCUUAACUUUGACCGGACUGCAGCCCUUCGAUUUAUAUAAAUACCACCAACCGCUCCUCUAUUAUUUCCUCUAAAACCCUAACCCUUGCGCUUAUCCUCCACCAUGUCCACCCCUACAGACUGGGUUCAAUUCUACCCCAAUUCUAGCCACUUGGCACCUCCUGGCCGUGCCACGUCAUCCACCCAGUCCCCCGACGCCGCCGUCGGCACCACUUCUUCUUCCCCCCCUGCUGGGGCAGCGGCUGGCGCCGCUGCUACUCAUGGUGGUGGUGCUCACCUGACGCCGGAGGGCCGGGUGGCAAAGCCCAUCAGGCGGCGGUCCAGGGCGUCCCGGCGCACCCCGACAACCCUGCUCAACACGGACACGUCCAACUUCCGAGCCAUGGUUCAGCAGUUCACCGGCGGCCCCAGUGCGCCCUUUGCAGGAGGCAACCAGCACCACCACGGCGCUAUGCCGGGGUUCGCUUUCGGCCAGAGGGUUAACCCCAGCACUGCCGUCAUGGUGCAGCCGUCCAUGUACCAUCUACAGUAUCACCAUCAACCGCAGCAGCAGCCGCAACAGCCGCAGUAUCAGCAUCAAAACUACAUGUUUACAUUGAAUAAUUCCAGCAAUACUAAUAACAAUACUGCCGUAGCUUCCGGUGGAGGAGGCGGCGCAGGUGGCGGAGAUAUGUUUUUUCAGAGGCUGAGCAGCUCAAGAGCUCCAAUCAUGGAGGUUUCAAACGGGUAUGUGAUGGAUGUGGGUUCACGGCAAGCUGCUUCUUCUUCUUCCAAUGAGAACAAUAGGAGUAACAGUUACAUAUUCUGAGAGGGACAUAAAGAAGAAAAAAAAAACAAAAAACCCCAAAAAAAAAGAAAAAAAAGAGUUAGGUACUGACUUGUCUUAGGGGAGAAAAGAUUGACCAAAGCUUGUUGUAUAUAUCACCCUUAUCACACUCUUGAAUAUCACCCAACCCUAGCCACAUAGAUGAUGAUGAUAUAAUAUAUGGUAUUAAUUAGGUUAAAUUAUAUAUAUAUAUAUUUUUUGUCUUUUGAUUUUUUUUUCCCUUAAUUUUGUUGCAGAUUCAUGUUUUGAUCAGGACCUGCACCUAUGAAGGUUGUUGUUGUUCUUGAUGUUUGAGGCCCAAAUUUGGAGACUUAAUUUCCAAAUUCUAAUGGAAAAGUGAUGCUUGGUCUUUUGGUUUUGGAAAUGAUCACUUUGUUUUACAUGGGUUGCCUUUCCAUGACUUGUACCUUGUUUCUUUAUUGUAUUUAUGAAAGGAAUUAACUUUAAGAAUUAUUUACAUUUUUAUAAAAUUAAGAAUAUUUACUGUAUUAUAUCUGAUUUAUCGAUAAUUUAAUACAUAAUUCUAAAAUACAUAAUUCUAAAAUAAAGGGUGGGACAAAUCAUUUGGAUUUGAAUAGCAUAUAUCAUACACGACUCAAUGAAUAAAUUUCAAACUUGUGAAUUGGAAUAAAAAUGGUAUUUGGCAAGUCAUUUUGUUCACAUGGAAAAUAUAGAAUUAUACACGUGUGGGAUGAUGAUGAAGGUGGGGAAUAUGAGUUUUGGGCAAGUUGGGGACGGUGGGUUUGGCACUUUAGUCAUUAAAAAUUAGUAUUGAAAAGGAUUGAUAUGAGUGGGAAAUGGGGUGGGAAGAGGGGAUGAAUGGGAGCCUGCAUUGGGGCCCAAGGAGCAUCAAAAGGAGAAAAUUACUCUCACAAAGUCAAUUCUAUACUAAUCUUUCAUAUGUUUCAACUAAUGUAGGUGCCUUUUGAUUCACUAAGAUUAUAUCAAUCUUUUUUUGGUUUUCUAAGAACAUUAUUAGGGUUUCCUUAUUUUCAACCUUAUUAAGGAAAUUAGGCCUUCAAACACGUGAUUUUUUUUUCUUAAAUCAGUAUCCACAUUUCAUAGUGUGAAUUAAGGUUUUAGUUCAAAGCACUAAUAAAUGAAUCCUUGGAAGCCACUUUUGCUUUUGAUGAAUACGUAAGUCUUGUUUGGUAACUAUUUUUUAAAACAGUUUUGAAAAAUAAUUUUUGAGAACAGUUUUUGAUAAUUGUUCUUUGAUGUUUUGUAAAAUAAAAAUUUAUUUGCAAAAUUAAAACGUUUUUAAUAUAUUUUUAAUAUUUUUAAAAAUAAUUUUUAUGUCAAGUACUUCAUGUUUAAUCACUUUACAUGUUUAUAUAAUUAUUAUUUUUUAAAUAGCCCUUAAAAAAAAUUGAAAAUAACUAAAAGAUAUUAUUUGAAAAUAUCAUAUUUUUCAAUUUUUUAGAAGAGAAAAUAGAAAACAAUUUUUGAUUGUCAAUUGUGUUUUUCUAUUUUUUUUUUUUUUUGAAGAACAAAAAACUGUUCUCGAAAAUAGUUUUCAAACAGGACCUUAAAGGCUGUUUUUGGGAUUUUGAAAAGUUUCGAUGAGUGCAAGGUGUAAGAUUUAUUAAAAAGAGAUUUUGUAACAUGUUUUAAGUUAUAAAUAUUUUAUUUAGAUACACAAAUUAAUUCUCUUUUUGGAUGAAUAUUUUCUAGAAGACGUAUGACAGGAGUUACAAUCGACUCAAAUUGACACCUAAUAUCGAGACUCCUUUGAAAAGCACCACGGUUCAAAAUUCCUUUCAAGAAAUUAAUGUGUAUAAGAGAGCGGUUAUCCAAUUUAACACAUAGUAAAUGUAGAGUUAGGUUAAAAAAAUUUGUAUUUUUUCAACAAAACAAUAUAUAUACUAUUAGUUUAAGAUAGAUAAUUUAAUUAAAAUGAAGAUGACUAGGAAGGAUGGUGACAGAUGAAAAGUAAAUAUAGUUUGUUGGACAAUUCAACUUAUUACCAUCCUAAAUAUCAUUACUCUAAAUGAUGGUCUACUUUAUUGGUCCUAAGAAACCUCUAGCUAAUUAUUUUCAACUAUAUCAUCAUGUUCAUUCUUAAUAUCGUCAUUGUUGACGUCAUAGUAGUGAAUAGUAUCCCCUUUGAAAGUUUAUAAUAAAUCAUAAAAUCAAUAUUUUCUAUCAUGAAUUUACAAAUAAUUUAAUCAAUGUUUUCUAUCAUGAAUUUACAAACAAUUUAAAAGUCUUUUUAUGCUAUGCCUUUAUUGAAAAACUUAAAGAUUAGAUAGUCGAUAUUGAUUACGAUGUAGUUAUCAUAAUAGACUAUUGCUCCAUAUAUAUAUAUAUAUAAAAUGAUGAAUAUCUUUCAAUCAUGAAUUUAUAGAAAUUUCAAAAUUCUUAUAAUUUACAUUUUUUUUAAAGUGAAGAUUAGGUGUUUGAUCAUGUUUUCACCAAACUAGUCUUACCAAAUUCAAUCAUUUGAACCAAUUUUACAAAUCUUUGGGGACCAAAAGCUUCCAAUACCACAUCAAAAUUGCCAAAUUAUUUUUUGAAUUUUUCAAUAUAAUUUUGGGUUUUUUUUUUUUUGAUCCAACUACAAACUUUUUAUCCAUUCUUAUCACAAUUCAAUUGCUGUCUCAAUUGGAAUCUGAAUGAUUAUGCAAAAUGGAAUCCAAAUGAUUAUUUCUCAUAAUUUUGUAGCCAAUAAUGUUAAAAAUGUACAAAUUUCAUUUCAAAAUCCAAAUAAUUAUAUACCUCUCAACAUCAUCAAACACCCAUGUGGAUUUUCGUUGGUCUGGCGCCAACUCAUACAUUUACGGCACGCGUGGCACGUGGUACAAUGACUCAUAAUCACAAUUAUAUUUUUGUCAAUAUUGGAUUGGAAUGAGAAAAAAAAGAAAAAGAAAAAAGAAAAAUCUCACCGUUUAUGCAUUUGGGCUUGAAACUUAAUGGGCCUUUUCCAGACAACUGGGCCUCAACUCUUCCAACAAAGACCACCUCUCCAAGGCCCAUUAAAUACAUGUGAGUUAGGAAGCAACAAUAGUACUUCACGCUGAAGUUUGAUCUCCUCUCAUCAGACUUUGCAGCUAAACCCAAUCCUAAUUACCCAUUAAUGGGGGCAACUAAUAGCGCAAAAUCAAAGACUCUGGUUUGGCAAAGACCGAGUUUAAGCUUUAGUUUGAACACUCAACUUAAUAUACAUUGUUUGUCUAUUAUCUAAAUGGUCAAACUUUUAAGUCAUAAUUGAUAGUUCAAUAUGAUAUCAAAGUGUCAGUUUAAUAUACAUUAAAUACGCAAAUUUGUUGAAGUUUUUUGUUAACACGCAUGAACAGUAUAGAAAAGGACUAAUUCCCAACGGAAGAUUCCCUUCUCUCUUGAAGUAUCACCCCAUUUAAGUUUGGUAGGUUGGGGAUUUUUUGGAAGGAAAAUAAAGGGCUAUGGAGAUUUAUCUAACGGUUUAUGCUUCUAAGUCAAUUGGUAGCUUAUCACGAUAUCAAAAUUUAUGUGCAUUUUUUGUAUAUAAUUUGGAGGGACACAAUGGUUUUAUCAUUGCAAGUAUCGCCCAUAUUAAGGGUCGUGUUGAUUUAUCUAGUAGGUUAAGUUUUUGAGUCAAUUGGUAGCUUAAUAAGGUAUCAAAGUUUUUAAGUAAAUUUGAGUAAUAUUUUUUUUUUAAUAUAGAAAAGGACUUCCAAAUGGUUGCCUUUUCAUUGCAAGCAUCACCAUGAUAAGGUUGGUAGGUUAGAGAUUUUUCUCAAGAAAUAUAAAGGGACAGGGUGGUUUGCAAGGCAUGCCAACAGACCCUUGCACUUCAAGUGCAUUUCUCUCGUGUAUCCUCCCAAUUCAAAUACCCCAUCUCCUCUCAACUCUUCCCUCCACGACCAUACUCAAAAAUGAGUCUCAAAGCCAUCUCUCUCCCCCUUCUCUUUGCCAUAUUUGCAUCUUUGGCCAUGUACACGCAUCUCUCUCUUCCAAACAACCCUAAAUUUGUUAAACACCUCAUUGAUCUUAGCCUCAAAACCUUCUCAUCAUCACCCUUUGUUUCAACUCCCAUGGUGUACUCCGCCCUAGACUGCGGCCUCCACCGCCAUAAACAUCACCAGGACAGCACCACAGGAUCCCUUUGCGACGAUUUUCCGCCAGAUUUCCCCCCUCCAGACACCAACACUACCUCAAUUUUAUGCGUCGAUCGCAACGGUUGCUGCAACUUCACUAUGGUGCAGUCUGCAGUCGAUGCAGUCAGUGUUCUUAGCCAGAAAAGAACCAUAAUAUGGAUCAACUCUGGAGUUUACUAGUGAGUUUAUGCUCUUUUCCACCAUUUUUUUUCUCUUCGUUUUCAAUAGUAUAGCUGUAUACAUAAGCACCUUCAUGACUGCAGUGAAAAGGUCAUUAUUCCAAAAAACAAGCCAAACAUCACAUUUCAAGGACAAGGGUUUGCUUCAACUGCAAUUGUGUGGAAUGACACAGCCAAUUCUUCACAUGGCACAUUUUACAGUGGCUCAGUUCAAGUUUUUGCUGCCAACUUCAUUGCUAAGAACAUUAGCUUCAUGGUGAGAUACAGUCAAACAGUACCAUGUAUUCAUCUGGUUAUGUUAGAGUUUAUUUGACAGUGAUUUUAGGAAGCCUUUAUAAUCUUUCUAGGACUUCAUCACAAUUUUUUUCUUAAAUAUUUUUAAUACUAGAAAGAUUAGAACCACUUCCUAGUAUUACUGUCACACGGAUUCUUAAAAAUGUUGAUAUCUACUAGGAAAUAUGUGUUGAUUCUUGUGGGGAUAUGGUAGAAUGUAGCUCCAAUUCCGAAGCCAGGUGAUGUUGGAGCACAGGCAGUGGCCAUUAGGGUGGCAGGAGACCAGGCGGCGUUCUGGGGUUGUGGGUUCUUUGGAUCCCAAGACACGCUUCAUGACGACAGGGGUCGACAUUACUUCAGGGACUGCUACAUCCAGGGUUCCAUUGAUUUUAUUUUCGGAGAUGCAAGGUCAUUCUACGAGGUAAUUUUAUGCUGUGUUUGAUUCUAGAAAAGUUUAGAGGAAAGAAAAAAAUUAUGUUAAAGAAAAUAAUUUUUUUAUAUUUUAUUUUAUUAUGAAAAAUAUAAAAAAAUAAACAUAAUUAAAAUUAAUUAAUAACUUACAUAUAUUUUUAAAUUAUCUAAUUUUUAAUGUAAUAGUUAAAAUAAAAUAAAUAAGUUUAAAUUAGAAUAAAAUAUUAAUUUAUUGAUUUUAAAUCUAUUUUUUUCUCCAAUUUUUUUUUUCUAUUUUCUUUUCUUAGUAUUUUUCCUUAAUUUUUUUGGAAAUCAAAUAAAGCAUUAAGCUCACAAGCCACUUAAUUUAUACUUGUUAAUGAUCAAAAUAUGAAGGAGCAUAGAUAAAAAUGAGUCAAUUUUCAUUGAAGAAUCACUCAGACUCAUAACAGCAUUUAAAACCAAUUAAUAGAGUUAGUAAUUAAAUUAUGCUUGUUAAUGAUCAUACGUGAUGCAUGAAAAACAAUUUAAACUUAGGUUUUUUUUAGCUUAUUGUUAUUGUUACAAGCCUAUUGAUCCUUUCAAGAUUGAUCUAUUAAUGCAGAACUGCCAGUUGAUUUCCAUGGCUAACCCAGUGCCAGUAGGAUCAAAGGUGAUAAAUGGUGCAAUCACAGCACACGGCAGAACUUCCAUGGACGAGAACACCGGGUAUGCAUUUGUGGCCUGCACUGUGGGUGGGACUGGAAGAGUGUGGCUUGGUCGAGCAUGGAGGCCCUUUUCUCGUGUUGUUUUUGCUUACACAUCCUUGUCUGAUAUCAUCGCCUCUGAGGGUUGGAAUGACUUCAAUGACCCGACCAGAGACCAGUAAGUUCUGAUUUAAUUUUCUUGACAUUCCGUUUCAAUUGCAAUCUCCUUUUGGUUGCAUACGAGUCUUUAAAACCAUGCUAAAUUAAUAAUUCUGUUUAGAAAUCUUUCUUGAAAAUAUUUUUGUAACUUUUGACAACAUGUUUGACAAACUUUUGAUGGAAUAAUAUUUUAAUAAUUUAUUUUGAAAAUGGAUUAUUUAAAUUUUGGAACAAAUUUAAGAUGGUUUAGAACAAAUCUAUUCUUACUGAUCGUGAGACUUUGAUAUAAUGUUAAACUACUAAUUUAAUUGGAAAACCUAAACCCGCUAUUUAAAUACAAAUAUAUAUGUGACUUGUGUCGUUAUUUUCUACUUUAAUUUGCAUGAGACAAUGAUACUAAUUCACCAGAAAACUUAAACUCUAUUUAGACAAAAAGAAAAUGAGAACUGAGUGGUGUUGUUUGUGAUGAACAGGAGUAUUUUUUAUGGGGAGUACAUGUGCAAAGGUCCAGGAGCCAAUACAAGUACGAGGGUGCCUUAUGCUCAGAAACUCAAUGACACACAAGCUUCUAUCUUUCUUAAUGUGUCUUUCAUUGAUGCAGACCAAUGGUUACAACCUUAUGCAUAAUGGCCUCCUUUAUUUCUAUGUAAUAUGACAAGUAAUUCAUUUCUUCAUUCUUUGAUCUUAUGUUAACCAUUUAAUUUAUUCAAAUAUUAAUGCAAAUUCAAAGUGGCAAAUAGAUACUGCAUUCUUUUAUCUGUAUCACUUAAUUUAUUGUAUUGUAAUGAUAUUCUAUUGGCUCUAUGAAAAAGAAAAAAUUAAUUGAUUGAAAUGGUUGAAAUGAUCCCAAAUUUGUAAAUUUAAUCCCUCUCAUGUUUGAAUUUAAAAAUUAACUCAUUUUUUAUAUAUAAAAGUUAUUCAACAUUUUUGAUUAAUUACACAAAAGUUUUAAGAUUUUUUUACAAGAAAAAAAGUGAAGACACUUUUGUAAAAAAUGGACUUUUUUAGGUUGAAAAAAUGUGGAGGGUUAGAGCCUAUUUGAUUAUGUGAUUAAAAAUAAUUUUAAAAAUUCAUAACACUAUUUGAUCAUCAUUCUCUGUUUUCAGUUUUUAAAAAUAAAGUGAAAUGGAGAAUAAUUUUUAAAAAACAAAUAGAAAUUGUUUUCAUGAGUUUUAAAAAAUGAAAGGAAAACAUUGAGACCUUAGAUUUGGCCGUAAUAUUCAUAACAAUUGUUUCAAAUUUUGGUCCUAGUCCACUUUGAAUAUAAAUAAUUAAAUCUUCAUCUGGUAUGGUUUCUUUGAGGUAGAGAGCAUAAUUGCUAUACUUCUCAUUUUUAACACAUAGUUAUUGAUGCUCAGAGCACCUUUCUUUAAUGACUGUAGCAUGAAACGUAAUUGAAGAGUUCUUACCUUUGAAUUUGAGAAUUUUUAUUUUUCAAGAACACCACAUACUUCGGUUGAUGUUUGGCAAGGAACCACAUGACCAUACAUAGCCUCAGAUAUUGAAGCAAAAAUCCAACUUAGCAAGAAUUGAUUUGAAAUUACUUGUUGAUCAUAAUUUGGAUUAGAUGUAGGUUGUCGAUUGAGAUAAUCUUGUGCGUUUUGGUGAGAAUUUGAUCUAGUCAGUGUGCUCUUGCCGCUAGUAAUACUUGAGAUUGCCAUAUUGUGUAAUUGCUCAUUUCUAGUUUCACCGAGAUCAGAUGAAGCGUAGAAGAAAUUUGUCUUGUAAAUAUUAAGGAAAUUGUUGAUGAGUUUCUUGUCAGAGAUUGGAGUCCUUGUAAGGAUGUUUCUGAUGCAGAAGGAUUGUUGUGAUGAGUCACCAUUUUGGACAUGAGUCAAUGGAGCUUUGAUACCAUGUUUGAGAGAUAAUCUGUGACAAGUUUGAGAAUUCUUUUAGAAACUUUCUCCGCACAUAUUAAAUUGAGUUUGAAAGAGAUCUAAGCUAGUUAGGGGUGAGUUUGAGAAUUCUUUUUAAACUCAAGUCAAGUUUAGGAUAGGUUCAUGUAUUACCCACCUUGCUCUAAUUAUAUAUAAGAUUAAAUAAAAAAUAAAAUUAUUUAUUUUUUUAAUUUCAUUUUUAAACAUAUUUAAAAUAAAAAUUUAACUUUAGUUCCUAUAAAAAUCAAAUAUAAAAAUUUAGUACUCCAUAUACUUAUGUUUUUUUUUUUAAAAAAAAAUGAUAAAUUCUAUAUUAAAUAUAGUAACUUUUAUAUAACAAGAGUAGAGUUACUUAAAAAUUACUUUUAAAAUUUUGAUAUAACAAUUUUUUUUUAAUUCUUUAAUUUUUUUUAAUAGGUUUUAAAUAUCAUUACAUGAAUUUGAAAAUGUAAGUAUAAUUUAUCUGAGAGUUACUUUUUGCGCUUUUUGAAAAAUGGUAAACAAAAAGUGCAUCCAAACGCACUUUAUUUAUUUAUUUAUUUAUAAAUUAAAUUUAUUCUAAUGCAAUUCAAAUCCAGAAAAAUAAAAAUGUUUAUUUAUUUUUGUAUAUAUUUUUUUAAAUGAUUGAAAUGUUAUUAUCUUUUUGAAUAUAUAUAUAUAUAUAUAUAUUUAGGCUUAUUGGAAGGUCUUAUUGGUAUGCAUCUAAUAGGAAUUAAACCUACAAAUUUGCCAAUUAUAAGUUAGGUACUUCAACCAUUCAACGAUGUGGGCAUCACAAGUAUAAGUGGAUCUAUCUCACAACAACAAUAUCUACAUUUUUUUUUUCUUUCAAAACAUAUUACAUAAAAAUUUUAGGAAUAAACCACAUGACAAAAAAUCGAGAAUCUAACUGUUAACUUUGAAAUUGAACACCAUAAUAACAUUCUUCACAUAAAAUAAAAUACCCUCCUAGAAUUUCACAUGAAAUAAACUACUUUUGGUUUGUCAAUUGGCACUCUGAAGACCUAGAUGUGGUGAACUAAUGUGAAGUACCUCGGGUCACCGUCUUCCGCCAAUGCAAAAUUAGCGAUCAACCUUUCUUGAUGGGUGAUUUUAGGAAAUUAUGUAAGACAUUGAGACACAAAGGGGGAUUUGAAAAUGGCUGCAAGCUUGACAAUCCUUUUCGCUAUCCGUUUAUAUCUUUGCUUAGAGGUAGGAAUAACAAGUUUGCUUCCAUUGCCUUCUUCAGCGUCAAUCCCACCUCUUCAAGUGAAUCAAAGUCAGCACCAUAAUUGGAAGGUGUAGCAGAGUGUGGGCCAAGUAGUGGGGAAGCAUCUACUACUGUAGUGGUGUCCUUUUCCAUUGGAGAAUGUGUCAUGGGUGAACCGGUAGAGUGUUCCAUAAAUUGAUCAGUAAAAGGAUGAACGUCGGUGUUGUCCUCAUCAUUGUGUGCUUCAACAUUUGCUAGUGGUUGUGGUGGAGGGACUGCACAACUAGUUUUCACUCCAUUGGAUCGAGAAAGCAAGGUGGCAAUGUCUUGUGCCAAUGACGAAGCGAGGGUCACAAGUUGUUCCGAUUUUAGAAUUACACGUGUUUCAAAACAACUAACAAGGUCGACACAAAUAAUCAUGGUACUCAUGCUUGUGUGUGCACUUAAAAAAUUCUAAGGACAUGGAGUACCUCAGUUGGUUCAUCGGAAUGUGAGCAUGUUGCUUCGUGUGGAGGUGCAACCAUAUGCGUAAUUGGAUGUUUUUGUUCUAGAACUUGCCCAUACAUCAAUGGUUUUCUAAGGACAGUUUAGGGGUUAAACUCAAUUCAACCAUUUUCUUCAUAUAUGAAAAGUUCACAUGUCCUAGUCUACCAUGCCAAAUAUCACAAGAAUCAACUAUGUAAGCAAAAGAAGAAGAUGUAUUAUUAUUGAUAAUAUCAGAAACAUUCAACAUAAAUAAACCCUGAUUACAAUAGCCAUUUCCCACAAAUGCAUCAUUCUUGGUUAAAACUAUUAUAUCAGAGUCAAACAAGAUCCUCACUCCUGUUUUUCCAAGCAGAGAUACUGACACCAAGUUCCAACGGAUAUCUGGCACAUGAAGAACAUCAUAGAGGGCAAACACUUUUCCAGAGGUUAGCUUGAGGAGAACUUUCCAUUUGCCAAUCACCGGAGUAGAUCUAGAAUCACCCAUGAACACUUGUUCCUCUCCUUCCUUUACAGUGGUAUAGGAAAUAAAUGCACAAAUUCCCACAUAUGUGACUAGUAGCCCCAGAGUCUACCACCCAGUCCUUCAUAUUGGUGACCAUGCUCACCUCAGAGGAGAUUACUAUUGUGAUCACCUCUGCCUCUGCCAAAUUUGCCUUUGAAUUGGUUUUCUCAGUUCUCUUCCUGUGGCGACAUGGAGCCGCAUGGUGUCCAGACUUGCCACAGACAAAGCAAUUACCCCGUUUUUUAAUAGUUGAGUUCUGGACCUUGUUUGAUGCAUUGGGCUUGGUCCUAAAGUUUUGUUUCCUGGACCUAUUGUUUUUGGGUUUAGAUUUUUCUUCUACUACAUUAGCUUUAGAAGAUAAUUCCUUAGCUUUCUCAAUAUUGUCCCUAUUUCGGUUUUGUUUCUCAAUCCUAAUAUGGAUUAUGACAUCCUCUAGGGACAUUUGUUUCCUUUUAUGUUUCAUGUUGUUUUUAUAGUCUUUCCAAGACUCUGGAAGAGUCUCUACUAAAUAACCAGCCACAAAAGGUUCGGGUAAUUUAAUGUCUUUAAUAGCUAAGUCAUUAAUCAACAAGUUGUAGUCAUGGAUUUGAGAUGAUACAUCUCUAUCCUCAAUCAUUUGGAAAUUUCUAAAAUUCCCUAUGGCAUAUUUCUGAGUUUCCGCAUCUUCUAAAAUAUAUUUUUUAUUCAUUGCAUCCCAAAUUUCUUUUGCAAUUUUAAAUAUAUAAUAAAUAUAAAAAAGUUCAUUAGAAAGGUACUCAGAAUAGCAUGCCUAAUUUGUUUAUUUCCAGUUUCCCAGGUUGGUAACAUAUGAAAACCAUCUUCUGGUUUUGGGUCAGUUAAAAUAUGUCCCAAGUUCACCACAUCAAUUGCAGAUAAAACCCUUUCCUGCCAUAUCUUAAAGAAUGUCCCAUUGAAGGGAUUAAUUUUAGAGGUGUCAAGACGGGUGUGAACUAGGGAAGCUUCCAUUUGGAUAUAUUUCAAGAUUGUUGGAAUUUAAGGGUAUGGAAACAAAAAAACUAGCCCAAAAGACACGAACAAAUAACAGAAUGAAUAAAAACAAAAACUUAUUGGCUAAGGUGUGACAAACACUGUCCUUGAAAUAAAUCCACCAUCCUCGAAGAUGAACUCGGUGCACUAGGGUACCAGUGGUCUACCUCCAAGAUUCAACAACCAGAUCUCGCCUUGGGUGCACUCUGAAAGCGAGAUGUGUACAACUCGAGUUUUUGAAUAAAUUCCUCCAAAUAGAUGUAUGAAAAUAUUCCCUGAAAAACUCUAUGAAAAAUUCUCUGGAAAAUUGGUAUAUAAGUAUAGAGAGGGGUGACCUGCUUUUAUAGGCCACUAACAUAGUCCCAAUGGGAAUCUACUUGUAAUUAGAAGAUGACACAAAGUGGAAGGUGAUUCUACUUAUAAAAGAAAUGAGACUCCACUAGCACAAUCCCAAUAGGACUUUUCCCAAAAAUAUAACACUAAUAGAAUAAAAUAAAAUAUAAUAAAAUAAAAAAUAAUUCUCAAUAGGACACUUCCCAAAAAAUAUAACUCAUAGAAUAAAAUAAAAUAAAAUAAAAUUAAUUUCCAAAAAUAAAAAUAGAAAUUAUUUACACUCUUCCUACACUACUAUCUUAGCAUUUGAUGUCAAAGUGAUCCCUGAGGCUCGAGAACUUGCAAAUGAUAUGGGCAUAAAGAUAUUUAUUGCUGAUAAUCUAUCACUUGUUUGAUCAGUUUAAGGCUCAUAUCGAUAAUCUCAAGGAGGAAAAGAAGAGGGAAACAACUGAUGAAGUAGUCUUUCCUUGUGUUCUUAAGAUUCAACCCAAGGGCUCUUUCAACAAUAAGGAUCCAAUUAUCUUGGGAGUUGAUGUUCUUGAAGGGAUUGUGAAGGUAGAUUUUUCCCUUUUAUUUUUUGUUUUUGUUUUUGGGUUCUGGAUUAAGUUUACUUCAUCCUUUUUCACAUGUCCAAUUUAUGAGAAUUUAUGUUCGAGCAAUCUUUAGGUUCUAGAUUUUGAAUAUAACCCAAAUUUCAAGUUUUUUUUUGUUUGAAUAUGCAUAAGGCACAUUCAUAUAUGUGCCUUAUGCCAAAAAGGCCUCUGAUGCCAUCUGAACUGCAUUUUACACAGGUGGGAACUCCAAUUUGUAUUCCUCAUAGGGAUUUUAUUGAUAUUGGCCACAUUGCGUCCAUUCAGAAAAACCGGAGUCCAGUUGAUAUUGCCAGGAAAGGCCAAGAGGUGGCCAUUAUGGUACGAGAUUUUUAUCUAAUGGAAGAUAAAACGGUUUGUUGAAUCCAGUUUUAUUCUUAGAAGAGGCCUUACUGAAUGAGAUUUUGCAGAUAGUUGGCACGAAUCCGGAAGAGAAGCAAAAGAUGCAUGGCAGACAUUUUGGGGAUGAAGAUGAGCUUGUCAACCGUAUUAGCAGAAAGUCGAUUGAUGUGCAUAAAGCUAAUUACCAAGUAACUACGACUUAUUGAAUUUUGUAAUCCUCAUUUUUAUGUUUGUUUACCAAAAUAUUAAAGAAAGAAAACAUAAAAAGUUAAAAUUAGUUAAAAUAUAUAUAUAUAUAUAUAUAUAUAUAUAUAUAUAUAUAUAUAUAUAUAUAUAUAUAUAUAUAUUUAAAAUUAUUUAAUUUUUACACAGAAGAGUAAAAAUAAGUUAAAUAAGUAUGAAGAAAAACAUUAAAAUAAUUUAUUGAUUUUUAAUUUAUUUUUUAUUUUUUUCUUAGUUUUCAUUUUCUUUCAUUUUUCUUUAUUUUUUUUCUUAGAUUUUUGUUCAAAUUUUCUAAGAAUCAAACACAACCCGAUAUGUUUGUGACGAUUUCUUUUAUGUUAAAGUGAAAUAAGCAUGGUGUAUAUAAGUGUUGUAGGCGUUUGAAGUUAUUUCUAAUUUAAGAAUUAAUAUGGAUAAAAGCAAGAUCAUUCUAGUGGAGAUGAUGGAGAAUCUGGAGGUGCUAGCACUUGAGCUUGGGUGUAAGGUGGGAAAGCUCCAAUCCUUAUAUUUAGGGUUGCCUUUGGGUGCACCUCACAAAUCAGUGGCGGUGUGGGAUGGGAUGGAGGAGAUUAGCAUUAUGGAAGAGACAAUAUAUAUCUAAAGGAGGGAGACUCAUUCUCAUUCGAAACACUUUGUUUAACAUAUCUAUUUACCAUAUGUCAAUUUUGUGUAUGCCUAGAUCAGUUAGAUUGAGACUUAAGCAAAUCCAAAGGGAUUUCCUUUGGGGUGGGAGGGCUUUGGAGAGGAAGAUUCAUCUUGUUAAAUGAUCAGUUGUUUGCUUGGAUAAAAGUAAAGGAGGUUUGGGUGUAAAAUGCCUCUUUACUCUUAAUAGAGCUCUUUUGGGUAAAUGGGGUUAGCGCUUUAUGGUAGAAAAUGAGGCUCUUUGGAAUCAAGUUAUUAGUAGGAAGUAUGGAGUGGAAGAAGGGGAGUGGUAUACCCGGGAAUGUAGAGAGGGUUUUGGUGUGGGGUUGUGGAAGGAGAUUAGAAAGGAAGGUUCUUGGUUGAGCAACUACAUUGUGUUUUCCGUGGAUAAUGGAAGAAGAAACAGAUUUUGAUUGGACUCUUGGUGUGGUGAUGAGGCUUUGUGUAACUCUUUCCCCUCUUUGUUUGCUUUGGCGGUUUCUAAAGAGGGGGUGAGUGGCAGAGGUGUGGGACCUUUCGAUUGAGGGGGGAGUUGGAGUCCUCGUUUUUUGAGGGCUUUCAAUGAUUGGGAGAUAGUCUUGGUGGAGCAGUUGGUCAUGACAAUUCAAGGAAAGAGAGUUAGUGCAAAAAUGGAGGAUAGGAUGAUUUGGAAAAAGACAAAAAAAUGGUUUUUCAUUAAGUCUCUUUAUAAUGCUAAGGAGUCGGGAAAUAUAGUCUAGUUGUCAAGAAAAAUAAUUCGGAGCCCUUAUGUUCCUCUAAGAGUGGUGUUUUUCUUGUUUUUUGGGAAGCCUCAUGGGAGGAAAUUUCAACUUUGGAUCAACUCAAAAGGAAAGGAUGGUCCCUUGCAAAUAGAUGUUUAUUUUGUCUAGCCGAAGAGGAGUCUACUAAUCACAUUUUAAUUCACUGCACAAAGACUAGAGUUUUGUGGGAGUUAUUAUUUCGCUCUCCUCGUGUUAACUUGGGUUCUCCCUUGUUUGUUAAAUGAGACUUUUCUUGGUUGGGUUUGGUCAUUUGUGGGCAAGAAGCAUAAAAAAGCUUGGAAGCUAACUCCUUUAUCCUUUUUUUGGGUGGUGUGGAAAGAAAGAAAUAAGAUAGUAUUUGACAAUGAAGAGUUUUCAGUACAAAGGUUGAAGUAUUCUUUUGUGUGUAGUUUAUGAUCUUAGACAAAGUUGUAUAUAGAUGUUGACCCUUUAUCUUUAAUCGACUUUUUUGAUUGGUUGGGCUCUUAGUGAGGGCAAGUGAGGUUUUUGUUUUCCUUAUUAUUUUGCUCUUUUUUGUCUUUUAGCAUCUACCGUAUACUUCUUAUAUAUCUUGGGUUGCCUGCCAGGCUUCUUUUGUCUAAUUAAUAUAUCUCUUAUGUGUUUACCCAUAAAAAAAUAAUAAUAUUAAGUGUUGUUGGUGUAAAAUAGGAUGAUCUAUCUCUUGAAGAGUGGAAGUUGGUUGUGAAACUAAAGAGCCUCUUCAAGAUACAAUGAGUGUCGAGUCGACGAAGUGGAUGAAGGAAUUGUUCGAGGAUCUGAGCUGGUGGGGGUGCAGGUCCCAGUCUUUCUUACAUGAGAGGGCAUUUGUCUAGGGAAAAUAGUUGUAGAUUGUUUUGCUUUAUGCUUCUUAAACGAUGCCACAGAGUAAUAUUCGAAGGUGUACUAAAUCAUAUCGUAAAUUUUGGGAUCUGAAUUGCAUGCAUGACAUCGACAUCAUGUAUUUGAUAGUAUUCUUUUUCAAGGGAGAAUUGGUUUAAGAUGUAGCAGAAUAAAAGCAUUUGAAAAAAUAUGACUAAUUUUUUAGUUAAGAUGAAUAUUUUUUCACACAAAAAGAUCGAGUAACCAAUAUUUUCAAGUUGAUCACCAUAGUAUUGACUCCGACCAUGAAUUUGAAGUUGAUAAAAUAUUUUGUUCAAAUUUAUCUCCUUUGUUUUUGUGUUCCCAUAUCAAAAGUUAUUGUCCCUUGUACUAUUUUAGAAGAAUAAUUGCUAUCAACUAAUUUCUUAAUACUAUCAUCAAUAUAAAUAAAAAGAUAAAAAAUCACUAUCUAAAAAGCCAAUUCAAAACAAUUUUUUUUAAAGAAUAUAUUGAUUAAAGUAAAAUAAAAUAGCAAAUUGAAGUGAUUUUAGUAUAAAAUAGUAAAUGAAAACAAAAAAAAAAAAUUAUAACAAAAAUAAAAUGUAGUUUAGAGGUGAAUGCUACAUUAAUUCUCAUUAUUGAUAUUGAAGAUUGAUAACAACCGUUGAUUAAUUACUUAGGACUUGGGAAGCUAUUCGACAAAUUCAGGCAUAAAACAUGAAUAUAACGUUGAGUUCCACAUUCAUUUAUUAUAAAAAAAAAAACACUUUCAUUAAAAAUAUUUUAAGUAAAAACACUGUCAAAUGCAAUGUUAGAGUGUAGUUGAUAGUAAUUAAAUGCUUCUAGUCUUUCUAAUUCUUAAAAGAAUGUUUUUUUUUAAAGCCUUACAAAAGUUAUAAAUACUUUCUAAAAUUACUGUUAAAUGCAUUUUUAUAAUAUGUGAUUUUGCUAAAAAUAUGUUUAGAGGAAAUACUUUUACUAAAAAUAAUUUGAAGUUUGGUAGUGUUAUUUGAAAGUUUUUCACUACAAGGAAAAAGAUAUAUGGUGACAUUUAUAACUAGUCACCAUAAACAUAGGGUGUCACUACAACAUAGCGUCACCUUCUCCACUGAAACCAUAGAGGGUACCAAUUGGUGAUGUAUUUGGAAGUGAUACCAAAGUAGAUAAAUGGUGACCCAUUUGGAAGUGACACCAUAUAUUUCUAGUGAUGAUAGGGUGUCGCAUUAAAUGCAUCAUCUUUGAGUUAUGAUGUCAUAUUAAAUGCAUCACCUUUGAGUAAUGGUGUCACAUCAUUGUAAAUUAUUGUGGAAGAUAUGAUUGCUUUUAGUUAUAGAUUUUUGUAAUGCUUAUGAAUUAAUAAGUAAGAUUAACUUGUUUAUAUUUUGUCCAUAAAUAUAACAAUCAUAUUAUAUUUAACUCAUUUUUCUGUAAUGUUUUUGGAAUAACUCAUAAUACAUUGAUCAUUUAAUAAUAUUUGUAUAUCAAAUGUUCACAAAAAGAUAGUACAUCCAACAUAUCAAACCCAUCAAAACUAAAAAAAGAAGAGUGAAUACAUACCAAAACAUGAUUUAGAAAUGUUAAAGAUCCCAAGAUUCAUGUAUACCUCCAUUUCAUAAGCAUAAAACCGGCUAACUAUAAAAUGACAUAAAAGUCCCAUCUAAAAAUCUAAAUUUCUCAAUACUAAUUAAAGUAACAUUUAUGUCCUACAACGUAUGACAUAAGAGUUGCAUUUAAAAACCCAAAAUGUUGUUGCCUUCUUCUUUCUUUUUAUUCUCCAUUCCACCAUCCCAAAAGUGUAUACCUGCAUUUCAUAGUUUAAUGAGUUUUAUAGAUUUUUAUUGAAGAAAAUAAACAUGGAUCGAUGUUAUCAUAAAUGAAAAAAUCUAAGAACUAUUUUUUUUUCAUUUUUUUUUCAAAUAGAAACAUUAUUCAAAGAACCUAUGGAAAAAUUCAUGUAGUAGCUAAAGGACUCACCAUGCAUGGUGAUCAUGAUGCAUCAACAUGAUUCAUGAUUAGUUGUAGCACAAAAAUAGCCCAUUCUCCUCUAAUUUCAUCGAAUUCUACUUGAGAAUAUGUUUUUUUAUCACCAAAUUGAAAUCAAAUAAGAAAAUAACAUUAAAAUGCAUAACAUUUGGAAGCCUAAAACUAUGUACAAUUCAUUAAAUUUGUAAUACCUUUGAAGCAAUAAUUGUAGGAUAAAAAAUUAUAUUUUUUAUGAAUCUCAUAACAAAGUAGCCACAUUCGAACCUUCCUUCUUGUCUUGGACACUAAUCGAUCAAUUAUAAAAUAACAUAAGUACUCAUAUAUAUAAAUGGUGCAAAUGCAUAAGCUAAUGUGUAAAGAAAAUUUUUUGGAUGUCACAUGCACUAGUUGCCAAGAUGGCUCCCUUUUAGAUGUUUUCUUUGUAGAUAUUCGAAGAGCCCUAUGUAAAUAAGUUCAAUGGGUACAUUUUUAAAAUAGGUAAAUGUUAUAUGUUUUAACAUAUAUAUAAAUAAUAAUAAAAAUGUGUUUGAGAUGAAUGUAUUUUUUUUUAAAAAAAAUAAUACUAUGAAAAAUAAUAGGAAGAACUUACAUGUUUACGAUAUCCUUUAAGUCCUCACAUGGUUUGUGAUGCAUAGGGUCAAGAUAGUGGACUAUCAUUUUCCUUGGCUCAAUCACUACUAAGACCCAAUGAAAGCUAAAACAUUAAAAACAAAAGUAGCAUCUAAUUAGAAAUAUAAAUCAAUCAUAAAACCUCAAAUUAAAGUAUAAUAUUUGUCACUUACUCGGGGUUGUAAGGUAUGAAAACAUAUUUAGCAUCUUGGCACUCCAUUAAGCGUUUUGACAACAAUGGUGCUUUUUUCUCUGUUUGAGGAGUACUAAGGCCUGCUCGUGAUAUUGUAAAAGGAUUAACAAAUAUAAAUUGUGAUUCCUUUUUGGCAAGAUUUAGUUUCUUAUCCCCAUUAGGAGUCUUUUCAUGUCAAGAGUCCCUUUUUCUUCCUGCAUCAGGUCUCAAUCUCCCACUUUGACUAGAAGUCUCAUGUGAUAGGAGUAUGUCUCAUGCAAUAGGAGUCUUGCUCAUAUGAUGCAUCAGUUCACCAUGCUUCCUAUUGUAAGAGACUACACCUUGCUCAAGCCAUCCUAAUGCCAAGAUGUGUCUACUCAAAUCUACCUGCACAUGACUCAUACUGUUGCAUCUGUUCAUGUUGGGCUCACACAUCAAGGCACAAGAACAACAAUGAAUUCCAUUAACUCUGAUGGAUGACCUUUGGACCCAUUCCUUAGGGUCUGAUUGGAACCCACCCAGACAAACAAUUGACUCCGAUAUUAAUAGUAACAGCUUUCCGUCACUAACAGUAACAAAUUUCCGUCACUAACAGUAACAGAUUUCUGUCACUAACAGUAACAGAUUUCCUCAAAAUCCUCAUGCAGAUUAAUCCAAAGAAUGGAUUUGAAGAUUUUGUGACAACCCCAAACGGCCUCUUAAAUCUAAUGGAACAAAAGUAGCCCCCCCAAAACAGUGUGGCUGUCGUUAAGGGCUGAUUUGGUCUAGCAUGGCAGUAUGAGAUAAAAUUAAUGCGUCUGCAUAAGAAGGUGUCGUCUUUGUUUCGCUACUGCGCAAGUGAUGACACCUUGGAUAUUGUCUUCCCAGAUUGGUCCUUUUGGGGUUGGAUACUCUCAACGAAAUUCUAUAUCUCAUUCUCACUUAGAUAUAAACAGAAAAAUCAUUUUUUUUUUCUCUUUCUCAUUUUUGAGAAGGGAUGAAGAUUAUGUGGCAGUAUAUCUAAAAAAAAAUCUAUACCUAUCGUUCUCACACAAAUACAUAUUAAAAAUCAUUCCUUUUUUCUUGUUUUCCACUUGUUUUUAUGGAGUCGAUUGUGUGUUUGGUUCAGAUUAAAAAAUCAAUUAAUCUAUAGGUUUUUUCUUCUAUGCUAGAACUUUAAACCUAAGUUUUUCUUCCUUACAACUCAAAAGAACGCAGUUCAUAAAAACCAUAAUACAAAAAUGUUGAAACAAUCAAUAUAAUGACAUUAAUAAAAGAAAAAAGAUGAUAGAUCUAAGAGAUUUUGGCUUACAUGGGAGUCCACAAAGAGAAGAAUGUCGGUUGUGAGCGUGUUGACUAUGGGUGAGAGAAAAAGUAGAAGAAGAUUAUGAUUUUUAUUAUAUAUAGGGUUUGUAUACUGAGAUUUUUUGGAUUGUGGGUGUCAUGUGGAAACAAUGGGCUUUUUAUAUAUUGGCCCUCAUUAUUAAUUUUAAAAGUGGGCUCAAGUAGGCUCAUUAAGUUAUAAUACUUAAAAAAAUUAUUUUAUAUGAUGUCACUUCCCGAAAAAUGACACUAUUAAUAUAAAACUAACAGCAUCUAACUACCUCAAUUGAAGAUUUUUAAUAUGAUGUGUCACCUUUAUUAAUUAUAAACCUUAUGGUGUCAUUAUUUUAAAAGUGACACCAUAAAUUAUUUUUGUAGUAGUGUUUGUGCUUUUGGAAGUGUUUUUCUACAAAACAUUAUAAAUGAUUUUUUCAAAAUUUUAAAAGUACUAGGCUAGUUGCAUGUACUAGCUACUGAUGUAUUUUUAAAAUUUAAAUUUAAUUAUUUAAUUAAUUUUUAAAAAAAAUUAAUGUUAAUCUAUUUUAUGGUUGUAUUUGAAUAUAUUUUAUUUUAAAAUAUUUAUAUUUAUUAAAUGAUUAUAUUAAUAGGUUAGAUUAUAUCUAUGAGAGAAGAUAAGAUUGAAUUUUACCUAUGAUUUAAAAAAAAAAUAAUAUUUCAAAAUGUAAUUCAACUAUAUACCAUCUAUAUUAAAAUUGGAAAUAAAUUUUAUAAUAUAUAAAAUCUUUAUUUAUUUUCUAUAUUUUAUAUUGUUUUUUAAUAGAAAAUUUCAAUAUUAAAUAAAAAAUAAUUAAUUAUUUUUUAAUUAAAUUGAUUAAUUAGAAUGAAUAAAUUAUAAUUAAUUUAAUUUAUUUAAUAAACAAACAUAUUUUAUUAUUUAUUGAAUUUUAAAAACUAAAAUAAUAAUUGAAUAACAUUUAUAACUCUUAUAAAACUAAAAAAAUAUAUAUAUGCUUUUCUCUUGUGCAUUUCUUUGUUAAUAGUUUGAUAUUGGUAUGAAAAUGGGGACAUUUACAAAUAUUGAAAAAAAAAUGUAUUAAUGUCAUGACACCUAUUAUAAUUAGAAAAUAAAUAUGUUUUAAAUUAAAAAGUUAAAUUUUAAAUUUGAUAAAUCUCAAUUUUACCAUCAUUAUUAUUUGUCUAUGAUCAAUAUUUUUUUUAUUUUAAUUAAAAAUAAAAAUGAAAAAAAAAGUAUGUUAUUGAUAUUUUUUUUUAAAAUAUAUGUAUUAUUUUAUUCGAAUAAGUGUUAUUAUUUUAUAUUAUAAUUCUUUAUUUUCCAUUUUUCCAAUGUGAGAAAAUUCUAAUUUUGGGAAAAAAAUUGAAUUUUUAUAAGCAUUCACUUAAAAAUUAAUUCAAAAACGAUCAUCUAGGAGUGGUGUUUGGACAGAAUGGAUACAAAUAAAGUUGUAAAUCUCUACUCUACUCCAUGCAGUGGGGAAGAUAGACGGAGAUACAGAAGGCGACAGUUCUCCCUCCUAGGUUUCCAGUUUCGCCAUUCUUCUGCUUGUUCGUGCUCUCAUUCAUGUCCAGUUUGUGACGCAUUCAACGGAUCGACUCUAGAUUGGUUCAAAUUCCCUAGUUCCGUCAUUUUCUCAUUGUUGUUGUCGAUCAAGUUUUUUUAUAGGAAUAAAAUUGGUUCGACGAAUUGUCUAUGUCCAUUGGAAUAGGGAAGAAGACUUUCAGGGGAUGUUUGGUACGUCGGAAUAGGGAAUGGAAAUUAAUAUUUUGUUUCCAUUCCUAUUUCUUAGUGGAUAGAAAUGAAUUUGAUAAUUCCAUUUUUAGCAUUUGGAUGAACUUAGGAAUGCAAGAUUGGAAUGAUUAUUUGUUUCCAUUCCAAUGUUUGAUAAUAAUAGGAAUGGAAAUGAAAAAUAAAUAAAUUUACAAUAAUAUCCUUCCAUAUAAUUUAAACUAAUUUUUUAUUUUUUAUUUUUUAUUUUUAUUUAAAAUAAAUAAAUUUUGAGAGUUUUUUUUGUUAUUAAAUAAUAAGACUAAAAAAAUACAUAUACUCAAUGAAUAAAAAAUUAACCAUAAAAAAUCAUAUAACCCUAAUGUACAAAUAUUCAAUUAUUAUUUUUAUUAAAAAUUUGAAUAAUUUGUCAUGCUUAAGUAGUUAUAAAAUUAUAUUUUACCAAAAAAAAAAAGAAAAAAAAUAUAUUUAUUAUAAUAUUUAAAUUCUCAAAGUUAGCAAAUGUUUUUCCUAUUUUCAAAAGAGGAAAUAAAAGAAUUCAAAUUUCAGUCUAAUUUUCAACAAGUAUCAUAUCCGAUAAAAUCCAUAACCUUGAAAAAUUUUAAAUAUUCGGUUUUUCUUUUAUCAAAAUUUUAAAUAAUUUGUCAUGCAAAAAAGCUAUAGAAUUAUAUUUUACAAAGAAAAAAAAAGAGAAAAAAAAAUAUAAGAACAUAUAAAUUGUCAAAGCUACCAAAUACUUAUUUCUUAUUUGCAAAAAAAGGAAAUAAAAAAAAACACAAACUUCAUUCUAGUUCUCAAUAUAAGUACCAUAUCUACUAAAAUCCACAACUAGUGUAUCCUCCAAAAUUAAGCCAACAAAUCAAUAAAAAGUUCAUAGGAAAUUGAUGAAACAAAAUCCAAUCUAAAAUUUCUAUCAAUCCAACCUAAAGACAAUAAAUCAACAAGGAUGCAACAUGGAGAUUCAUGUGGUUUGAAGAAGUUGUUUCACCCAUUCAACCUUGAGAUCUUCAUCUAAAUUGAACAAAAGUUUGACUUUCAUCAAGUCAUUCAUAAUAAUUUGACUUAACUUCAAUAUGUCUAACCUAUUAAGAUUAGGAAGUUUCUCCAAUUCACCAACCACUCUAUUUUCCCUUUCUGUCUGUUGGUUGAAGUUACCAACAAGGCUCUUUAAUGCAUUGCAUGUUCUUGUCAUCACAUUAAUUAAAGUUGUGUCAUCAUUCUUUGCUUUUUUCCUAUGAGAUUGUGAUGAACAUUCCAUUCUACUUGGAGUGGAUGCAACUAUAUUAGUACGAGAGGCAUCGACUUUGGCUUCUAAGUCAUCAACUCCAAUGUCAUUGCUUGCUUCACCUUGGUCUAACUCCUCCAAAAUAUCAACAACUGACAUUGCUCCUUUUCCAUUAGCACGAUUUUUACCAAAAACAAGACUUAGAUCAUCAAAAUGUGGAAGUGGUUUGAGUCUCAAACCAUUAGCAUCUUUAUGCCCCUGUAAAAUAUACAAAAAAUAAUUAGCAUCUUUAAAAUAAAAGUUACUAACUUAAAGAAAUAUUAAUAUCAUGCCGCAUUGGUUUGAAGAUAAGAUAAAUGAUUAAGAAUAUAUAUCAUUUCUUUCCUUUGAUGAAAUGAAUUAUAGAAUAGGGUCUAUUUGAAUUUUUAUAAUCACUUCCAACUAUAACUCCUGAUUAUUUUCCUAAAAGCAUCAAUGGUAGAUACUAAAAAAGAAAGAAUAUAUCAUGCAUUAAAAUGUAAUUCAUAUAAAAUACAUAAUAUAUUGAAAGCAAAAGAAUAUACCAAUGUAUCAAAUAAAUUAACAAGAUGUUGUGGAAUAAAAAUACAAAAUAGGAAGUAUUGUAAAUAUAUUUACCUUGACCCAACCUUCAAAUACAUCUUGAUCACAUAAAACCAUUUUCUUUGCAUUGUCCCAAGACAACCCGCUACCAUGGGUUAACAUAUCCAUUAUGGCAUUGAAUUGUUUUUUUAAAGUCUUCACACGCGAUUCAAUAUGUGGACUUGCUUUAAGUUCGCUGUUUGGAAGCUUUUUCUCUAACAUCUUCUCCACUUGUAAAAAUGUUCCUGGUUUAAACCCAUUAUCACAUUUUACCUUCCCUAAAACACACAACUCAACAAGACACUCAACCAAUUUUACAUCCUCACUGGGAGUCCACACUCGUUUGUUUCUUCCACGCCCCCUUGUUUGACCACUUGAUGUAGAAUCCAUCCUAUGUUUCAAAAAUAUCAAAUUAUAUAACUAUAUUUUAAGAACAAAUGUAAUAUGAAGACAAUUAUAAUAAACACAUGUCUAACUAUAUCUCAAAUUUAACAACAGAAAAACAUUAUCAAAUUCAAUUCAAACUAGUUCAUCAUAUAAUAAUUCGUACAAACCAUUCAAAAUUUGCAAAUGAUAAGUCUAAAACAUCAAACAUAAUUUUUCUCCUAAAAUAAACAACAUACUAUAAUGUCCUCCAUUCAUUAAACAUUUGAAUUGCUAAAUUUCUUCGCCAAGCGCUCCAUUGAUCCGAUGGUUCAAUUAUAGUUAUUGGUUCACCUACAACUUGGUGGUCUUGCACAUCCAACUCUUGUUCCAAUGGAUCCACAGGCAUCUUUUUUUUUUAUGAGAUUAUGAAGAAGACAACAAGCAAGAAUGAUCUUGCAUUGUGUCUUUAUUGGAUAGAAACAAGGGCUCCUAAGUAUAGCCCAACGUAGUUUAAACAAACCAAAACAUCUCUCGAUAACAUUUCUUGCUGUAGAAUGCUUCAUGUUGAAAAAAUCUUCAUGGGUUGUUGGCAUGUGUCCCUCUCUCCAAUCAUUGAGAUGAUAUCUUUGCCCUCUAUAUGGGGCAAGAAACCCUUUUCCAUUUGUAUAGCCAACAUCAACAAGAUAGUAAUAACCUAAAAUGAAUAUUCCAAAACAUAUUUUAAAAAAUAUAUCAUAUAUUAAAAAUAUAUCAAUUGUUUCUAAAAACCACAUAUUUACCAUGUGGAACUAUCAGUCCAUUUCUCCUACUAACUGCAUCUUGAAACACUCGAGAAUCAGAGGUUGAUCCCUCCCAACCUGGCAAUACAUAAAUAAACUGCAUGUCUUAAGAACAAACUCUUAAGACAUUUGUUGCAAUUUCAUUUCUUCUUGUUCGAUAUCUAAACUUGUCUCCCUUAGGUACAUUCACUCUAAUGUAAGUUCCAUAUAAAGUUCCUAGACAAUUCUAUUUAAAUAAAAGCAUUAAUAUUGCUAUAAUAUGAAUUAAUUAAACCUAUAAAAACUUAAUUUAUAAUUUAUAUACCUUAAACCAUUUCUAUCUCUCAUCUGUGGAGUUCUCAAAGAUUGGUUCUGGUUUUUUGAGUAAUACUCCUUGUAGGCGAAUGAUUGUAUUCAAUACUGCAUUAAAAUGUCUACUAACAGUUUCUCCAAACCUUAAGAAUCGAAAUUUUAUAACUUGAUUCUUUACAUGAUGUGCAAGAAUAUGCAAGAAUAAUGCAACCAUUUCUUCUACAUCAACAUAUUUUGAAUCCUUUAGUUUACCAAUAGUACGAAGCAUAGACCAUAACAUGGUGAAAGCAUGUCUAUCCAUCCUAAGUUGCUCCAUACAUGCUAUAUCACUCCCAUAAAUAAAUCGAUUAAGAUUUUCAACUCGUAAAAAUUCUCUAUUUGCAGGUCUUUCCAUCAAUGUUGGCCUCUAAUAAUGUUUCCUUGUAGUCAUACAAAGUGUAGUAAGCAUAUUAAGUAUGUUUACUAUAAUAUAUAGAAUUAGGAUAAGUUGUUCUCUUCUGUCCAUCUCAAUGAGGUCCAUGGCUGUGCAAGAGUCCUAAUCAUAAAGGACGAAAAAAAAAAAAGCAAAGAAAGUUUUGGAAUAUUCUAUGUUUUUAAUAGGAACAACAAAAGAUUAAAUAUUCUAUGUUUGACCUCAUUAUUAAUUUUCUAUAAGCAAAGAAAAAUUAAUAUAUGCAAAUUCAUUUGUGCCAAACUAAUACUAAUUUUCAUACCUUUUAGAAAGUUAGUAGCUUAAUAGAAUAAAAAAACUAAUUUAAAUAUAAAAAGACACUAGGUUCAAGGUAAGGAUGUGAUGUUAUAACAAUAUCCUUCUAGUGCAAGUGGGGCACAUACAAAUAAGCAAAAUUUAUCAUUACAAUACUCUUGCAUGGGAAAUCUAGCAAAAAUUAAAUUAAUCUGCUGAACAUAACCAUCUGUUCUGUUGACAUUUUUGUACAUGGUCAGAAUAUGUUAAAUAACUCUAAACACCCCUACACUCUAAAUGGAUCAAAACAUCAAAUACAAGAUCCACACUACCACAAAUUUUAACUGCCCUGAGUUGACAAUUUUUAGGGUUAUUCCAAAUGGAAUAAUUCCAUCAAGGAUUAGAGCAGUGGAAAUUAGUUUUGAAUCGAAUGAUAAAAAUUAUAUGUUCUGUUGUAAUUUUUAAGAGAUGUUUCUCAGGUGCAAUCUGAAGGGCCAAACUAAAUCUUAAGUUGAAAGGUUGAGAUGUUGAGAAUUCAAGCUAGAUGUAAUAUAGUAUGUUGAAUUAUAAGUACAAAUAUAACAUUUUGAUGUUCCUCUUUUUACAGAAAGCAAAGAAAAUGUAUUAAUAAAAAUAAAUAUGGGAAUAGGUUGAGGAAUGAUAAGUUAUCAUUCAACCAAUUAAAAAAGGAAAAUGAGAGAAAAGGACAACCGUCUGUGUAGUAGAAAUAUAUCCACAAUACACCUAACAUAUAGCCCAAAUGAUGUUGCCAAACCUCAGGGAGGAAGGGAAUUCCCAACAGAAGUGUGCAAAGAAAAGGCUUUUGCUAGGCCAACAUGUCAGCUACUUGGUUUAUGGAAGUAACCUUCCAAUGGAAGGAGCAUUACAAGUCUCUAGAAAAGUCAAUACUCUUGUGAAUCCAAAAAUCCAGUUUCCAAUCCAAACUGAGAGGAACACCUAAAGACUCUCCUAGCCAUUGACUCACAAUGAGAGAAAAGGCAUUGAAAAAAAUCCUAUAACAGGUAUAAUAGGGAUGAAGCCUAAAAAGUUUCACAUGACAGACCCACAAAACUCCUGCAUACCCAAAUUCCCAAAUCAAACACUUGUGAUCCAUUGGAUCAAAGAUGCUCUAUGCUUUAAAGAACCUAAGAAAAGAAUGAAACAAGAAAAAUCAAAGAAAAGAAAAAACAAAUAUGAUAGUUCAAGCAAACACGAUUGAACCAAACACCCCUUAAGUCUGUAAAAAAAAAAAAAACCUCAAGAUUCCAAACACAAAUCAAUAAAAAAAACAAUCGAUUUAUAGAGAAGAAGAAAGAGAGAAGAAGGUAAACUUGAUCGGAGAUGUAGAAGGAGUUUUUAUAACCUAGUUGUAGCAAACAAUGACGAAUCCUGAAUCCAACAAUCAAAAUGAAUAUCUAAAACCCUAGAAAUUAGAAAUUGAAUUUUUUUUUUCUAAAUGUCGUGGAAGGUUUGAUUGAUUCAGUUUGGGAGAAUCACUUGUUGCAGAGAAGUGGAUGAUGAAUGGGUCUCUAGCUUUACAAAGAAGAUAGAAGCAUUGGGCUUGAAGAAUGAGAUAAGAGGAUGAAAUAGUAAAUUUAAGUUAUUUUAUAUUAUCAAAUAGGUUUAAUGAAUCAGAAUACCACAUACUUUUGAUGAAUUAAAAUCCGACUUAUAAGUUGAAUUUGAUUUUUGCUUGAAUAAUUUUUUAUUUAAUUUCUGCCUUCUUAACAUUUAUCCAAACAUAUGAAUAAGGGAGAAAAGAAAUGAGAUGUAUAUUUUCACUCCCUAUUCCCGUGUACCAAACACCCCCUCACUAUAUCUCAAUUAAGGUUACAUAAAAUGGUAUUUAUACUAAUCUUCAGGUAUUGAAAUUUCAAAAAUACCCUUGCAUUGUAUUGCGGGGCCCCUACACCCACCUAUCAUUCGUCCUUAACGAUAAAAAUACAAGCUUGAAUGACAAAUGUCAUCGUUCCACUCUACUUUACUCCAGCAUUUGUCCAUUUUUCUCCAUAUGUCUUUCACUCAAUAUAAGCCACAUAUAACAACAUUUUCAUUUGGGAGACCUAAAAAGUGCUUUAGAAAUGGUGAUGAAGGAGUCGGAAUGUUGUCUAUUUUUCUCCGAUUCUAUUGAUGCUUGGAAGUAGUGGUGCUUUUGGUUUUCGAUGCCAGUAAAUAUUGAACAUCCCUUGUGUUUUGUAAGAGUAUUUCCAUCAUUUUUCUUGUUUCUUUUCCUAAUUCGGAAUGGUUACACUACUUGAUCGCCAUUUUGUUUUGUUUUCUGAACAUAUUGUUAUUUUCUGAGAAAAUAUCCGUGACAGGCCCAUUUGUGGGAAAGAAGGAGAAAAUUUUGAUUAAAGAAUUCUUGUGGUGUGGACGAAUGGAAUGGUAGUUCGGUAAAUAUUUGAACAAAAUAUGGCCGAAAAACAGUCACAACAAAACUUCUCCAAUACACCUCUUCUCGCCUUUUAUUACUUAGUAUAGAUUUUCUAAAUUUUAUACAACACAUGAUUUUUCUUAAAAAAAACAUCUUUUAGUUACAAGCCAUUUUUAAUAACACUGGCAAAGAGAAUGUAAAUUAUGGGGAAUAGGCUUAGGGUGUAUAAGAAAUCAGCUGACAUCCAGCCCAAUAAUCCAAAAAUUAGGCCGGAUUAGGCCCAGCCCACUAUCACAACUAAGGCUAUAGACGCUUUAGGUUUCAUGGCAGCAGAAGGAACCCCAUCUCUGUCCACGAAAGCAUUCGAUGAUUCCUUCAAGGUACUCUUCCAAACGAUAUUCCCGAUUAGUCCAACCGACUUCCAGUUCCAGAUUAUUUAUCGUCGUUUGGGUGCUGAGAAAUUAACGAGAAAAUGAAAGAAAAGUUUGAAUCCUAAAAUAGUAAGCAGAUAGCAUCCCAAAAUGACGUGGGUCCUAAAGGCGAGUCCUUGACAACCUAAUUUCAGGCCCACAACUUUUUUCUCCUCAAUUUUAGGCCUGAGCCCAUCAUGCUCCAAGCCCAGAUGAUGUUUUAUAAUGUUAUGACGGGCGUUGACAUUGGGCCUAACGCCGUUAGGGACCGGAGGGAAACCAAUUGUUCAAAUGAAACUCGUUUUUACCGCAUUUUCUCGCCCUCUUUCCACAAAGCCAAACAGAGGCUAGGGCAUUGUGACAAGUUCUAGCCUUUUUUCCUUUACAUUUUUUCAGGAAUUCAACUCCAUCGAGGUAAUAUGUUUUCCUGUAAACCUCAUUGGUUCUGAAACUAUUAAGUUUUUGAAGUUUCCGAUUUGAAGUCUGUUCUAGCGAUCGAAUCUUUACAGUCUAUUGCAUAGAUUGGAGAUAUUGUGAAUGUGGUCGCCUGGGCUCUGUUUGAUUAGUCAUAAACUAGAUUGUGGGAGAAUUGUCUUGCGAGAAUGAUUUUAUUAUGUCCUUGUAUGCUAAGGAAGUGUAGGGAGAUGGAAAAAACUAAGAUUUAAGUUUAGGGUUUUAGACGCAAAACAAGAUAUAGAUGGGAUAGGGAAUGUUAAGGGCCUUUUGCUUUGCUGAAAUGAAAACAGUGUUUGGAGAGAGAAUUUCAUUUCCAUGUGUCGAGGCUUGUUGUUUUUUUUGAUAGUUUUCGGUUGUUAACUAUGCUAAUUUUUGGAUUUUUUUAAAAAUGAUUUUGGAAAUACCUUGCUUACUAUGUCUCCAUGCGACUUUCAUUUUUUCUCUUUUUGGAAAAAAAAAAAAAAGUUAAAAUUUCCAUUGCUUUCCUCCCUUUUCUCUGGUUUUGGUGGUAAUCAAAGGGAGAUGGUUGUGGAUGUACUUGUUCUGAUGAAUUUUUGUAUCAUUAAGUUUGGCUGGGAAUUAUGAGCUAUUUAUGGCUGAAAUUCAUUUUUUUUUUGUUCUGGGAAGAAUUUUCCUGGAAACAUUUUCCAUUGGUGAAUUGAAUGGUGGCUUUUCCAAUUGAAACCUGUAGUGAUUUAAAAGAAUGGAUUUCAAGAAUGCACAAUUUCGUCUGUAAAAAAUAAGUAGAGUUUGUACAAAAUAUCUGACUGUUUUUAUAUCAUAUAAAAUUUUAGUUUAGGAUCUUGAAGAAUUUGAUUGUUUUUUAGUAAAUAUUUUCUUUUAAUGAUAAUUUUUUUCGUACUUUCCUUUUGAAAUGUUAAUAGCACAGUUUAUAGAUAUGCUUGUAGGAAUAGAAUUGAUUGUAUGAGGACUUAUUGUCUUAGUAUUUCAGACUAGUAUGGCGAAGGUUGCUACAGCUGGUCCUUUAUCUUCCAACUCUAUUCGUUUUGGUGGGGUUUCUGGGAAGGUGGAGGCAGGAGUUAAAAGGAAGACACCAUCGGAAUUGAGAGUAAGUUUCUGAAUUCAUGGUCUUGCUCUGUUCUCUCUAUUCUCUGCAUUAUUAGAUGAUAAAUUGGGCAUAAAAUGAGUUUCUUUAGCCUUCUACAUGGAAGAUCUUGGCAGGUAGUGUCUUCUUUUUUAAUUGUUAAUUUGUUAAUUUGCAAGUUUUAUGAGAUGAAGGAACAUAGCUGUUGCUCUGCAUGUUUGCUUCACAUACAAGGAAAGGAAGAUUACUCUGAUUAUCUACUUCUACACUCUCCUGGUGCAACAAAGAAAGGAAAAAAAUUGAAUGGCUCUGAGCAUUUUUUAUUUGACAUAUUGUAGCCUUUUCAUGAAUCUAUGUCUGUUCUCUUGCAAGGAAAGAGCCCUCAUGGGGAUGCCGGGCAGUUUUCUAAGAGAAGUAGCACUUAUUUGCACUUGACUAUAUUGAGAAGUAGGACUCCUUGUUCCAACACAAUUGGGACUACCAACAUUUAAGACAAGUGCUGUAUUUGCAAUUCACAGACAACACUGUCUCUUUUUCUAAGGCCAAUGCAGAAGAGUUGCAAAAUCUUGAGAUCAUUUUGUUGAUUUUUGGCCACAUUUCCAGACUUCAUAUCAAUCUAGACAAGAGCACGUUGUCAAGAAUCAAUAUGAGUCGAGAUCAAAUUGCUAGAUUGGUUUCGUUCUUAGAAUUUAAAGUUUCCAAUUAACCUUUAACUUAUUUGGGUCUUCCAAUGGGGGGAAUCCCAAGGCUAGAGUCUUUUGAGAUCCGACCAUAGAAUUUCAAGACUGGAUGGGUGGAAAAAAGCCUUUUUGUCUAUAGGUGGAAAAAUAGUUCUAAUUUAGUCUUGUUUUUCUCACAUCCCUAGCAACUUCCUUUUGUUCUAUAAUAUUCCAUUCUUAGUGACAACAAAAAUUAAGAACAUGUAAAAGGAUUUUCUUUGGUUAGGGUUUGGGGAGGGAAAGAGAUAGUAUCUUAUAAGCUGGAUCUAAGUGUGCAAGCCUAAGGAGGAAGGUAGCUUUGGGUUUAGGAGCAUAUCUUCAAGAAAUAAGGCCUUCUUAGGGAAGUGGUUGUGGAGGUAUCCUAGGGAGAGUAUUGCUUUAUGGCACAAGGUCAUCUUGGGCAUGUAUGAGACACAUCCAAACGAUUGAGAUGCCAACAUUUUAGUGGAAAAUGGGUUAAAAAUCCGUUUGGGGAAGAUUUGUGUUAGGGGAAUUAACCUUUGGUUGCACAAUUUCUAAGUCUUUACAAGCUUUUAUUAGUUCAAAAUUCUUCUAUUUCAUUUGUCCAUGGUCUAUCUUCUCCUCUUACUUGAAACUUUGACUUUCAGCGAAACCUUAUGGAUUCAAAGACAGAGGAUCUUGAAAGACUCAUGUCCAUUCCCAAUGGUGUUAAUCUAACACUGUCAUCCCUAGAUAUGAAACCUUGGCCAUUAUCACCUUUCAACUUAUUUUUGGUCAAAUCUUUUUUCUUGACCUCAUUUAAUCAUUUAACUUUAGUUUUCUUUUCUCUUGCUAAUUUCAUAUGGGAAUCAAAAGCUUGGCCAAAGGUCAAGGCAUUUGCUUCUAUAGCGGCUAACAAGAAGGUUAAUACCAAUGACUUGCUUUAGGUGAGAAGACUGUUCAAAGCCUUAAGAUCGGAUUAUUGAACUUUGUGUAUGGAUAGUUGAGAAUCAAUGGAUCACCUUUUUUACACUGUUCGACAACUUUGGAGUUAUGACAUGAGCUAUUCAAACUAGUCGGUAGGUUGGAUUAGGUUCCUUCUAGAAUUGCUAGAGACAUGUUCACCAUUUCUUUUAGGGGUUUGGGUAGCACUAGCUGGGGUAAAGUCAAAUAGCUUGUUUUACAUUGAUUGGAUAGUAUGAUGGGAAAGAAAUGUAAGGAUCUUUGAAGACAAGUGGAGGACUUUCGAAAUGAUAUGAGACCUAGUCUACCUCUAUUCAUCAUUUUGGGCCUCUACUACUAUAGUUUUCAAGGGAAUUCCUCUCAACAUUAUUUAACUUGAUUGACUUUCAAUAUGUAGAUCGAAAGGGUUAAAAUAGCAGUGUUGAAACAUUUCAAUGUCUUUUGGAUUUCUUUUUUCCUUUCUUUUGAUCAAGUUUUAUAAUUAGGGAAAGAUUUCUUAUCCUUCUCUUGUUUACUUUUUCAAUGAAAAUGUUUUUUGUUUCUAAUAAAGAAAGUUGCAAGUUUUAUUUAUUUUUAUCAACCAUGAAAGUCAUGCUGAAUAUGGAAAAAUGCACAUUUCCUGGGAAAUACUGCAAUGCUUUUGUCUUUUGGUUUUGUUUUAUGGAAGUUAUUAAUGAUUUUUUGGUGGGUAAUUUAUUUGGUUUCACAUUAAUAGAAGUCUCUUGGGAAUUACAGCAGUGUUUUCAUCUUUUGGUUUCAUCUUCCUAAGUUACUAAUGAUUUUUUUUGGUGGGUAUUAUAUUUGUUGCCACACUAGAAUGCAUUUUAAAAAAAAAAAAUCUGUGGUUGGAUUUCUUACUGUCAUGGCCUGCAAUUUAAUGGGUUGACUCAUGGAACAAACAUAAAAACAGGCUGGACCCUGAUCAAAGUCGGAUGCUGUGAUAUCCAGUUGCUGUGGUGUACAGCAUCUUCCAACUUUUCAUGUGAUGUAAAAUGGAACUGUUGCAUUUUACUUUAGCUUUAUAGACUUCAAAUAUUAUCCUUAAUUGGCAACAAAUCUUACCACAUUUCUUUGCAAUUUGGUUUCUGAGGAGCUUUCUGCAUGAUCUUUGCAAAUGUUUCUGGAGGAAAAUUCUUAAGAUUUUCUGUGUCUAUUAUAGGGAGAGCAGUUAAAGCGAAGGAAUGUUAUAGAGCUUGUAGAUGAAUCUCCAGCUCCUUUGCUUGGUUCUACAAGGUAAGCUUUGUUGUAUUUCUUUAAAUUACCUUGAUUUAUAUUUCACUAAGUUCUUGCUUGCUUCUCUCAGGAACACCAAUGAGCUCAAGAAACAAGAUGUUUUCAAAGUUCCAAGAUACAUUGACACCCGUAUGGAUGAAGUUUUUCCUGCCAGAAAGUCUAGGUUUAGGAUGCUUCCUGGAAAAGAAAAUGCUAAGGUACUAUACAUUUUCAUUUAAAAUUGAUUUAGUAUCAAGUAUGUUUACUGUAACAUGUUAGAACUGUCAAAUCAUUAAUCUGUCAAGAUAUUGAAUAUGCCAUGCAAUUUACCAUGCAUUAUUACUGUCUUAAUUUAUUCAAAUUUUUUAAUAUGUGCAGGAAGAUAUUUCAACUGAGCCGGCUGGCUGCGUGAAGAAUAUGCGUGUUUCUUCAAAUUCAGUUGUCAAGAGUCAUCCACAACUUUCAUGGUAUGCAUUUCCAGGACAGUGUACUUUUUUUAUAAUUAAUAAGUCGUUUGCUUUUUUCAUAUUUAUUCUAUUUCUUAUUUCUAUCAGUCCAGAGAAUACUGUGGCUUCAGCUGCAGUUUCCAAAGAUGGUACAAGGCAAGAUUGUGAAUAUGCUGAAAAGUGCAGUCAAAGCACAUUUCGUAGUGUGGCUGAAUUAUCACUUGGUAGUGAGAGGAUAUCUGAAAUAGUUUCUGUUGAUAUGGUAUUUUUGUUAGCAUUUUCCCCUUUUAUUUACCUGAAGAAAGUUCUGUGUCAAAAAAUAAAUCUAUUUAUUUUCACAGGAUAGAGCAUUAAAAGGACUGGUUGCCCGUGAACCCCCUGCUUUUUCUGGUUUAGCUGCUGAUUCUUCUGAAAAGUUUGGCAAUCUUACUUCAAUCUCUUCUGGCAAUUUCUGCUCUGAAUUUCAUAUUCCUGGGCAAAAGGCCCCACUGGAUUUUACGUUAAAAACUAAUAUGCAGAUAGUGUCUUCUUCCUCUGUGAACUGGUGAGUCUGCUGAUAUGUUCUGUGUGGUUGGUUCUCAUUAUAGUUACAUAUCUCACCUAUUUCUAGAGAUUAUUUUGUUUACUUUAAGGGUGAAAAAUAAUGCUUCCUCAUCUUUACUCUAGUUUCAUCUGGAAUUUGUUUUUUUGGAUGUGAUCUGAUGCAUGAAACUGGUGUUGAACUUAAGCUAUUAACUUGAGAAGCCUAGAUAAGGGUUUUUGGUGGUUUAGGAUGACUACCAUAAAAUAUGUUCUAUGAAAAACAAUGUAGCAUCAACAAGUCUGUUGUAUUUUUGGGAGGAUUCCUCAUCCUUCUUUUGUGUUUCUUUAUCCUUAAUUUAACACAUUUGUUGUUUUUGAUAAAAUAUAUAUAUAUAUAUAUCCUCAAAAGGUAGGAUACAAACGCAAGGACCUAAUAACAUAUUAAUAUAUAUUUUUAUAUAAAUUAUAUAAUAUCUGAAAAUUAUGAGUGUGGUUUGUUCAUCUAUUUUUUAUACUAAAUUGCAUAGCUUAGAAGAAGCAGCUCGUUCGCUUGUAUCCAUGCUUAGAGCAUCUCUAAUGCAAUACCAAAGUAGUUUGCUAUUGCCAAAAAACAACAUAGUUUUUAAAUAUUGGCACUCCAAUGGCAGCUGCCAUUAUUUGGCUUUCCUUUUAGCAUUGCCAAAUGCAAUGCGAUCUUUGGCAUUUGGUUGGAGAAUGGUGGUUGAUUGCAUUGUGGUCCAGCACUAAAAUUUGGCAUUGUUAGUUUAAUAUUUAAGUUGGAGAGUAAUUACCAAUGCCAAAAAAUAAGUUUGGCAUUUGUUGUUUUAGCAAUUUGCAUUGAAGAUGCUCUCACUGUGUAAUAUUUUUUUUCAAAAAAAUGCUCUCACUGUGCGCAUUCUUAUCAUGUUGAAUUUUUUAUUUUUUUUAUUUAUUUUAUUUUUUAUUUAUUUUCUUUUGUAAGAUUUAAGGUUUUAUCAAAAUUAUACCAGGCUUAACUGCAGGUAAAUAAUAUGUUGUUACUGUGACUUAUUUAAAUCAGGUUCCUUCAUUGGAUAAGGUUUUCAGAAACAUGUAACACAAUAAGUGGUGCAUAUAAAUUUUUUUAACAAUGCAGUCACAAAUACAAAAACAAAAUUACUAAUUGGACUACUACAUAAAUUGAUUGAGGAUAUAGCCUUCAAAUAUGUAAUUGUACUUGAGUGGUUUGGAGAAUGAUGACUGGCUAUCUGUCCAUUUGUUUGUAUAAGAUUUGACCAACUUGUGUGCCUAAACUUGAUUACUUAUUUAUAUUGGUUAUUCCCUUGAAGUUAAAUGGCAUGCCCAGUUAGUCUCAUGCUUACUCUGUUCUUGAAAAUUAUCUAUACCAUACCAAUUUACUGAAAAACUGGACUGAUGCAUUAUUGAGAGAAAUACAAUUCAACAUAACUUUUGGUUUUUCUGAUUUUCAGGGAUAUGAAGAUAAGAUAAUGGGUUCAUUUUAUUGUUUAGGUGGUUGGUAGUGCACUUUGUUUAAUGCUAUAUGAUGGAAACUUUAACCAUAAUGAAUUUGUCAGUGCAAUUCUUUGAGAAUCUGUAGUAUUCAAAGGAAUUGGUUAUCUGUGUAUAGAAGAUGCUGUGGAAGAAAGAAGUAAUCUAAAAUUUUUAUUUAUGAACAAAAUUUUAUGAGGGAAAAAUUUACGCAAUAAAAGAGAAUUGUUACUUCAAUGGCACAACCUUAGUUAUUCUUCAAUUGCAACUUCCUUUUUUCAUAACUGUCUGGGGCAUAGGCAUGUUAUUGUUUGCCCAUUGGGAAUGAUUCAGGCAUGAGAGUGAUUUACAUUCAAAUUACUGUUGAUCUUUUCUAAAUAUCCUGUUUCACUUGUCCAGAUGUCUUUCCCAUGAAACUAUAAUUUUGUUGCUUGAAAUUUUGAGAGAAUAUCAUAAUUGCCAGUUAAGUGGUGAUGGUGUGAGAUUUAGAUGCUUUACUAAUUUUCUUUUGUAUUAUUUUGAUGCUCUUUUGCUGUAGUAUUUGGAUCUUAUUUUUUCUGUUAAAUCAAAUUUUAAAAAUUCAUACUUUGGUGCUAACAUUUAAUUAACCCACAUAUAUUUCUGCUUUGGGAUACAUUUGCUAUUUUUCCUUGAAGAAUAAAUUUUUGUACUCAUAUUUGACUAGAAGAAAUAUCAUUGAAUUAUGUCUAGCCUAUGCUGAUUCAUUUGAUAUCAUAUAUUCUUUUUAUAUUUAUUCCUAGAUCAUUGGUUCUAUAUUGUGUUGGUAUUCGUAAGCAUUACUAGUUUAUGCAUUAAUAAAAUAUUCAUCUUGCCAUAUAUAUGGGUUACGUGUAUGCAGAUUGUUGCAUAAUCUAUGUAUGCACUACUAAUGUAUAUUCCACGACACUCACCAUUAGAUUGCUAGUAGGAGGUGAUUUUAGGUAAUUAACCUUAUCUCGAAUUGCCAUUUCCUAGGUUUCAUAGAUUGAACAUGUCUGCUACUUACAAUGGUACGACCCUAUUCACACCUCAAUUUGGUUGUUCCAAAGAUCAAAAUAUUAGCUGCUCCUCUGGGCUCACUUCCACUGCCCAAAUAUUCAAUUAUAGAGCUUUGCACUCCUGGGUACACCCUCAAUCUUCUCUACCACCAUCUGUCAUAUCAGCAUUGACCUUAUCUGCUGCAGAGGGAGGUUUGUGAGCCAAAUAUUUUAUUAGUAUGAAAUUUAAGUUUUUCUUUUCCUUUCUUCUCCUCAAUUUUUCUUAUAACAAAUUUUCUUGGUCAAUUCUGUGGAAGCAGAUUUCUUAAUCAAACGACAACUAGCAUGGGAGGACUCAUUUCGAAGUCUCUAUUACAUGCUUAGAAAGAAUAUCUGUAAUAUCUUCUAUGGUAAUUACCUUCUUCCAUGCUUCAUAGUAGUUUUCAAUUGUACGUAAGUUCUUGUAAGAUUUCAUAUCUUGUUCAUAUGGAACUACUUUCAGAUUAAUAGAAUACCUUUUUAAUCCCUUAUGGUGAAUGAUCUUUUCCUGUGUUACCUUCUUCCAUGCUUCAUAUUAGUUUUCAAUUGUGCCUAAAGUAAUACUUAUUAAAAAAAAAGUAUUAGUUUAUGUUUUGGGCUCACUUAAUUGCUUUAGCCAGUUUCUGUUUCGUUUUUGGAAUCCCAUGGUCUUUGUCAUUGUGAUGAAAUUUCUGAGUAUUUAUGUUCUCUUUGUUCUUCCUGGGCAUUGCAAUUAUUUGGUGUACUAAUUCUUAUAAAAAAGGAAAAGAUAGUAUUAUAUGGAGAAAAAUAAGCUGUUUGUUACUUUGUGCAUUAAUGCUUUUUUUUUUCUUCCUCUUGUUGGAGUCACAAUAAAAGAUAAUAUUACACGGAAAAAAAUAAGCUGUUUGUUACUUUGUGUAUUUGUUCCCUUUUUUCCCUCUAUUGUGGGAGGAAUCACAACAAUAUUGAUUAUUUUAUGAAUUUGAAGCAAAAUGCUUAUAGUUUUGAAAUUUAAUAAUUUGUUAGUGUUGAACUCAAGGCUACAAAUGUUGGUUUUAGUGGACAUUUCAUGGUGUUUUAGUUGACAUUUCAUUGGUCCUAGGUAUAAUAAUGUUAAUAUAUCUAUGUUUAUGCCAAUGUCAUCAUUGAGAAAAAUUUUUGGUGAUUUGCAUUAAAAAAAGUAUACUUUCAGUUAAACCUCAAAAUUUAUAAUAAUUUAGAAGUUAAUCCAAAUUCUAUAUUCUUAGAAAAUUUGAAGAAUUAAUUGCAUUGAUUAAACAAAAUCGGGUUUCAAUAGAUUACCAAAUAACUGUGACGAUUAUUUCAUAAAGUGUGAGAAUUUGUAUGGAAAGGAAAAUCUGUGUGUUGUUAAAUAAUAGUGACCUAAAAGCCUUAAAGAGUCACAAUCCAUAUUCUUAGCUCAGAAAAUUUGGAAAUUAAAUUGCAUUCAUGUUGACCAAAACUGGGUUUAGAUAGAUGACAAGAUAACACACUGAAGACUAUAUCAUAAAAAAAUCAGAGUCUAUUCUAGUCUGUAAUUCUAACACAGAAUCUUGUGGAAUAUUAUGAUAGUCAUUCACAUGAAAUAACAUAGUCUGGCACAAUAGACCACAUUACAUGUGAUAGUCCUGAUGUUAUGUCUUCCCAAAUUUACUUCUCUUAGUCUUAGUGUCUCCAACAUUGAUAAUACAUAAACAAUACCUUAUUAUAAAAGAUUGACAUAUUACAAGUUCAACAUGCUUAUGGAGUAAAGUAUCUUUUUGAGAGCUUUUACUAACAUUGGUAUUUUCCCUUUUGUUGAUCAAAAUACCAUGCUGGAAACAAAUGAACAACAAAAUUAAAUGAAGGACAAUGCAUUCUUGCUUAAUGCAACACAAAAUCUGUGUCAUGAUUGAGUUGGUGUAGUACCACUCCAUGUAUUCUUUUAUGCCCAUUGCUCAGUAUAAAGACAGCUAGUUGUCAUUUAUCAUUCUUUUUUUUUUUUUUUAUAUUAGAAACAACAGAUGUAUUAAUUAAAAGUUUAUAAAAACAUGAGAAGGAUGAGAAUCCUCCUCAUAAUAUACAAACUUGAUCAAAAGACUUGAAGAAAUCUUCACAUACAAGGAAGGCUAUACUAAAAGAACAAAAAGGCCUAUACAAGUAUACCAUCUCCUGAAGCUCAUUUAGGAACCUCACCCUGUAGGCCCAACCUUAGGGUGUACAUAUUGAAAGCCAACUCAAGUGAAUUACACUCAAGGGAAAGGGUUUAAAAAUGUUAGUACAAUAGACCCAAAAAGAAACAUAGAAGUGAAGCAAGUCUCACAUCAUCUCGUGUCUUCCAAGUAUCCUAAAAAAUCCUAGCAUUCCUUUUUCUCCACUUAGUCCACAACAAAGCGAGACAAAUGAUCUGCUAUAGAGUCUUUGCCUUUGGUAGAGUUCCCAAAACACUUGAAAGAAAUAGUCAUCAUAUUGCGAAUACUGCUUGGUUAAACCCACACCAUCCCAACUUGUGAGAAUAUCCUAUGCUAUAACCCCAAAGUAAUUGGACAAUGUAGGAAAAGAUGAUCAGUUGUCUCUCCACUCCUACAUAGGAUACACCAAUCAGGGUUAAGGGCUUUGAACGACCUUCUCACAUAUAGCAUGUCAUUGGUAUUUACCUUCUUAUGUACCACUAACUAGGCAAAGGCCAUGACCUUAGAAGGGACUCUUGAUUUCCACAUAAAUUUAGCUGGUUGGAAAGGAACUGAAUUUGAAAAAUUGGACAAGGCUAAGAAAAAAGAUUUUAUUGAAAAUACACCUAAAGAAGAAGGUGCUCAAGCUUUCGCAUUUGGAACAAAAGGAGACAAAUGUACAUGGGAAAGUAAAAUCAUUAGUUUUUCAAGAUCCUCAAUCUCCACACUAGUUAGAUUCCAACAGAAAAUAAGAUCCCAAGACAAAGAGGUGUCAUUACCCAAGAUGGCUGAAAUGGAUGGAUGACAAAGAGGUGUCAUCUAUCAUUCUCACAUCUUUCAUACAUGAUCGUUUUCACAUGUUCCCUUACUUCUAGCAUGAAGGUCUAUCUUCGAUUCUUGAUGGUUUUGAAUAUCCAUAAUGAUCUUGUCCAUAUAAUCAUAUGGUAGGGGCUGACAAUUCAUCACUGGUUUGCAUACUGUAGUGUUAUGACACUGUAACUAAAUUUGCUGCUUCAUAACCACAACAAUUUCUUUGGCAAAUUGGCUUGCCUAGGCCAUACUUUUGCAAUGGCUGGUUUCUUUCCUAUCGAAAAUGGAGUUUUUUCUUUAGGAAUUUUCAAUACAUAAUUGCAUAUAAAGCAAUUUGAAUUAUGUGAUGCUUUCAUCAUAUUGUUUUUGGUUGUGUCUACUAUAGAGUUUAUUUAUUAUUCUCUGGAAGCUCUAAUUAUAACAUUGAAAUUGAAAGAAACUUCUUUCUUUCUCCUUAUAAUCCCUACACCAUGACUUAUGUGGACCAUAAUGUUUGAGCCUUUUUGGUUGUUCAGGUUGUAAUAGGAGCAAAAUGUGCAUGAUCUGUUCAUUUUGGAUUUUUAUGCCUGGAUUUUUUUUUUUUUUUUUUUGGGUUUUUUUAUUAGUUAAAUUUAUUUUGUAUGUCACACUGUACACUGAUUUUUCUGUUUUAUCGGAAACUUUCUAGUUUGUACUUCACAGUUUGUGGUGGUGUUUGCUGGUGGUGACGGCUCAGGAGGAAAGAAACAGUCCUGUAAUGCUUAUAUCUCCCAGUCAACAAGAGGCUUAAGGUCAUUGCUGAGAGAGCAUGUAAGAUGUAUCUCUUUUAUCUUUUAAAAUUUGAAUGGAUAGGAAGUUUAUUUUGCUCUUUAUGGAACAUGUUCAUAAGCAAUUUUCAUGUGGAAAAUAUGUUAUAUCUCACUCAAAAAUACUGAUUCGAGUUUUUUCUGCUUGAAUAUAAAAAUUAGUUCCUGAAAUAAGAUAUUACUUUUUUUUUUGGCACUUGGUAUUAACUGAGAUAGUGGCAUUGAAAUAGAAAUCAUGGGGCUGCUUAUUUUGACUUAAAAACCUGGAAAUAGUGGCUGCUUCUUUAUUAGAGGUUUAAAUACGAGGUUUAUAAAAUUGUGACAGAAAUGAGUGCAGUGACAAUAUUUUUGUGUUCUUUCUGCAAACUUCUAAGCUAAUCUUGGAGUAACAAUUUUAAACCAUUCUUGUGAAAUUAAGAGGAUUACCAAAUUUAUUGAUUUUGAGAAUAGUUGAUAUUUAUUAAGGAACUUGAUCUGCCGACCAAGUGGCUAACUGUUAGAUCAUGAGAGAUAAUAAUUUAUCAGGGACCUUGAUUGGCUGGCCGAGGGUUUACUGUGUUUGACUUUUACCUACUAAAAAAACUGUCAUCCUUGAUUUUAUUGAGGCAUUGGCUGCUCUAUAUUUUUGGUUUUUUUCUCAUUGCUGAGCAAUCAUUUUGCUUUUUCAGAAAAUUCUUGUAAUUUUGUCUUAUAUAGUAGGCCAACAAUGUAUAUCGAGUUAAGUUGACUUAGGCUAAAGCCUUAACGUUCCACCUGACAUGCAACCUUCUCUUGCUUGUAUUUGGCUCAAUAAUGGGGAUUAAGCAAGCAAUGAGGUUCGAACUUAUGGCCUGUUAGAAACCAAAGCUCUUGUACCAUGUUAAGCCCCAAAACUUAACUGUUGGAUAAUCGACUGAUGAUGUAUAUUAUGCUGACUUGGAGGAAAACCCUAAUUGUCUUCUCAUUUUUUUAUUUUUUAAGUUCUCAAUUCAUAUAAGAAAAUGAAAGAAAAUUUGAAUCAAUGAAGAAGUGGCCAUAUUUAGGUAAGGAUGCAUGAGACUAUGUGUGACAGACGUGAUACCUGGAUUGUCAAUUUUGCUGAAAGUAACCAUGUUGACAAAAAUUGCAUGGAUAUUGUUGUGGGAUCCUCAUGGGAUAUAUUAUUUGUUUUUUUACUUGGGACUGGCUAAUUGGUCAAUAAUUUUUAAAGUGAAAUUUUUGGAACUUGGUCUUUAUGAGAUGAAUUAAGACUAAAAAAAGGAAUUGGGUUUUGUUGAGGAUAUUCAAGGAUAGGAGGAAAGAAAAAGGGCUUUUAUGAGGAUAUUUAAAGAUAAAAAAAAUUGGGUUUUUCUGGGCAGGUGGGGUGAUAGAAAACAGGUCCCUUGGUACUUCAUUAGCAUAAAUUUUUUACUUUUAGGAUAAUAACAUUUAAAGAGAUGAUAAAUCAAAACAAAGGUAAUAAAAUAAAGGUAAAGGGAUAGAUAUGGAUAAAUGAUAAAAAAUAUAUAGAUAUAAAAUAAAAUUAGUGAAAGAAAUAUGUAUCCAAAUUGUAUAUUAACAAAAUUUGCAAUUUCCAAAGACAACAUGACAGACAAUAUAAAUUAAAUUUUUUAGCUCAUUUCCUUCAUGCCUUGGAGUAAUAUGACUUGGAUUACUAAAGGGUGAUUUUAUGGAUUCCAUGAUGAAUAAAGUAGACAUAGAUCUAAGUAAGCACUCAUAAAUAUUUGACUUUUAACCAUGUCCAAGUAUCUGUACCCAUUGUAAGUUCCUUUCAGCAAAGUCCUUGUAUCUUAGAGUUUGUGAAUUUGAAUGAUUAGAUGUGUAACACAUACCUGUAUCUAAUACUUGCAACUAAAUCCCUGUAACAUAUGUGGCAAACAGACAUAAUUUGUGAUUGUUUCCAUCUGUUGCAUGUGCGAUCAGGGGUUGCUUGGAUUGUUUUAGGGCAGCGUAUCUGAUUUCAAUUUGAUAUAAUUGGGUUCAAAGAACUCAGAAAAAAAUAUGGAAGCUCAGAACUAUAAAUGAUUUUGUCAUUUUGAUUCAGCAUAACGAUGGGUUCAAAUGUGGAUCAAAGUUGAAAAUCUUGGUAACCUAGUGGGCAAACCCCAACUCUGCAACCAUGUAAUGAGUUAUAUGCUUAUGAAUUUGUGCCUGUCAUAUAAGCUGUCUUCUUUUCAGGAUGCUGGACCUCUGAGAUUAUGAUAUUAAGGGCUUGCAGUGCUAACCAUUUUAACUAAUUAAUCUCUGUUUUGGAUUAUAUAUAUAUAUUUUUUCCAUGUUUGUGAUUUUUUUUUUUAAUCCAAUGAGCUCUAACUUUUUCUUUUGUCUGUAUAUUAUGAAAACUAGGAUGUUUGUUUCUCUAUGCCUCUUUGCCAUUCUAAAGUAGAACAAGCCACCACUGAAGACCUGGUUGAGCUCUCAGAGAUUGAGAAAUGCAAUCUGGGCCAGGUUUUUGUCUAUGCUUUUAAUUUUGAUUGUCUUUUAUCUUUCACGUUGCUUAACUUACACCUGGAAUAGAACAUGGGAUGCCUUUCUCUGCCAUUUUUGGAACUUACAUGCUUGCUUAGACUACUUGCUUGUUACAGUUGCCUCAAUGGGAUUUUCUUAGGCAUUUAGUUUAUGACAAAUUUAUGAGCAGCAAGGGCAAAAUAUAAAGAGUGAUGUCUGUUGCUGUUUUUUUUUUUCCAAAAUUUGAUUAUGAAAACCUCCUUAGUUACAGAAGCAUGCCUACUUCUCCUGAUGUUCUUUGUGAUUUAUUACUCAUUGGUGAUUCUCAUUUCAAUUCAGACUCGACGUCUUGGUUCCAUAUCUGAUGUGGAUAACAGCCCACAGUCUUUGCUGUCUUUCAGUGGAAACAAGAAUGUGCAUGCUUUAUAUGACUUUAUGCUAAAUUAUAGGUAAAUACCUAGCUAAUGUCUGAAGAAUUACAUCUCUCUAGUAAGUUAGGUACUUUGUCUAUAUCUCUGUUCUCUUUUAUUGCCAGUGGUUCUUCAUUUCUUAUGGCUGUUUCCAGAUCUUUCUUGACGUCCUUGACAAGUGUGGAUGUUCCUCUUCUGUAUUCACCUGUUCCAUUUCAGAAUGCUGCUCUUUCUGCUCCAGAGGUAAGUGUAAUUUAAUUCAAAUUUAAUGGUUAUAGACCGGUGUUAGUGACCUUUGUAUCCCUUGGCCAAGAAUGCAUUUCCAAGAGCAAAUAUACGUCUCAGCCAGAUUCUCACAUAAACGGUGGCCAACAGUUGGAUGUUUAGACCACCAUAUUGAAAAUAUAUCCGAACCAUUUCUGUGCAUAUGGGUGGGGUGGUCCAAAAUUUUGAACCUUCUAAUGGCAAGUGCUUCCCUGCUACUGCUUUGUGUUCUCAAAGUGUCAUCAAAUAGGAUCACUGAACUUUGUUCUAACAUGAUUGAAGUAACUUUGACCAAUCCUUAUUCCACCUUUUCUUAUUGUUAUAAUCAUUUAUCAACCUUUCCUUGUAUCUGCAUCUGACACAAAGAGGUCCGAUGCAUGUAUUACCACCCUUGUCAUGUAAUAUAACCUACUCAGAUUCUCAGAAUACAUUGCUUUUCUUUUAUAGGAUUACCGAUUACCUUGGAAGGACAGUAGUCAUCCUUUGAAAUUAGAGCAAAAUGGUUCUUUAUAAAUUUUAUUACUUGUACAAAGAUAAAUAUUUAUUAUGAUUAAUUUUAGUUGCUUGGUUUUCCUUGCUAAUUCCUGCGGGGUAGAUGCUUGGAAUUUUUCAGUAGUGACUUCUUUUGCAGGUCAGUUGCAGGGAGUUGAAGAGAGCUGAUCAUGUUGCUUUUCCUCUUAAAGGAUCCAAAAUGAAAGACGAAGCAAUUGAAAGUGUUUCAGCUGGUCUCUCCUAUAGCAUUGAAAUCAAGGAUGCGUACAUUCCACCGUGGAUAAUAUCCAGUAUAUGUGCAACCAUGGGUUCUGAAGGGAGGAGCUUUGAGGCAAGGUAUGACAAUUGUGCCUGAUUAUUUUCUAUGACUAACCCUAAUCUCACCACAAAAAGCUGCAGUAGUGGUAGAAGAAUAAAUAUAUGUAGCUACGAGCUUUGGCUUUCAGUUAUUCAUCUUACUGGAAACCAUGUCAGUAGAUAUUAUUUUACACACAUUUGUUGGCAUGUUGUAUGGCCAUAUAUAGAUAGCAUUACCAGCUGGCUAACAAGAAUAAGCUAACUUUGUGUGUGUGUGUGCAGUUUUACAACAGAGCCUACUUCAAUUGGCCUAAAUGCUGCUGUUGAAACUGUUGGCCAGAAAUCUGAUACCCAAGCAGCAACAGGUGAAGCCAUACAAGAAAGCACAUAUGCAUUUGGGGUUCCGGAGGCUGUUGUAACUUCUUACAUGCAUUCGGCCUUUUUAAAAGGCUUGAAAUAUGCCAAUGGUUCUUAUACGGCUCGUCUUUCUCCUGUAUAACAGUUCUGUUUUCAUUUGUCGAGUGUUUCAACUAUAUGUUGCUGGUCAAUUGCCUGUUCCCCCUCAUUAAUUAUUUUCUCUGUGCUUCUGGGUUGUAUUAUCUUAUCUGAUUAACUUUACUUGACCAACAAUUUUUUUUUAAAUUGUUGGAACAAAUUUAGUGGUGAGUCUAGUUAAAAUAAACAGAUACUUGAGUAGCUCCUUUUCAGUUCUUCUGGUAUGAAGUGUGAGAAAGAUUAGUGACAUGGAUUGCAAGAGCACAAACCUUGUUUGAAACGAUGGAAUAAAAAACUUUUGAAAUCAGCUUGGUAGCUAUGUAGCAAGUUGUUCACUAUCCGAAUUGGUGUUCCAGCUUCCCGCCUGAUUAUCCCAAGUGGAAUGGCUAGCUUCUCACUAUGCCUGUAAACAAUGCAUCUGUAUUCCCCGUGUACUCUGCUGCUCUUAUCUUCAUAAGGAUCUCUUCCCACAUUUUCUCAAUCUUCUCUAUUUCAGGAUGUGAGCUUUCUCCAACUGUGAACUUGUGGAUAUUCUCUUCCGACUUUUGCUUUCAUCGUUUGCCUCAUCUUGGUGACUCCCCCCUGCUUUGCAUUUGCAUAAAUGUUUGACAGGAAAAUUUUGAUUGAUUCCAUCAUGAUCGACAAAAGAAUCAAUCUUGGAUUUAUUAUUUUCCAGCACUUGUGAGAGCCAGUCCAAGAUACUCUCGUAGAUAUCUGUUUACUCAGAUUUUAAAGGCGUAUAACGUGGAGUUGAGGGCUGAGAACGAUGUCCAGUGCCCCACAGCUUAUGGCAUAUAAUUGGAAAUCCAUGGAUCAGAUGUAGUUUGAGCGCCUUCCAAAUGGCUCUAGGAUUCGCAAGUAGGGUGGUAAGGAGUUUGCUGAUGAGCUUGUUGAAGAGCAAGCCGAGAUACUUGGCAUGGAGAGAGGAGAGUUUUAGCCAGACCCUGAUACUGAGGAGAUGCAUACUGAGAAGCCUCUCCAUUCCGAUUAGCUCGAGAUGCCAUUUCUGACUCAUCCAGUGCUAACUAUGUCUACUGAGGAGUCUCGUCUCUCACUAAGAUUCCUUAGCCCCCACCACCUCAUUGUUUGAGUUCACUGUGCCAUACACCAAUCCAUCCUCUGCUCAGCAGUACUGGGCAGAUAUCUCUGCUCAGAUUGGGUCCCUUGGCACUCGCAUUGAGGAGUUUGCUCUGUUUAGUGAUCCUCGCUUCUAGUCUAUUGAGGAGUGCAUGGACUCGUAUCAAACACAGAUGACUCUGUAGUUCCAGACUAAAUUUGAUAUUCUGUCGACUCAGGUUCACUCUCAGCACAACCAGAUGAUGGAUUACCUUCGCUCCAUCUUUCCACCUCCACCUCCCCAGCCUUGACUCCGAGCUAGUUUUGUUUUUCCCCUUGUUUUUUAUGCUGCCAAAAGGGGAGAUAUUUUCAUAUGGGCAUAUCUAAGCUAGAAGAUUUUCUGUUUUUUGGACAUGUUUUAAUAUAUACAUUUCAUACUCUGGAUUAUCUUUUAGACAUGCUUAGCUUUGUUAUGGUUAUUUUGUCUUGUUGGUAAUAUGAAUGACUAUUUUUAUCACCACUUGGAUAUUUUAUAUUCAUAGUUUCAGUAGAUAUUCUAUUACUUAUUUAUUUAUUAAUUUUGUUGAGUACUGCUUGGAUCUCUACAUAUGUUUGACCCCUGUAUAUUCCAUGGCUCACACAUGAUAUUUAUUGGUUCUUUAAUCUUCUUAGCUAGCUUUGGAUCUUUACUUAAUUGUCAUUAUAUGGAUGACCUCUCAUUUAUACAAAUUGUUCAUCAUUCAGCUGUUUUUAGAAUCCUUGGUUAGUUGCUUAUACAAAUCAUUAUCUUGAUGUAGACCUUCCAUUUUGUCCUAGCAUAUGUUAUUCUAUGUAUUUUCUUUCACUUUUCUUUGCCUUAUAACCGUCCCAUGGUGGUCCAUUGUCAUUCAUUUGGUACUAUUUUUUAGUCACCUUUGGAGAUUCAUUGUUAAAGGAUUUUUUUAUGGAUCCCAAAUGUGACCUUAGUUGCACUUUAAUUUAGCUCCCUUAGUUACAUUUUAUAUUUAACUCACUUAGUUGCAUUUUGGUUUAACUCACUUAAUUAAUUGCAUUUUAGGUUUAAUUCACUUAAUUGCAUUUUAGUUUAGUUCACUCGGUUACGUUUUAGGUUUAGUUCAUUUAGUUCACUUAGUUGCACUUUAACUUAGCUCACUUAGUAAUAUCUUGACUUAGUUUACUUAAUUGCAUUUUAGGUAUAACUCACUUAGUUGCACUUUAACUCAGCUCGCUUAACUUAAUUAUGUUUUAGGUUUCGUUCACUUAACCUAGCUUACUUAGUUGUAUUUUAGGAAAUUUCUUAGUUGCAUCUUAGUUUAGGUGCACUUUAUGAUGGUUCAUCUAAAUGCAUAUUUUAGUUCAUUACAUUUAGGGGGGUGUUUGGUACAUGGGAACGAGGAGUGAGAAUAAACAUCUCAUUCAUUCCCUUCCUCGUUCCCAUGUUUGGAUAAAUUUUAUGAAGAUAAGAAUGAAAUAAAAAAUGAUUCCGGUAGAAAUCAAAUCCCACUUAUAAGUAGGAUUUCAAUUCAUUACAAAUAAGUGGUAUUUUAAUUCAUUCAUUCCAUAAGAAAAUAUAAAAUUAUUAUUUUACUCUUAAAUUUCAUUCAUCAAGCCCCUGUCUUUCAUCAUAAUAAAACUAUUUUUUUAGUCUUAUUAUUUAGUUACAAAAAAAACUCUCAAAUUUUAUUUUUUUAAAAUAAAUAAAAAAUUAUUUUAAACUGUGUACGAGUAUUAUUGUUAAUUUAUUUCUCUAUCAUUCUUAUUCUUAUUACUACCAAACAUUAGAAUGGAAAAAAAUAAUCAUUCCAAUAUCAAAUUCUUAGUUUAUCAAAACACUAGAAAUGAAAUCACCAAAUUCAUUUUCAUUCACCAAAAAAUAGAAAUGAAAAUAAAAUAUUUAUUUUCAUUCUCUAUUACUUUGUACUUAAUACUCUCUUAAGUGCACUUUAAGAUAGUUCAUGUAAAUGUAUUUUAGGAUGACAUUUUAUAUCACAUUGCAUGACAUGUGCAUGAGGUUGUUUGGGAAAUCAAAAUUGGAGAUUGAAGAGGAUUUUUUAAGGUGUACACGGUUUGGAGAGUUGGAGUUUAGGAUUAAGAUUUUAAAUGGGAAAGGAAGACUCAUUCGAAGAUGGCUCAGGGAAUCCUAGGAAGGGUAGGACUCUUGGAGAUUCACGCGUGGGCAUUGGGAUCGGAAGACACCAAAUUGAUUUUGAUUUUGGUAGGACCCCCUUAGCCCACGACUGCCCAUUAGGACUCUUGAGGGUUUCACACGACUACAUGGAGAUUUUCAAGAAUAAGGACAGACUAGGAUUCGCUUGGGAUACACACGACAUUGAGGAGAUUUGAGACUAAAGGACGAGGUUUUGAUUUUUGCAGGAGUAGGAUUCCCUAUGAGAAGAUUAUCAUUCACGCAUAGGAGAUUUGGGAGAUGACUUUUUUUUGGAGAUGUAGAAGGAUAGGAGAUUUGGAAUAUAAAAUGUAAAAAUAAAGAUGGUAUAACUUCGAACAUAACUUUUUGUUAUAUGAAUUUUAUGUUGUUGUACAAAUUGUUAAUUAACAAUUUUAUUCUUUGUAACUUCUUUUCGUAACAAAAUGCAUAUUAGUAACUUUGACAUAACCUCUAGAUAGUGCAAAGAAUGUUGAUUUUUUUGUUUUCAUAAUUUUUGAUUUAAAAAAUAAAAUUACAUAGCUUUUCGUUAAACAUAAUUUUUUUAUAAUGGAACAUUUUUCAUAUAACUUCUCAUUGUAUGAAAUUUAUUUUUUAUUAAUUUACUAGCAUUUUCUAUGUAAGAUGGAUAAAUAAAAUUGAGUACCCUUGUAAAAAGUAAAACAAUUAACAAAUUAUAAUAAUUAUAUAAAAAUAAAAAUUAUAUUAUUAUAUGCCUUCCCAUGAAAUUUAAAUUAGGCAAAGUCUUCUCUAUUACACUUCAAUGGGGGAGUCACCGAUAGAAAAUCUUUUUCUAUUAUAUAGAAUAGCAAAGAAUUGAAAAACAAACUCCAGUGACCUCAUAAUGAUGCUAGAAAUAAAAUAAAAGAAUUAAAAAAAGAAAUGAUGUCUUGUAAAAUAAAAAAUUAUAAAAAGAAACGAGAAGAGAAUAAAUUGGAAUAUUUAAACAAAAAAUAGAAUGUUAUUUCAUUAGCAAGUCUCCCUUUAUAGAAAGUUAGGAAGAGGUUAUAUCAAUAAGGAUGAUUAUUCAUAAGUUUCUCUAUUUUCAUAAAAAUUCUUAUAUUUUAUAAUAAAUAUUAAUGUUAUAAUAAAUAUUUAAUGGGUAUAAUGUACAUAUAUUAACAUUUUAAAGGAAUAAUUGAUUUUUAUUAAAAAUAAAUAACGAUAAUUUUAGACAAUAAGGUUAACAAUAUUUUAUUUAAAAACAAACAAAAAGGUUUUUAAUACUAAAUGAGUCAAGUUUUCAUUACUUAUACAUAUUUAGUACUUGAUUACAAACUAAGUAUAAGUUUGUAAUCUAUAUAUGUAUUGGUAUACAUAUAUAGUGCAAUUGAUUGCAUUAUAUACAUGGAUAUUAAUAUUCAUAUUAUUUAUAUUAAUUUUAGUAACAAAUAAUUAUUUGAAAAUUUUAUUAAAUAGUAAUAAUAAUUAAUCAGAUGAUAAUCUCAAAGAAAAAAUAAUGAUUAAAAAAAAAGAUAAUUGAGGAGGAGAAAAUCUAAAAAUGAGGAAAGGAUAAAAGUUGGGCAUUUUUGUCUUGUCAUAUUUUGUAUCCUUUUAACCCUCCUCAAACCUAAUUCACCAUUUUAAAAACCAUGUCAUGAAAUUAAAGUCCCUAAGUGAUAAUUGAAUAUCAUGCAUUAAGGUCAUAUUUGGUUAGUCGAAUAUAACAUAAAAUAGGAUAAAAGAAGAGAUAUUAUAUCCAAUCACAUAUUUAAUUGUUAAUGAAAAAUUAAAAGUUAUUCUGCUUCUUAUCUUAUUAUAUGUUCAGCCAUGAGAUGAGAUAAAUGAUAAUAUAUAUUAUCCAAUUUUUUUAUUUAUAAUAUAUCUUACAUAUGUUAAUAAUAAUUUAAGAUGUAGAAUAUGAAUAUCUCAUCUAUCAUAAUUUUUUAAUAUUAAUUAUUUUGCGAAAUAAAAAAUUUUGAUUAAAAAAAUUAAAUUUGUGGUUAAAAAAGAACUAAAAACAUAUUUAUAAAAUAUACUAUAAAAUAAUACUAAUAUAUGUAUUAUUUGUAUAUAUAUAUAUAAAUAUAUAGAUAUUUUAUUUAUUUAUAAAUAUUUUAAUCAUAAAUAUUAUUAAAUGUAAGAGAAAUUUCAUAUUUUUUAAUAACAAAUAUGAGAAUAAAAUAUAAUUUUUAACAAAUAUCAAAUAUUAAAAAAAUAAUAUAUAUUCCAUUUUUAAAAAAAUUUAUUUUACAAACAUACAUAAACAUAACAUAUCUUAUAACAUAUAUUACAUUAAAUUAUCACGUUUAUUGGAUUAUAUCCAUGAAUAUGAUUUCCCAAAAUUAUAUUCUAAAAUAAGUUUGUCUUAUAAAUGAGAUGUGACAUUUUAGGAUAUACCUAUCAUUUCAUAUUCUAUUAUACUAGUCAAACAUAACUUUUAUUUUUAUAUCUAAGCGAUAAUUUCAUUUUUAACCAACAUACCUAAUGUCUAAUGUGAUAAAAAUAUGAAAAUUAGGAUUAAAUACAUUUUAUUCCUUAAUCUCGAUAUAUUUUAUGUUUUGUCCUCUUAUAUUUAAAAUUUAAUACUUUGUCCCUCAAACUUGUUAAAAAACAAUACUUUUUCUAUAAUAAAAACAAUACUUAUAAAAAAGAUCGUUUCUUUUAUACUAUGGUUUAAACAUUGGUUUGAAUUUAGGUAAAAUUGAUUUGAAAGUAAAAUUUUUCAAACGCUUUCGAAAUAUAAUUAUCAUUUGUAUUGAUUUUAAAAAUAUAUUCAUAUGAUUAUUUGUGAUUUUCGUAUGUAAUAGUGUAGUGUGAUAAUUUAAAAUUUGAAUAACAAGUCUUUUCCUUUGCAUUUCACUUUUAUUUUUUCAUUUAACAAGUUGUUAAUUGAUUUUUUAGUAUUUAGUUUUGAAUGUGAGGGGUGGUGUGUAAAAUAAGCUGAGGGAAUAGAGAUUAGAGAGUAUUUAGCCCUAAAAGUUGAGAUUUCACUCAAAAUAUCGUGAUAUAAAGAAUUGGACAUGCAAAAUAUCGUGAGGACGAGAAGGGACUUGGAUGUGAAGAUUUUAGACGGUUGAUACAGGGGAGACUAAAAGGGCGGAAAAGGGCGAGUAGCGUGAGCAUCGGGGGUGAGGAUGGCCACUGGUUUAAAAGAGGAAGGACGAAGCCAUUCACCAUGAGAGCUCCAAUGGAGACGAUGAAUAACACCGACUCCAGCACUCGUAAUUCCAAUUCCAAUUACGAUACGACGUCGUUGUCUGGAGACGACGGCCCCGUUCGUGUCUACGCUGAUGGGAUCUACGAUCUCUUUCACUUCGGCCACGCUCGCUCUCUCGAGCAAGCCAAAAAAUCGUCAGUUUUCUUCUCCUUGUCUCGCCUUUUGUUUUCUGGGUUUUGCUCAGAAGGUCAAAUUUAUUAUCAAUUUUCCCCGUUUUCCAAAAUAUUUCUCAAAUUCGUUAUUUAAGCAUUAACUUAGAACAAUUGUUGUGUAUCGUCUUUCUCUUCUGUUUCCUCCAUUUUCUUGCAUUUUUUUCAUCUGGGUUUUACUCAAAUGUGAAAUUUACGAUAGAUUUUCCCUAUUUUGCCAAGUAUUUCACUGGGAAAUUGGGUGUCGUUUCUCUUGUUCUCACAUUUUUUUUCCUUUUAAAUUCCAUUAGUUUCGCCUUAGGCUUUGUGGGUUUUAGUCAAACUGUAAAGCUUAUGAUCAAUUUUCCCAAAGAAUUCACUCGGGAAUUCGUUUUCUACGUGAAUUGUUAAGUAUUAUUUUUGUCGUCCUCCUUCUCAAAUUUAGCCUUUCGAUUGGUUGCCUAGAAAACUGAAGGAAAAAAAUGAAAGAAAUUGGAAUCCUGAAUCUAAUAUUUACAACCUCAAAUGAGCCAAUUAGUGUUAUUGGGGAUCUUUAUGUUUUGUCCCUUUCUCUCCUUCAUUUCUCGUUUUUUUCCUUUCUGGGUUUUUCGGAAUGUGAAAUUUUGACGAAAAUGUUAAGGUUUAGCAACUAAGUCAUGUGAAAUUUCUUGUGCGUGUUUGAGAAAUUUAUGCGUAGUUGUUAUCUCUCUUUUUUUUUUUCUCAAUUUAGCUCUUCAUUUGGUUUCUGAGAAAACUAAAGGGAAAAGGAAAGACAUUAGAGUUUGAACACGAUGUUUACAACUUCAACUAAUCCAAUUAGUAUUAUUAGAGAUCCUGAUCUUUUCUCACCAUGUCUAAGUUUCCAGCAUAUACUUUUCUUUUGUAAUCCUAUGUUUUUUCAGAGAUGAGUGGUGGAUUUUUGUGGUUUUUCUUGGUGGUUUUUGUCUCUUUUAUGUUGUUUUCAGUAUUUAUUUCAUGCAAAGGUUGAUUCUACGAAUUGUAAAUUCAGGUUUCCAAACACGUAUCUACUUGUUGGAUGUUGCAAUGAUGAAACCACUCACAAGUUUAAAGGCAAAACUGUUAUGAAUGAAGUGGAGCGUUAUGAAUCUCUUCGCCACUGCAAGUAUGUUUUUCUUAACUGUUUGAUCAUAUUUGUUAUUUUAUUCUUAUGACAAUUUUUUUCCCUUUUUUGAUUGGGUGAUGACAUGGAAUGUGUAUCCAGUUGGCUUUGCCUUUAAAACCUUAAAUUGGAUCUGUCUUGUUGAUAAUGUUUUAAUUAAUACCAUUUACUCGAGGGAGUCAUUAAACAAUGAUUUUUAUGCUUAUUUUGUACAGGUGGGUUGAUGAAGUUAUUCCUGAUGCACCAUGGGUACUCACUCAGGAAUUUCUUGACAAGCAUAAAAUUGACUAUGUGGCCCACGACUCUCUUCCGUAAGUAACCAAUCCAAGCACACACAUUUGUAGUCAAGAGUUGGGUUUUUUUAUGGGUGGAUUAUGUAAUGUAAAAUCACAUAGAAACUUCUAUUUAUGGCUUCCUUUUUUUCUAGCCUGUAAAUUCAUUUAUUUGGGAAAAAGGAAAAAAACUCAGUCUUUCUUGGAAAGCAUCAUAACCUUUUUCUUUUGUUGUAUGUAUGCUUUUCUCUCUCUUUUUUAUGCAUUCACAUAUAUAUAAUCAUUAUUCUUUGUGAUGAAUGCUUCAGUUAUGCCGAUGCCAGUGGAGCUGGAAACGAUGUUUAUGAAUUUGUAAGUUUGAGGGGAGCUUUGUGAUUUUUGGGAAUCAUAUAUUUGCAUUUAUUUCAACUGGUCCCCCCUCUUUUUUCCAUCGAUGUUCUUAAUUGUUAGAAUGUUGUUAUACGCUAACCAAGCUUCUUAUUGUAGGUUAAAUCCAUUGGAAAGUUUAAGGAAACAAAACGAACUGAUGGGAUUUCUACUUCAGACAUUAUAAUGAGGAUUGUUAAAGACUAUAACCAGUAUGUGAUGCGUAACUUGGAUCGUGGAUAUACGAGAAAAGAUCUUGGUGUUAGCUACGUUAAGGCAUGGUCUUUGUUCAUAUUUGAUUUUUAUAUGUGGUUCUUUUUUUAUUGGAUAAUCCUAUUUUAUGGAUAUUUUAUUUAUUUAAUUUUAAAAUUGACCUCUUCACUAAAAUCUUCCAGAGGUGGGACUGAUUGAUCUUUGUUUUUUGUUUUUGUUUUUCAUGUAAAAAGGAAAAGCGACUAAGGGUGAACAUGAGACUUAAGAAACUACAAGAAAAAGUGAAGGAACAACAAGAAAAAGUAGAACAAAAGGUAAGUAAGUCUUUCUAUAUAUGAUAUAUUAUUGCUAGCUUAAAAGAAAGUUCACAUCCAUUAGUUUUUGCUCUAUAUUUCCAAGUAAAAUAGCAAGGAAGUUGAAAUUAGAAAUAUAAGGUGGAUUUACUUGAUCAUUACCUUGGGUUAACUCCAGGGUUGGUGCUCACCACAGAGCUGUGCCAUGGUCAAGUUUCCUGUCAAAUGAACUUUGAUCAUUUCAUUACUCCUAUUUCUGGUUUCACAUUCUUGUUGGCCUUCCUCUUGGUCUUCUAGCUUCUGAAAAUUGAAUCGAGUCACUGCCCUUUACUAGCCUUCUGUCUGGUUCCUUGUUUUCAUUUCACAAGAUUAUCCAUUUUAGCCAAUAUUUCUUAUGUUUCCCUUACUUUGUGCUCCUACAAACUUCUGAGGAGCAUUCAGUCUUAUUCUUUCUUUCCUUUCCUGUUUCUUUGACUAUGAAAAUUAAACAUAUUCACAAAAUACUGACUGUAACAAUGUUUAUUUUAGUUCUAGUUUUGUAUCUAAUUUGUCUUUACUUUACUGGAGAUGCAUAAUGGCAUUUUUUUUAAUCAAUAUCAUGGUUGAGACUAAGGUAUUCAAGGUAUCUUUUUCUUACUUGAGAUGAAUUGGUUCUACAUCUAGCCAACACAAUUACUUGUAAAAUAGCUAAUGACUUGUGUGUAAAUUAUGCACUCCAUCUAGGUUGAUGUUCAUAUAAAUUGGUCAGGUUUCUUUUUAAGUUUGUUUCAUGUUUACCAUACUUGUAUAAAGGUUGAGAUCUGAUUCAUGUCUGUGAAUCAUCAGUUGAUGAAACCUCACUAUAUAAGGUGGCAUUUUAGGAGUCAGAGGUUGUCAAAACAGAUGUGUAGCAAAAAGUUUCUCGAGAACAGUUUUUGUUUCCAAGCAGACAAAUAGAUGUUUGUUCCGUAAUAUAUCGUCUUCUUAUGAUGAGACUGAUAGUUUGCACUACCAAAAUACAGUAUCUAACUUAGGGGUUUAGCAUAAAUUGAGAAAGCGGUGGAGAUUGGAUAUGUGAAAAUCAUCUGGUUUAUUUACUGUCAAGGAGGUUUGCAAAGGUGUCACUGAUUCUUAGAAAAUGGAAGAGGCCAUAAGAGUUAUAUCUUUUUAUGUACCCUGGUAAAUCUAUUUUUAUAAUGCAAAGUUGUUGGCUACAAAGAAAUAAGAGUAAUUGCAUGUAUCUUCAGGAUAGUGGGCAGUCAGGAGGUUUGGCCAAGCCUAGUUACCUAUCAAAAAAAAGAAAAAAAAAAGACUAAUGUUAAGCCUAGUUUCUAGGUGGAUGUGGAUAUUUUGGAGGCUCUGCCGCUUGCCUAAGGCGCAAAAUCAUCUUCUACACUGGAUUUUUGAUGUAUUCUAUGUGAAUGGAGAAAUUAGAUGAAAAUGCUCACAUUGAUGAUUUUUUAUUUUGUUUUUCUUAAGAUAGAUUUCCUUAUGACCUCCUGUGGCUCUUCCUUUACUUUGGUAGGCAAACAAGUGAAUAUAUUAAAAGCGGUAAAAGAACUAGUACACAAAAAUACAUGGGAUGUAUACAAUAGGUGCCAAGAGGCAAAACAAAAAAGAGGGAAAACAAAAAACUACUCCUUCCCUCAACAAAAACCCAUGGAAUCUAGAAAAUCAAUUAAAGGCAUAAAGUGUUCACCUAUGUACCCCUUAAGCCACAGCUAGAGAUUAUUGAGGAAAGUGCUUUUAAGUCUUUGGUUUGACUUCUUAUUUUCAAAUGAUCUUCAGUUUGUUUCCCUUCCAAAUAGUCCAGAAAAUGCAUAAGGAAGUGGCUCUCCAUGCCUUCUUUCGUCUUGUUCCCACAAAUGAGUAAUGCCACCUUAGGGAGUCUCCUUAACUAAGGCAGAAAUAACUCAUGAAAUAUGGAAUAAUGAGAACAACAACUGCCAUAAAAUCCUAGCCUUGCCACAAUGAAGAAGAAUGUGAUCAAUGAAUUUUGCCUUCUCCUUGCAAAAAGCACACCUGUUGACUAACGACUAACCGCUUCCUUGAAUCUACUCCAAAGUCAACACCUUACCCUAGCUGGCCUCCUAAGCAAAAAAAAGAACUCACCUUAGACUGAAUCUAGGGGUUCCAAAAUAUCUUUGAUGAAAAAGAAAUGGCACAAUAUGGCUUGAGAACAGAAUAAAUGGAUUUCACAGAAAAUCUGCUGUUGUGAUUGCGCUCCUUUGGUUCUCCUGUGGCAUUAAUGAUGCUGAUUGAACAAGGAACCUCUUUUUCCUUUCACCCUUGUGGUCAAGGCUCUAAAGACAGUAAGGAUGUUGAAAAAAGAGUGCAUAGAUUUGCCCCAAUCUGUUUACAGGUGGCCUUGACUUCUAGAAAUUACUUUUUCAAUCCAUAAAAUCUGGGUUUGUACUAUAUUAAAGAUUGCCCUUCUUCUAGGAACUUGUUAUCUAGAUUCUAGUCUAGUGUAAAUCAGAUGUAAAUAUAAAAAGCCUUAAAAAAGAAGUGGCACUGGAGAUAAGGCAUUGGAAGAUUUUAGCAUGAAAUAAUUUAAAUCAAAAUUUAUUAAUAUUGUCCACACAGUUUCUCUGCCCUUCUGCCAUUCCUGGACACAAACUCAGAGUGUAGUUAAGUGUUACAACAGGAAAGAUUUUAAGCUUAAUAAAAUAAGUUAGACCAAAAUUCGUUAAUGAUGUCUACUGAAUUUUUUCUGUCCCCUUGUGUUGUUCUUGGACAUGAACUUGAAGCAUAGUUAAGUGUUGCCACCGGAAAAGAAAAUAAGGAAGAAAUUUGAAGUGUUAAAAUGUGUCUUAGAGGCAUUGACUCCCUCUUCUUCUCAUUCUGGUAAAAAAAGGUUCAAUGCAUGUCAAUCAUGCCUCAAUGAGUCUUCAACUUUGAAUACCAAACAAAGUUUCAUAAACAAAAUCUCGAAGUACAUGGUAGUGGGAGGGCAGGUUCUACUGUCAAGGUGCAUAAAUUCUAUAAUUAGUAACCACUAACUUUCUUGUGUUAAGGAUGGCACCUUUGAUGGGGUGUAGAAAAUACAGACUUUUUAAGAAUUUUGAAUGACUAAGAAACUUUGAUGACUUUAAUGAGCCGAUGCAUUGUUUCUCACUGGUAAACUAUAUUCCCGACAAAUUAAUAGCAUGCUAGUGCUUAACUAUCUUCUAGAUUCCUCAAAUAUCAACUAUAAUUAAAAUAACCACUAUUUGAUUCUUUUUUACUGAAAACCUCUAAUUUAGUUUUAGAUGAGAAUAUUUGCAGAUUAUGACAUUUACUUUUGAAUCAACCUAUUUUCCUUUCUCUUGGAGUAUUUUCCAAAUCUCCAAUGUAUAUUGCUUGCAGCAAAGUCUUCUUCGAUCUUGCCUCUUCUGGGCUCUUAUCGACAAACCCUCACUGAUGGUGAUUUCUUGAGGGGGAUCUCUCUCAUUUUGGAGAGAUUCAAGUCAUGACCACUUCAUGUAGGGUGGUUUCUUACAAUAGUCCUGAUCCACUAUCAUUUUGGCUUUCUGUUGCCUUUGUAGAACAGACAGACUACAGGCCUCUUGAAUCUUCUCUUUUCCUAUCUCUAUUUAUUUGAUUUGAUUUUGAAUCUUUAACAAGAUCCAUAUAUUUGGAAAAGAUUCAGAAUUUAAUUGAAUAGAAUAGAUGUACUCCAGCAUUUAGAAAUUGGUUAAUCGGUGAAGAUACAUGUACUAGAUCUUUUGUAUGAUGCCUCUAGGUUAACAUUGCAGGCCACCAAAUCAUUUCAGCUAUAUAUAUUUUAAAAGAGGCCUCUCUCAUGGAUAGUUUCAAGUCCAUGCCCACUCUAUCUAGGGUCAUGCUCAUGGGAACCAUUGGCCAUCAAGUUUUGUCAUCCCCUCUUUCAACUCAAAAUUUACUGAAAGUAUUUUCCACAAGUUAUUGAUUCUUACUUGGUCUUUUAUGGCCGGUUUGUUCUCUAAAUCUAUAUAGUUGACUUGCAAUUUAUACCACGUAUUC